GGAAUGGAUCAAGUAAGUGCAGUGAGGGAGAUGCUGAGGAUUACGGAUCAGGAAUGCAACACGGCUUUACAUGAAGCAGCAGGGUGUGGCAAUGUUGAAGUGGUGAAAGCAUUGUUGGAGUUUGAAGACCCUGAAUUUCCGUAUUCUGCCAACAAAAAACAGGAGACUCCACUUUACAUAGCAGCUAGGAGGAGAGGAUCUGGGCGCUUGUUGACUCUAUUAUUAGAUAAAUUCAAAUCAACUAGUCAUGGCGGCCCCCACGGUAGAACAGCUUUGCAUGCAGCAGCUAUGGCUGGAGAUGCAGGUAUGUUGUUGAGUUAGUUCCUUUUUUAUAUUAAAGUUUUGAAAUAAAUAAACAGGUCGAUUGACAUUUUUUUUUUUGCUUGGAUUUAGAGGCAAUAAGGGUAAUAUUAAAGAAGAAGGGGAAUUUGACAAAGGAAAGAGAUGAAGAUGGAUGCACCCCUCUUCAUUAUGCUGCACACUUAGGUGGUCGAUUUUCAGUUGUGGAAGAACUGUUAAAAAGGGAUGUAUCAGCAGCCUAUAUAGGUGAUAAAAAGAAGGGGAUGACACCCCUUCUUAUGGCAGCCAGGCAACGUAAUGCUCAAACAGUUUCAAAGAUUCUCUCUUUAUGUCCAGAUAGUUGUGAAAAAGUGGACAACGAUGGUUUGUCUUUACUCCAUUAUCUGGCUUUUAGAGGCUCUUCCUAUCCAUUAGAGCUUUCUCUUUUCAGGCGUGGUGGUAUUGAGAUUGUAUAUGGAUCACUCAGAAAUCUAAUGAAGUUGGAAGGUGCUUUUGGAAUGACACCUCAAGAAGUUUAUAAUGCAGUUCAAUAUGAGAAACAUCAUCAUAAACAGGUGUGUGUGCGUGCAUAUGUAUUGCAUUUCCAUGGCUAUGGUUUUAUUAAUAUUCAAGUUUUGAAUUAACAUCUUUAAUAAACCUACAAUACAAUUGGCUAAUGUUGCUGGCAUGGCAGGAGCAAAUCGAUAAAUUGUUGGAAGAAAUUGAGAAUGAUCAAGUGGCGGACAAACCAGUUCGUCCCUUUGGCUUGCCAACUAUCUCUACAGCAAGCUUGGAGAAGAAAAGAGAAGGUCAUAUAAUAGUGGCAGGACUUAUAGCCACGGUCACAUUCGCGGCAGCGAUAACCGUCCCAGGUGGAUUCAAGAGUGAAAAAGGAUCCGAACAGGGUACUCCUUUUCUGAUUCAUGAGGCAGCCUUUAAAGUAUUUAUCAUAUCGAAUGGAUUGGCCUUUAUUCUCUCUCUUUCCACCCUCUCCGUUUACCUUAGGACGAUGAAUUUCUUUUCCUCAAACUCAAAGCAGCGACGCAAAAUUUUAAUAACAAAGUUGACCGCUAAGAAUCUCCUUAAUGGUGCACUGAUUGCAAUGGUGAUUGCUUUCAGCACAGCUAACUAUGUUGUGUUAAAACCUUCUCACGCACUUGCCAUAGCUUCGUGUUUGGUCGGCCCUGCCUUUAUUUUCACUCCUUUACUUACCCGCAAAUGGAUGUUAAUUUUUGUGUGGAUCUCGGCAUACAUUGUGAAUGUUUUUAUACCAUUUUCAUUGGUUUAAACUUGGUUUUUAUACUGAAAUUGCUUUUGUUUGUGCCUUAUUUUAGUGUUUUUGGAAUUUAUCGUUGUAUUGUUUGUGUUGAUUUUACUUUAUUUUAACUUUUUUGCUAUGUAGUUUUACAUUACAACUUAAUAUUUAUAAUCUCCAUUUAAUUGAAAUAUAAAGUUAUUAGCAGAGACACAUACAAUUUCAAAAAAGAUAAAAAAAAUCACAAGAUUUAUUAAAUUCAAAGAAUAAUAGAGAUGUUGUAACUAAUUCUAAUUUUAGGUUUAAGAAAAACACUAGAUUUUAUUUAAAAAUGAGAAUUGCCGUCAAUCUUUUUUAUUAGGUGUGAUCGAACACCUAUACAAUCACCUUUUAAAAAGAAAAUUUUGAGUCUAUAAUAGAAAUCCAUAGAAAAAUGUUUCAGUUUGAGAAUUGGUUACUCAAAAAAUUAAGUUGUAUACUUUUACUAUAAUAAAAAAAAAUUACAAUUCCACCAUUUUGAUAACCUAUGUCUUUAAAUCAAAAUUUUAUCCUUUUUGGGAGGUUAAAAUGUAAUUUUACCGAUACUAAUUUAAAAUUUUAUCAAUUUUAGGGGGACUAGUACCCUGCCAACGCUAGCUUCGCCCAUAAACUCUUAUAUCUCAAUCAAUUUUGAUGAAAUCAUUUCCCACUUUGCACUCUAUUAUAUUUUUUAUGUCUCAAGAAUCUUAACUUUCAACAAAAUAAACUUUGUUGUUAUUUUUAAAUUAACGUGAACCCCAAAAGGAAAUUAAAAUAUGUUACGGAGCUUUCAACAUAUUUCUCCCAAUAAUCAAAUUCGUCCCCUUGCUAUAUGGAUGCUUCUCUCCACCUAUGCGUGAUUUAAUUACUAUUAGAAAAAAGAUCAGAUUUUUUUUAUCGAACAAAUUCUCAGCAGGUGUCAGUCACUGCUACUCCAAACGAAUGCUAAAGGUCAAACUCCUUUGCACGUUGCAGCGAGGUAUGGACAUUCUGCUAUUGUGAAACUUCUAAUCAAGUCUUGUGCAAAAGCUAGAGAUGGAGAUUUAGAGAAGCUGGGAAUGGAUCAAGUAAAUGCAGUGAGGGAGACGCUGAGGAUUACGGAUCAGGAAUCCAACACGGCUUUACAUGAAGCAGCACGAUGUGGCAAUGUUGCAGUGGUGAAAGCAUUGUUGGAGUUUGAAGACCCUGAUUUUCCGUAUUCUGCCAAUAAAAAACAGAAGACUCCACUUUACAUAGCAGCUAGGAGAGGAGACCGGGGCAUGCUGAGUAUACUAUUAGAUAAAUCGAAAUCAACAGCUCAUGUUGCAUGCAGCAGCUAUGGCUAGAGAUGCCGGUAUGUUGUUGAGUUAGUUCCAUUUUUUUUUUAAUUUGAAAUAAAUAAAGAACAGGUCUAUUGACAAUUUUUUUUUUUUUUGCUUUGAUUUAGAGGCAAUAAGGAUAAUAUUAGAGAAUAAGGGGAAUUUGACAAAGGAAAGAGAUGAAGAUGGACACACCCCUCUUCUUUAUGCUGCACACUUGGGUUAUAGAUUAUCAGUUGUGGAAGAACUGUUAAAAAGGGAUGUGUCAGCUGCCCAUAUAGGUGAUAAAAAGAGGGGGAUGACACCGCUUCUUAUGGCAGCCAGGGAAGGUAAUGGUGGAGCAAGUGCAAAUAUUCUCUCUUUAUGUCCAGAUUGUUGCAAAAAAGUGGACAACAAAGGUUUGGAUUUACUUCAUUAUACGGCUUUUAAAGACUCUGUCUUUCCAUCAGGGAGUUCUGUUUUUAAGCGUGGUGGUGUUGAGAUUGUAUAUGGAUCAGUUAGAAAUCUAAUGGAGUUGGAAGGUGCCUGUAAAAUCUAAUGGUUUUGCAUUUCCAUGGCUAUGGUUUUAUUAAUAUUUAAGUUUUGAGUUAACAUAUUUAAUAAACCUACAAUACAAUCGGUUAAUGUGGGUGGCAUGACAGAAGCAAAUCAAAGAUUUGUUGGAAGAAAUUGAGAAUGAUAAAGUGGCAGAGGAACAAGUUCAUCACUUUCAGUUACCAAAUGUUUCUAUGGAAAGAUUGGAGGCUAUAAGAAAUACUCAUUUAAUAGUGGCAGCACUUAUAGCCAAUCGUCACCAUCGCAGCGGCAAUAACUGUUCCUAGUGGUUUGGAGAGUGAAAAGGGGUCAAAGCAAGGUGAUCCCUUUUUGAUUCAUGAGGCAGCCUUUAAAGCAUUUAUUGUAACAAACGCAUUGGCCUUUAUUUUCUCUGUUUCUGCCUGUUGGGAUUUGGACAAUGAUAGAUGAAGAUUAACAGAAGCUUGAGCAACAAUGUUGUAUGUUUGCUGGUGAAAAUAAAUAGAAUCGGGCUUGGGAGCAAAGAAAAUGAAAAACAAGAAAACAGAGAGUUUUGGAUGAAAUUUUCAAAAUGAUUUCAUUAACAUUGAAUGAAGGCACAAAGCCAAUACAUAUACCAGACAUUUAGCUGGUCAAAUCAAAACAAAUUGUCACCUAACAUUACCUACUAUCACUAAGUAACAUUGGAACUUAUGAAAACAUUGCUUGCACACAUAGGUAUACUGAUUUAUCAAUUCAUCAAUACCUAAUUACAUCAAAACAAUAUCAACUUAGUUCAAAUCUGACUAAAUUACAAAGCAAUAUUUAAGGUAACAAAACGGAAUGAAAUACAAUAGCAAUAAUGUGCUUCAGCAGCUGCAUGCAUACUUCAUGUGCUGUAAUUGCGGCUUGAUCUGCUUCUUCAUACUUCAUGUGCUAUAAAUGCGGUAUGCAGGCCAACUUCAACACUCCUCCUUGGCUUGCAUGCUGCAUACUCUCAUUUUAACUCUCAAAUGCACGAACCUUGACACACUAAGGGGCUUUGUUAAGAUAUCAGUAAGUUGUUAUUUAGAACUGCAAUGAAUUAGCUUCACUUCUUGAGCUUGCUCCAUCUCUCUAACAAAGUGAAAUUUGAUCUUGAAGUGUUUCAUUCUCCUAUAGAACAUUGGAUUCUUUUCAAUUGCAACAGAAGAUUGGUUGUCACAAUUGAUCUCUAUUGCUUCCCUUUGGUGUAGAUUCAAAUUAACCAUGAUUUUUCUUAGCCAAAUAGCUUGAUUGACAGCACUAGCAGUUGCUACAUAUUCUGCUUUAGUAGUUGGUUGAGCAACAACAUUUUGUUUCUUCGAAUUCUAGCAAAAAAUGGCUGAUCCAAGAGUAAAAACAUACCCUGAGGUACUCUUCAUGUCAUCUAUUGAUCCAACCUAAUCACUAUCAGCAUAACCAACCAAUUUCAUACUUUCAGCUUUGCUAAAUAACAUUCCAUAGCUCAAUGUACCUUUGAUGUACCUGAAAACUCUUUUGGCAGCUUGAAAGUGCUUUUCAUUGUAGCAAUACAAGAAUCUAUAUAGCAGACUCACAACAAACAUGAUGUCUGGUCUAGUGGUAAUAAGAUAUAGCAAACAUCCUACCAAACUCCUAUAGACAGAUUCACUAACCUGCUCAAAGUCACCUUGGCUCGAUAGUUUCUCUCCAAUGGCAACUGGUGCGUUUGUUGCCUUGCAAUUUUGCAUGGAGAAUUUUUUCAGAAUCUUGGAGACAAAAGCCUUCUGACUUAGGAAGAUUCCAUGUUGUGUUUAAGUCGCUUCCAUACCAAUGAAGUAAGACAUUUGCCCCAAAUUUGACGUCUUGAACAUCUGUUCCAUCUUGGCUUUGAAAUCAGCCAGCAUUUCAUGAUCUCCUCUAGUUACUAGCAGGUCAUCAACGUAUAGGGACACUAUUAGUUAAGUUUCACUACCUUGCUUCUUCACAUACAAGGUAGGUUCACUGAUGCUUCUUUCAAAUCCAAGGCUAGCUAGGUAGCCAUCGAUCCUGCUAUACCAGGCUCUUGGUGCUUGUUUCAAACCAUACAAGGCUUUCUUCAGUUUGUACACCUUGUCCUCUUCACCUGCCACUUUAAAACCUUCAGGUUGCUCAACAUAGAUUUCUUCAUCAAGAAAAUCAUUGAGGAAUGCUGAUUUUACAUCAAGCUGAUGAAUUUUCCAUUGCAUUUGUGCUGCUAAGGCAACUAGCAGCCUUAUGGUAUCAAGCCUAGCUACUGGUGCAAAGGUCUCAAAGUAGUCAAUGCCGUACUUUUGACUGAACCCUUUUACAACCAGCCUUGCUUUCAGUUUGUUUAAGCUUACAUCAGCAUUGUGCUUAGCUCGAAAUACCCAUUUCACCCCAAUGACAUUUCUAUUUGCUGGUCUCUCAACUAGCUGCCAUGUCUGAUUAUUUUCAAUCAUUCUGAUUUCAUCAGCCAUUGCCUGUUUCCAGCCUUAUUAAGCUUCAGCUUCUUCGAAGCAGCUUGGUUCAACUGCAACCACUUGAGCUCUUUCAUAAAUCUCAGCCAAUGGUCUAGUGCCCCUGACUGGUUCAUAAUCAAUGUCCAUUUCAAAACCAGUUUGAUCAGCUUCAGUCUGAUCUGUCAAUAAAUCUUCAGAGACUGCCUCUGGUUCAUUCUUCUCCUAAUUUCAACUUGAAUUCUCAUCAAAGACUACAUCUCUGCUCACAAGCACUUUGUUGCAUGAAGGAUCGAAGAAUUUGUAGCCUUUCUUCAUACUGCUCUAGCCCACCAGGAUGCUAGGUUAGGAUGCAAUGGUUUUCUUAUGGUUGAACUCACAUUGAGUUUCAUAGUUCACUUUUCUUUUAUUUCCAUCUUUACAGAUAAUCCACCAUGUUAGGAUGUAGACUCGGCAUACAGAGGACUCGACUCGGGUUUUAUUUAUUAAAAUAUUUUGGAUUUAUUAUUCAAAAUCUUUCGUUAUUCAAGAACUAUAAUAUCUUAUUUAAAUCAUGGCAUGAGACUUAGGUUUUUGUUUAAUUUAGCAUGUAUGACAUUUAACUUAAUUUAAUAUAUUAUUUUUAAUUAAUUAAACAUGAAAUAUGAUUUUAAUAAAAUUAAGUUGAAAUCAUUUUUCCAUUGCGAAAUUAUAAUUUAGUAUUGAGUUGUAAAUAAAUCGAAAAAUUUAACAAAUUUUCAAUCUCAUAUGUUAUACUGAAAAUAAGCUAAGUUUUCUAUAUUUUAAAUUGGUCAUUUUUUAAACUUUGAUCGCUACUAGGUCAUUUCGGCGGUCGAUGUAUUCUCUCAAAUUUGGAUCUAAUGUAUAGGCCGAGUUGAAGAGGUUACAACAAGAUGCAAGAUUAAUGUUGUUUUGUUUGAAGUAUAAAAUUAGUAAAACACAUAGCAAGGAUAACAUUAAUUGUUGGAGAUUAUGGUAUGCUAAAAUGUUGAUGUAGAAGCCCAAUUUCACCUGGGCCCUACCAGCAAAACAAACCUCAGCCCAAACGGCCCAAUUACAUUAUAAAAUUAAUUGGACCAACCCAAACCCACCUAAACCCAAAACAACUACAGCAACCCAAUUGGCCUAACUACCCAAACCCUAAUAGCCCAAACCACAAAAAAAAAACAAAACCCUAGGUGUGCCGCACUUAGGGCUCUCUGCCUUCUGACUUCUGCACUGCCGCUGUCAAUCACCUGCAAAAUGAAAAUCAAACACGCAAAGCAGAAGCAAAAACAGUGUAAAAUAGUAGAAAAAAAUAGAUAAAAUUGUAUUGCAAAUUGGCUAUAAAAGCCUGGAUCUCAGCCUUGUAAUGGUCUUCUUCUUUUUUCACGAGAAAAUAAAUAGAAAAAUUCAAGGUUUUUUUAUUUCGGCUUUUAUUUAUUUAUUUAUCUAUUUUUUUCUCUCAUUUUCUUUUAUUUUUAUGAAUGAAAAUAAAAAAAAUAAAAGAAGAAGAAAGAGGGAAAGCUUACCGGACGCCCCGUGACCGCACCGUCGGAGGGCAGAUCUCGUCGUCGAGACCGGGUUCGGAGAGAGGGGGUUGUGGGCCACUAUCUCCGUCCUUAGGGGGCUCGAAAGCCUGACCUCACAGCUCGCCUGGAACCGGGCUUUAAAAACCCUUUAUCGUGCUUCAUCGACCGUCGAUUUGGUGGCGGUACGGCGGACGGACGAGCGGAGGUAAGGAGGCCGUCGGAAGGCAUGAGGGGCCUUCAGAGAGUUUUUUCAAAUUUUUUUUUCUGAAGAAGAAGAAAAAUGAAAACAAAGAAAAAAAUUUGGUUUAAAUAACCAUUUCAAAACGGCACCGUUUUAGCCCCCAUGACCCGUGCACGACCCGACCCGCUCCAGGGGGAUCCGCGCGUUUUCAUGAAAUGAGUUAUUUGCGCGCGUGGUCCCUCCGCUUUUGCAGCGCGUUACAAUUAGCCCCUUUUUCCUUCUUUUCUUUUAUUUUAAUUUAGCCGUAUAAUUUUAUAGUUGUUUCAUUUCAAACCCACGUGGAACGACGCGUAUAUGGCUAGGGGUAAUUGCCCAAUCGGUCCCUCUCCCUCUGUGCGAGUCACAGAUUGAUCUUUUACCUUAUUUUAUUUUUGUUUUCUCCCCUGGGAUUUUGUUUUGUUUUCAAUUUAGUCCCGUUAUUAUUAUUAUUAUUGCAUUUAUUAUUAUGAUCAUUUACCCAUUUAUACUUUUUUUAAUUUUUGUUAUAUAUAUAUAUUCUUAUAUACACACACUUACAUAUUUUUAAUUUUCUUAUAUGUACGUAUUAACAUUUUUAUACACCUUAUAAUUUACAUACAUAUAUGUACAUACAUAUUGUUAUAGUGUACGUAUGCAUAUAUAUUUUUUAUUUUAUUCAUAUAUAUAUAUACCUAUUUAAAUUUAUAUUAUUUAUACUUUAUAUUUUAUAUAUGUGUACACAUUUUUAUUAUUUUUAUAAAUACAUACACAUAUUUAUAUAUAUUCUUUAUAUUUUAAAAUCUAUUUCUUCUUAUAUAUUUUCUAUAUUUUAUAAUCCAUAUAUAUAUAUAUAUUAAUAUACAUAUCAAUAUACGCUUUUAAAUUUCAUAAAUACAUAUAUAUAUUUACUUACCUUUAUAUUUUAUAUAUUUUAUAACUUUAUACGUAUAUAUAUGUAUACAUACAUACUCAUAUAUUUUUAUAUAUUUUUUUAUAAUUUAUGUAUACAUAUAUUUAUAUCUACAUACAUAUUUUUUUUAUUUUUAUAAGUGUAUAUUUAUAUAUGUACAUACUUAUAUAUUUUAUACUUUAUAAUUUAUAUAUACAUAUAUACAUAUUUUUUAAUACAUUUUCAAACACACAUACGUUUAUAUAUUUUUAUUUGUUUAUAUAUUUUUUAAUACAUAUUUACUUGUUUAUAUAUUUUUAUUCUUUUCAAACUUUGUUGUAUUCAUACACAUAUGUUUUUAUUUUAUUUUAUUUUUUUUCAUUAUUGUUAUUAUUGUUUUACUCAACAUUUAUUUAUUUAUUUAUGUGUCCAUCAUUAUUUUUACUAUUAUUAACCUUUUAGUCAUUUAUAUAUCAUUUAUUUAUGUAAUUGUUUAUUAUCGUUUUUAGCUUAGCUCUAGUUUCUGUUCAUUCUUGUAUCUUUUAUGUAUUUAUCUUACUUUCGCCUUUAAUUAGUACCAUUCGUAUUAUCGCAUUCAUCAUCUUAUAUAUAUUAAUCUUGUGAUUUAUUUAUAUGGUUUACUAUAACAUCGCGUACCUUUUACUCGAUGCAUUUCAAAUGAUGUUCUAACUAAACUUGUAUUUUAAGGUUUGAAAAAGUCGUACCCUAACUUACGGGUUUCGACUUUCUCGAUAAAUUCGAACACGUGAAUAUUUUUAAACUUAAACUUUUAAACGAUCUCGAGAAUUAAAAAAAAACUCGUGUCCUUACUUACAGGACAUGAUUUCUUUUUCUAAACCAGAGAUAGUCGAAUAUUUCAAGUGAAUAAAUUUUUGACAAUUAUUCUUACAUCGAAAAUUCAAGACAUUGUGUCCUAACUUAUGAGAUGCGAUUCUUUUUCUCGAUCAACGUGAAGUAUGCCAUUUUUCUUUUUAAAUAUUUUUUCGUAUUUCAAUAAAUGAUCGUAUUUUUAAAAUUUUUCAAAGUUUUCAAUUUUCAACACUAAGAUAUUAAUUAAUCAACUAGGUACCAACUUUGGGCGUUACGAGGGUGCUAAUCCUUCCUCGUACGUAACCGACUCCCGAACUCAUUUUUCUAAAUUUCGUAGACUAAAACUGUUGUUUUAAUAAAAUUAAAUUAUUUAUAAAAAAUAACUACUUUUCGAGGUGAUCCAAUCACACCUCAUCAAAAAAGAUUGGUGGCGACUCCUGUUUUCGUUUUCAUUUUUCAAAACUCAAGUCGACCCCGUUUUCGUCAAAAAAGUGGUGUCAACAGUUGAAGUAGGGAAUUUGACAAAGGAAAGAGAUGAAGAAGUGUUAAAGGGAUGGAGGGGGAUGUCACCUCAACAAGUUUAUGAUGCACUUCGAUAUGAGUCAUCACGAGAACUAUCAGUGUGAAAAGGUGUGUGUAUUUCUAUGACCAAGGGCUAUGGUUUUAUUAGUAAUUGGGUUUUGAAUUAAUAUAUAUAUAUAAUAGACCUACAUUACAAUACAAUCGGCUAAUGUGGGUGGCAUGCCAUAAACAAAUUGAAGAAUUGUUGAAAGAUAUUGCACUUGAAGAAGUAGCCAAGUUACCAUUUUUUCACAUUCCCUUAUUAACUGUCUCAGUAGAAAGCUUGCAGAAGACAGGAGAUAUUCAUUUAGUAGUGGCGGCACUUGUUGAAAAGUCAAAAAUGGUGGGAGGUGCAAUUGGCACCGAAAGAAAAAAAAAUAGUUGGCAAGUUGUUUAAAGUUGAAUGGGAUAAUUGCAAUUUUGGUCCCUAAUUUUUUAGGCCAUUUGCAAGUUAGUCCCUGAACCUCAACUAUAAAUAGGCCUAACCAUUUCUCAUUUCAACCAUCCCAACCAAUCUUUCUCUCUUAGUUUUCUCUCUUCUCCCAUUUGAGAAUUCUUAAGGAAUUCUAUUUGUCUGUAAUACUUUGAAGAUAGUAAAGUUAUCAUCUGGUGUUAGUGCCCGAGGACGUAGGUAUAAUUUACCGAACCUCGUUAAAACUCUUGUGUUCUUUCUUGUCCUAUUUUUCUUUCAAUAUUUGAGGGUAUAAUAGUAGUAUUUAAUUGUGCUAUUAAAUUACUAUAGAAGGGAUAUUCUGUCUAAGGAAAGACUUGGUAUUUAAGAGAUCCAUGUGAUCCACCUCUCUUUCCUGGGAAUUGAACUUUGUGUGAUUUUUUAGUACAAUAAUUUACACGCUUCCGACCCUAGUGGAACAACAAAUGGUAUCAAAAGCCGAAGGUUAAUCGUAGUAUGCUCUGUGGUUGCAGUUUGAACUGAUCUUCCACAUCAGAAAAGAUUUCCUUAGGUAUAUUGAAAUAUUAUGGAGAAAACGGUCGGUGUAGAAGCUUCAACAUCGUCCAUGUGGACAAGACCGACAAUUGCAAAUGCAAGAUUGGCCGUGGAGAUCUUUGAUGGCACGGGCCAUUUUGGUAUGUGGCAAAGUGAGGUUCUAGAUGCCCUUUUUCAGCAGGGUCUAGACAUUGCCAUUGUUGAAGAGAAACCAGAUGAUGUACAGGAGAAAGAUUGGAAGGCGAUCAAUCGGUUGGCAUGUGGCACAAUUCGAUCAUGCCUUUCUCGAGAGCAGAGGUACGCUUUUUCAAAGGAGACUUCUGCAAAUAAGUUGUGGGUGGCACUUGAAGAAAAAUUUUUGAAGAAAAACAGUCAAAAUAAGCUCCACUUGAAGAAAAUACUGUUUCGCUUCACAUACGUCCCAAGUACCACAAUGAAUGAUCACAUCACCAAAUUUAAUCAGUUAGUCACUGAUUUGCUGAAUAUGGAUGAGACAUUCAAAGAUGAAGAUUUGGCUUUGAUGCUGUUGGGGUCACUUCCUGAGGAGUUUGAGUUCCUAGAAACUACUCUACUUCAUGGUAGGAGUGAUAUAUCUCUGAGCGAAGUCUGUGCGGCCUUAUACAGUUAUGAACAGAGAAAGAAGGACAAACAGAAAAACUCAAUUAAAGAUACAGAAGCUUUAGUAGUCCGAGGUCGUUCAUACACUCGGAAGAAAACUCAAAAGGGGAGAUCAAAGUCAAAGUCCAGACUCGGGAAAGAUGAAUGUGCUUUUUGUCAUGAGAAAGGCCACUGGAAGAAAAAUUGUCCAAAGCUGAAGAAUAAGGGAAAAGCUGCUGUAGAUGCUUGUGUUGCUAAGCAUGAUACUAGUGACUCUGAACUAUCACUGGUUGCAUCAUCAUCGUCGUUCCAUUCAGAUGAGUGGAUAUUGGAUUCGGGUUGUACCUAUCAUAUGUCCCCUAACCGGGAGUGGUUCUCUGAUUUAGUAGAACUAAAUGGAGGAGUUGUUUAUAUGGGCAAUGACAAUGCCUGUUAAACUGUUGGGAUAGGUUCAAUCCAAUUAAAGAAUCAAGAUGGAUCAACCAGAGUUCUGACUGAUGUUCGGUACGUGCCCAGUUUGAAGAAAAAUCUCAUCUCAUUGGGAGCCUUAGAAUCCAAUGGUUUAGUUGUUACUAUGAGAGAUGGGAUUUUGAAAGUGACAUCUGGCGCACUUGUGAUAUUGAAGGGCAUCAGGAAAAAUAACUUGUAUUACUACCAAGGUAGUACAGUUAUUGGAGCAGUCGCUACAGCUUUCGGUAACAAAGAAUUGGACUCAAUGCAGUUGUGGCAUAUGAAGUUGGGACAUGCCAGCGAAAAAUCCUUGCAAAUUCUGGCAAAGCAAGGAUUGUUGAAAGGUGCAAAGGCUUGCAAAUUAAAAUUUUGUGAGCACUGUGUUCUGGGAAAGCAAAAGAGAGUGAAAUUCGGCACUGCUAUCCAUAAUACAAAAGGUAUUUUGGAAUAUAUUCACUCAGAUGUGUGGGGGCCUUCCAAAACACCUUCGUUGGGAGGAAAACACUACUUUGUUACUUUUGUUGAUGACUUUUCCAGAAGAGUUUGGGUGUAUACCAUGAAAACUAAAGAUGAAGUGCUUGGAGUUUUUCUUAAAUGGAAAACUAUGAUCGAAAACCAGACUGGCAAGAAAAUCAAGCGGCUUAGGACGGACAAUGGAGGGGAAUAUAAAAGUGAUCCGUUCUUCGAUGUGUGCCAAGAGUAUGGUAUUGUUCGACACUUCACAGUUAGGGAUACACCACAACAAAAUGGAGUGGCAGAGCGUAUGAAUCGAACAUUGCUGGAGAAAGUUCGAUGUAUGUUGUCCAAUGCUGGGUUGGGCAAGCAAUUUUGGGCUGAGGCUGUGACAUACGCUGGCCAUCUUAUUAAUCGUUUGCCAUCAUCUGCAUUAGAAAGAAAAACUCCUAUGGAGGUAUGGUCUGGAAAACCGGCUACAGAUUAUGAUUCCUUACAUGUGUUUGGAUCCACUGCAUAUUACCAUGUGAAGGAGUCAAAGUUAGAUCCGAGGGCAAAGAAAGCUCUCUUUAUGGGAAUCACUUCUGGAGUGAAGGGAUUUCGUCUUUGGUGCUUAAGCACAAAGAAAAUGAUCUGUAGCAGAGAUGUUAUCUUUGAUGAAUCUGCCACAUUGAAAAAGGUAGCAGAUAAAGAUAUUCAGACGAGCAAUACUCCACAGCAGGUGGAGUGUACUCCAAAAUAGGUGGAGUUUGAGCAGAUGGGGAUUUGCCCAGUUAAUAAGUCUAAUUCUCUAGCCACAAUGGAGGAAUUAGAGGUUGAAGAGGUUCUGACCCAAGAACCACUAAGUACACUAGAACCAGUUGCAGUUACAAGGCCACGGAGAGAAAUUCGUAAACCUGCUCGAUUUACUGAUAUGGUGGCCUACGCCCUUCCCGUUGUUGAUGAUAUUCCUAUCACUUAUCAAGAAGCAAUGCAAAGCUUAGAAAGUGAUAAAUGGAAAAGCACCAUGGAUGAAGAAAUGCAGUCUCUCCGGAAGAACAAUACUUGGGAGUUGGCGCAAUUACCGAAAGGUAAAAGGGCAAUCGGAUGCAAGUGGGUAUUCGCAAAGAAAGAUGGAUCUCCUAGCAAGAAGGAUAUUCGCUACAAGGCAAGAUUGGUAGCUAAAGGCUACGCUCAGAAGGAGGGAAUUGACUACAAUGAUGUAUUUUCCCCUGUUGUGAAGCAUUCCUCCAUUAGAAUUUUGUUGGCCUUGGUAGCACAGUUGAAUUUGGAGCUAGCUCAACUUGAUGUUAAGACGGCUUUCUUGCAUGGUGAGUUAGAAGAGGAGAUCUAUAUGACUCAGCCAGAAAGAUACACAGAUGCUGGUGGUAGAAAUUGGGUUUGUAAGCUUAACAAAUCGCUAUAUGGAUUGAAGCAAUCCCCGAGGCAGUGGUACAAGCGAUUUGAUAGCUUUAUGAGAAGGCAGAAGUACACAAGAAGCAAAUAUGACAAUUGUGUGUAUUUGCAGAAGCUGCAUGACGGAUCUUUCAUUUAUCUACUCUUGUAUGUUGAUGAUAUGUUAAUCGCUUCGAAGAGCCAAAAUGAGAUAGAUAAGCUGAAGGCUCAGUUGAAUCAAGAGUUCGAGAUGAAAGAUCUAGGUGAGGCCAAGAAGAUUCUCGGCAUGGAGAUAAGUAGAGAUAGACCGAGAGGCAAGCUCUGUUUAAAUCAGAAGCAAUAUCUGAAAAAGGUAUUACAAUGUUUUGGUGUAAAUGAAAACACAAAACAUGUAAGUACCCCACUUGCUUCUCAUUUGAAACUUAGUGCUCAAUUAUCUCCGAAGACUGAAGAUGAAAGAGAAUAUAUGGCGAAAGUCUCAUAUGCUAAUGCAGUUGGGAGUUUGAUGUAUGCUAUGGUGUGUACGAGGCCUGACAUUUCACAAGCUGUUGGAGUUGUGAGCAGGUAUAUGCAUGAUCCUGGAAAAGGACAUUGGCAAGCUGUGAAAUGGAUUCUACGGUAUCUUCGAAAAACCGUAGAUGUUGGUUUAAUUUUUGAACAGGAUGAAGCACUUGGUCAGUUUGUAGUUGGAUAUGUUGAUUCCGACUUUGCUGGUGAUUUAGAUAAACGUCGUUCAACUACGGGGUAUCUGUUUACUCUUGCGAAAUCCCCAGUGAGUUGGAAGUCUACCUUACAGUCUACAGUAGCUGUGUCUACUACAGAGGCAGAAUAUAUGGCAGUUACAGAAGCUGUUAAGGAGGCUAUUUGGCUUAAUGGAUUGUUGAAAGACUUAGGAGUUGUUCAAAGUCACAUAAGUUUAUAUUGUGACAGUCAGAGCGCUAUUCAUUUAGCGAAAAAUCAAGUCUAUCAUUCAAGAACCAAGCAUAUCGAUGUAAGAUAUCACUUUGUGCGGGAAGUCUUUGAAAAAGGAAAAAUUCUACUUGAGAAGAUUCCGACAGCAGAUAAUCCCGCAGAUAUGAUGACCAAGGUGGUAACAACAAUCAAGUUUAAUCAUUGUUUGAACUUGAUUAACAUCCUGAGAAUUUGAGCACUUUUAGGUGUAUGGCGCUCGAGAGCGCAUUUGGAGGCACUACAAAAGAUAGCUUUAUCGAAUUUGGGGAGUUGAAGGAAGUAUGUGAAGAUGUGAUUAUCCUAAUCAAAUCUUCAAGGUGGAGAUUGUUGAAAAGUCAAAAAUGGUGGGAGGUGCAAUUGGCACCGAAAGAAAAAAAAAUAGUUGGCAAGUUGUUUAAAGUUGAAUGGGAUAAUUGUAAUUUUGGUCCCUAAUUUUUUAGGCCAUUUGCAAGUUAGUCCCUGAACCUCAACUAUAAAUAGGCCUAACCAUUUCUCAUUUCAACCAUCCCAACCAAUCUUUCUCUCUUAGUUUUCUCUCUUCUCCCAUUUGAGAAUUCUUAAGGAAUUCUAUUUGUUUGUAAUACUUUGAAGAUAGUAAAGUUAUCAUCUGGUGUUAGUGCCUGAGGACGUAGGUAUAAUUUACCGAACCUCGUUAAAACUCUUGUGUUCUUUCUUGUCCUAUUUUUCUUUCAAUAUUUGAGAGUAUAAUAGUAGUAUUUAAUUGUGCUAUUAAAUUACUAUAGAAGGGAUAUUCUGUCUAAGGAAAGACUUGGUAUUUAAGAGAUCCAUGUGAUCCACCUCUCUUUCCUGGGAAUUGAACUUUGUGUGAUUUUUUAGUACAAUAAUUUACACGCUUCCGACCCUAGUGGAACAACAGCACUUACAACCAUAACUGUUCCAAGUGAUUUCAAGGGUGAAAAAAGGUCAGCGCAGGGAAUUCCUUUUCUAAUUUACGAGGCAGCCUUUAAAGUAUUUGUUAUGCAUUGGCCUUUAUUCUCUUUGUUUUGCUACUCUCCAUCCACUUUGGAAUUCUGAAUCCUCUUUUAUCAAAAAUAAAUUAUUGAGAUAUUAAUAUAAUUUUAUAUUAAACCCAGUUCAUGUCUAAUGUCCUUGGUGAUUGCUUUAGACACAGGUGGUUAUGUGAUUCUAAAACCUUCUCAUAGACUUGCAUAUUGUUUCAUCCGCCCUGCCUUUUUUGUUCAAUUCUUCUCCUUCUUUGCCAAGUAUUUUAUUUACAGUUUCCUUAAACCCAAAUUUCACCGUAAAAAACUCCUCCUUUAUUGACCUGACCUCUAACCAGAGAUUGUGGUUUUGUUUAAAGUAAAAUUAUAUAGUUAAUAAUGCACAAAGCAAGAAUAGUACUUAGGGCAGCAUUGCCUUGACCACGAAGAGCUGUACACCCCAUUUUCUUCCCUUCUUUUUCUUCAAUUCUUCUCCUUCUUUGCCAAGUGUUUUCUUUACGGUUUCCUUAAACCCAAAUUUCACCAUAAAACCUCCUACUUUAUUGACCUGACCUCUAAUCCUAUAUAUUACUAUUACUGAAGUGUUCAAGUAUGAAAUUAUAUAUAUAGUUGUAGGUGACUUAAACGGAGGAUAUGCAAGCAACAAACAAAUAGGUAUGGCAUUUGGAAAAUUUCUUAAUUUGCAGUUUUUUUUUUCUUGAGCUUGGGAUGUUUCAAGAUAAUUAAUUAAAUUUUGUUUGGUGUUAUCCAGGUAGAAAUAGAUCAACAAAAAUGGGACCUCAGGAGCCUGAAGAGAACAUCAGUCACAUGGAUGCUUCGCUCUAUAAGGCAGCAGCAGAAGGCAACAUUGAAGUAUUCAAUAAUAAGCAGGGACUUCAACUUGAGUCGCUAAAGACCCCAAACCAUGACAACGUCCUCCAUGUUAACUUGGCAACCCAGGAGACUGCCGCCUGGCUUUUAAACAGAUUUCACUCAUGCGAUCCGGUUAUGAGUUUUUUCAUUACUAUGAUAAAAAAAGAAAAAAGAUCAGAUUUUAUCGAACAAAUUCUCAGCAAGUGUCCGUCACUGCUACUCCAAACGAAUGCUAAAGGUCAAACUCCUUUACACGUUGCAGCAAGGAAUGGACAUUCUGCUAUUGUGAAACUUCUAAUCAAGUUUUGCGCAAAAGCUAGAGAUGGAGAUUUAGAGAAGCUGGGAAUGGAUCAAGUAAAUGCAGUGAGGGAGAUGCUGAGGAUUACGGAUCAGGAAUCCAACAUGGCUUUACACGAAGCAGCACGUUGUGGCAAUGUUGAAGUGGCGAAAGCAUUGUUGGAGUUUGAAGACCCUGAUUUUCCGUAUUCUGCCAACAAAAAACAGGAGACUCCACUUUACAUAGCAGCUAGGAGGAGAGGAUCUGGGCGCUUGUUGACUCUAUUAUUAGAUAAACUCAAAUCAACUGCUCAUGGCGGCCCCCACGGUAGAACAGCUUUGCAUGCAGCAGCUAUGGCUGGUGAUGCAGGUAUGUUGUUGAGUUAGUUCCAUUUUUUUUUUUUAAUUUUGAAAUAAAUAGAGAACAGGUCUAUUGAGUUUUUUUUUUUUUGCUUGGAUUUAGAGGCAAUAAAGGUAAUAUUAAAUAAGAAGGGGAAUUUGACAAAGGAAAGAGAUGAAGAUGGACACACCCCUCUCCAUUAUGCUUCACACUUGGGUAAUAGAUUGUCAGUUGUGAAAGAACUGUUAAAAAGGGAUGUAACAGCUGCCUAUAUAGGUGAUAAAAAGAGGGGGAUGACACCCCUUCUUAUGGCAGCCAGGCAAGGCCAUAUUUUAACAGUUUCAAAGAUUCUCUCUUUAUGUCCAGAUUGUUGUGAAAAAGUGGACAACAAAAGUUUGAAUGUACUUCAUUAUCUGGCUUUUAGAGACUCUCCUUCUCCAUUUGGGAAUUCUGUUUUCAAGAGUGGUGAUAUUGAGAUUGUAUACGGAUCAGUCAAAACUCUAAUGGAGUUGGAAGGUGCCUUUGGAAUGACACCUCAAGAUGUUGAUAAUGCAGUUCGAUCUCAGAAACAUCAUCAUAAACAGGUAGUUGUGUGUACAUUUUACAUUUCUAUAGCUAUGGUUUUAUUAAUAUUUAAAAUUUUGAAUUAACAUAUUUAAUAAACCUAUAAUACAAUGGGCUAACGUGGUGGCAUGGCAGAAGCAAAUCAAAGAAUUGUUGGAAGAAAUUGAGAAUGAUCAAGUGGCGGAGGAACCAGUUCAUCACUUUACCGUACGAAAUAAUUCUAUAGAAAGUUUGGAGAAGACAGGAAAUGCUCAUUUAGUAGCUGCAGCUCUUAUAGCCACCGUCGCAUUUGCAGCAGCAAUAACUGUUCCUGGUGGUUUGGAGAGUGAAAAAGGGUCAAAUCGAGGCACUCCCAUUUUGAUUCAAGAGGCAGCCUUUAAAGCAUUUGUUGUAACAAAUGCAAUGGCCUUUAUUUUCUCUGUUUCUGCCCUCACCACCUACUUUGGGAUUCUGGAUCAUCUUUUUACACGAUUUAUUUUUUGGCGUGAAGCAAUAAUUUUAAAUCGAACUUGGUCUGUUUCUACGCUCCUUAGCUCUGCAACGCUUGCGAUGGUGAUUGCUUUCAGCACGGGUAGUUAUGUGGUCUUAAAACCUUCCCACGAACUUGCCAUUGUUUCAUAUCUCAUAUGCCCUGCCUUUUUACUUUGUAUGUGGGCAGCUUUGUUUGUAAUUUUGACUCGUUCAAUACAUAUUUAAAAUAUAAAUAUGAUAAUAUUACUUUAUGGUUUUUUACAAUGUUGUUUCAAUUAUUAUAAAUUCAAAAAUAUUUUAUUUUCUUUUAAUAGUUUUUCAAAUAUUAAAUAUAUAAUGCAAAAAUAUAUAUAUUUUGUUUCUCAUGAAAAAUAGAUAUCAAUCAUGCAUUUCAAGUUUUCAUUAUUGAAAACAAAAUUUUAUUUCUAGUUAUCAAACUUGAUUUUAAAUUUUCAAAAAAUAGAAAAUAAAAAUAUUUUCAGAAACCUAACGAAGCUUAACUUUUUUUUUUUGUUAGUAUACCAUUUGGUAUUUGAGUUAAUUUCAAUGUUCAAUUUGAUACUUAAGUUCGGCUUCAAUAUUUAAUUUGAUAUCUAAACCAAACGAUUUCAUAAGGCCUAAUAAAUAUUUGACAGGUCUACUCUAAUAAACAAGCAUGGGUAUUCUAAUUGAGACAAAAGAAAAAAAAAAGAAAAAGAAGCUCAAGUAUUAAAUUGAACUUUUUUAAAGUUAAACUCGGAUUCUUAACUAUGACAAAAAGAAACUCAAGUAUCAACGUGAAAAAAAAUUAAGUACAAAAUCGAACAUUCAAACCAAAUUCAUAUACAAAAUUAUAAAAAAUAAUCUUUUAAUAUUAAAUUAAAAUUUGAUAUGAAAUUCAAGUAUCAAAUAAUAUAUUAACUCUUCUUUUUUUUUUUUUGUUAAAUCCUCACCUUGAAAAAAAGCUAAGGUUAUUUGUUUUACAUUUACAACUUAAAAUUUUCAUAUAAAUAGAUUCUGUAUUUAUAAAAAUCUAUUUUUAUUAAAGAUUAAAUAAGAUUUAAGUGGUGUGUUGUUUUAAAGUUCACAGAUUUUUAUUUAAAAUAAUUACAUAAAAAUAAAAAACUCAAAAUUUCACACUAACAAUAUGAAGUUAAAAAAUCACACAUAAAAAAUAGCAUUGCUAAAGAUUCUGCUUUACUAAAUUGUUUAAGUAAGGAAUUAUACAUGCCAUGGUGCUUUCUUUGUAGCAAUGAUCUCUUUGGAUGGAUGAUGCGUUUAUUUACGGUUAGUGUAAAAAUAACGAUAUAAUACUCCAAACCCGGUCUAGAUGUUAUGGCCGAAUAUGGAGGACUUACAUUAGUUUGUUUUAAAACUCUUGAUUUAAUCAAACUUAGUUGUGCGUUUCAAAAACAAAAAACUUGGUGGAACUCUCACAAACGUUCAGAAAAACUUAAGUCCGAAAACACUUAUUUCAAACUCAGAAAUUUAGUUCAAUUUCAUUUGUUUCAAAAGUACCAAUUUUGGAUAAAUCAUUUCCGGUUAAUGCCAAAAUUUGUUAAAAACUAUUUAUUUAUUUACAGAAAAACAUUUAAGAGUAACUUAAUUUGCAGUGGAAAAUUUUUCAAAAUAAUUUUAGCUUUGAAAACCCUAAUCUAAUUUGCUAACCCAUGUGAUUUUAUAGUUUUAAGAUAAAAAAUAUCAAAAAAAAUCAACGAACGAAACGAAAACCAAAACACAACUGAAAAAUAGAUUACAGUCCCAAAAUUAAUUAAAACAUAAACCAACAUAUUUCAUUUAACGACUGGUAACCAAUCCAAGCUCCCGCACGCCGUCCGGUUCUAAGUCUGAAGUUUACCUAAAACAUAUUAAACAAGCAAGUGAGUUAGAAGCCUAGUGUGUGACCUGACCCACAAACAGAGUUUUCUUAUAAGUUUUGCAUAAACAAUAAUCACAUUGAAAUUUCGUAUCGUAUUACAUAUUAAAGCAUGUCAUGUAAUGUAUCGGAAAUUAUCACAUAUCAUAUUUGAAUGUCAUAAUUUUAAAAACAUAUAUCAGAACAAAAUUUCAUAAUAAACACAUUCUCUUAUACAAAAUUAAUUAUAUGUGUGUUCAGAUUCAAAUAUAAAUACAGACACAAAUCCUACCUCCAUUCGCAACACACCAAAUAGGACUACAAGAGUUCAUCCAUCCAAUCACACCAAUAUGUGGCGGUGUGCCACUCAUAAAUAUGUAGCUAAGCUUCUAUAUAGAAAUUUGCGAUCUAGUCGCCAUAUAUUUGCAAUAAAAACUGCCAUAUAACACUUCUUCUAUUAUAUCAUAACCCACCUCAAUGUAUAUGCAAAAUCACGUUAACAUUCAUACAUAUAUCAUAGAUUGUAUGGCAUGCAUGCAUAAAUAGAUAUUAUACAAAGCAUAACGCAACACAUAACUUAUACAGAUCAUAACAUAUUGAGAUUAUGCUCCACACAAAGGUUGCAAUUUUUUCGUGGAAGAAUUGUUAAAAAGAGUUGUAUCAGCUGCCUAUAUAAGUGACAAAAAGAGGGGGAUGACACCCCUUGAUUAAGUGCUAAAGUUACAUAUUUUAUGUAAUUGAAUUAGUUAAUUUAUGAGAGUGCACCGCUAAUUUUUCCAUGUUUACAUUGAAUUUUGUGCAGAGAUGCAAUUUGGGGCUAAAUAGAAGAAAAAUGAAACAAUUGGGCUAAAUUGAAGAAAGAAGCAAAGAAGGAGGGCCAAAGCAAAAUUUUCCCAAUAUUAAUUAGCUGAAAUUUUUGUUGACUUAGUGGGAGAUUAUUUUGGGAUUUUAUUUUAUAUCAUGGAAUAUUUUUCCAAGGCCACUAGUAUAAAUAGAGGCUACUUUGUUCAUUUUAUUCAUCAAUCAAUCAAUCAAAAUAUUAAGCUUUCAUCUUUCAAUACAUUUUCUCUCUUCCUGUCACGAAUUCAUUUGCUGCUUUUAGUUUCUUUUCCUUCAAUUUAUUAAUUCCUAGUAGCCACCAACUUAAGCCAUUUGCAAUCCCUUUUUCAAAUUCCCUUUUUAUUUCCAGUAGCCAACCACCCAUUUACCUUAUUUAAUUUAUCCAAUAGUCAACAUGCCCCAAACCUUAGUUAACUAAACCCAUUUUCAGCUUUAGGUCGGAAUUAACCUCGUCAAAACCCGUGAGUUACGAACCCGAGCAAUUUAACUCCUAAAUUCCAGUACUUAUUAUUUCUCUGGAUUAAGAGUAUGAUUUUUUCAACUCACAAAGUCAAACCAACAUUAAGUCAAAAAAGACGUCGUUUGAUUUAGUGUGGUUAGACGUACAGUUGAAAUUCCGAAAGGAACGUUUCUAAUCGGUUUUCUGUGAACACAUUGGCGUGCCAAGUAGAGAUUGCUGUUUGGUUCCGUCAAGGGAAGUAGUAACCAGAUUUAAAUGUCCCACGCGGUUGAGGGCAUUGGUUCGAGCUAGGCUUUUCUAGAACGCAAAGCUACCGGAGUUCUAAAUUACGAACGUUUCGUGGUUGUUCGAUCGGUAAGGGUUAGUUAUUGGACGUUCCAUAACUAAUUUACAGAAAGAAGAGUUGGUGUCUGAGGCAUCCUUGGUAGCUAUAACUAGCUUAUUGGAAAAGAGGAGUUCAUCUAAUUUCGAGGAUCGGUUCAAAGACGAGGAAAAAUCCGUGCCUAAAGCUGAGCUUUUUUUAAUUAAUUCCCCUUCAGAUUUUAUUUAACUAUUUUUAUUAUUUUGUCUUCAAGUUUUACUUUUUUACGUUUUUUUUAUUUAUUUAUUUCAAGUUUCAGAUUUUAUCCUCCCGAAUUUCUUGGGCACGACAAUUGCCCCGACAAAAAUCUAGUCAAGAGAAGAACAAUUUGCAGUAAACCCAGUCUCUGAGGGAUCGACCCUACUCUCUAUACUACUUAAAAUGCAAAUUAGGCAUAGGUUUAUAUUGGUGGAUUUGACACCCAUCACCCCUUCUUAUGGCUGCCAAGCAAGGUUAUCUUUUAACAGUUUCAAAGAUUCUCUCUUUAUGUCCAGAUUGUUGUGAAAAAGUCGACAACAAAGGUUUGAAUUUACUUCAUUAUCUGGCUUUUAGAGGCUCUUCCUCUCCAUUAGAGUGUCAUCUUUUCAAGCUUGGUGGUAUUGGGAUUGCAUAUGGAUCGGUCAGAAAUUUAAUGGAGUUGGAAGGUGCCUUUGGAAUGACACCUCAAGAAGUUUAUAAUGCACUUCAAUAUGAGAAACAUCAUCAUAAACAGGUUUAUAAUCAAUGAUUUUUUAUAUCUCAUCCGCACUUCAUUUUGGUGGCCUCCUCAUGGAUGGUUAAAGUUUAAUGUGUGUGGGAUUGCUAAAGAAGAUAGAGCAGGUUGUGGAGGUGUCUUGAGAGAUAAGGAGGGUGUCGCAAGAGCAUUUUUCUGGUUCAGUAGCAGCAAAUGAUGCCGAUGUGGCUGAGAUUGGUGCGGUGAAGAUUGCUCUGUAAGUAUUUUUUUUAGCUAUGAACUGGAAGAUUAAUGAUUCUUUAUUUAUUGAACUUGGUUCAUUGGUGGUGUUUUCUUGGUGUGCUAACAAGGAAUGAGACCAUGGUCUCUUCAAGCAAUUUUUGCAGGUAUUGAAAAUGACAUGUUAAAGGCUUGCAGGUCUCUUCAAGAAAGGUAACGAGAUGGCAUCUUCCUUGGCGAUUGCAGGUUAUAAUCGGGUGAAAAUGUUUAAAGCUUGGUGAUGAAUUUUUGUUUUGUUGCAUUCAUAGGUUUAUUAGAGUUGGAAUGCGUUUUAAUUUUGAUUGCUGUAAUACUGAAAUUUUUGUUGUUGUUCUGUUCGUCUUUGACAACAGUACAGCUCGAAUGAAGCAAAAAAAAGAAAAACGAAUGUUACCUCUUUGAAUAAGCAUUACUUUGAUUUUCAGUUAUAAUUAAAAAUUAGUUUGACAAAUCAUUGAAAAAUAUAAGAAUAAGUUUAAGAAAAAUACAAAGUUUUAUUUAAAAGUGGGAAGUCGUCCUCAACUUUUUUAGUUAGCUUUAAAAAGAUAAAAUUGAGUUUACAAUAUAAAUUCAAAGAAAAAUGUUUAGGUUAGAGAAUUCGUUAGCACUCUUGUGACGCCAAAAAUUGGGCACCUUAUUAAAUAUGUGUUGUCUACAUUCGUAAAUUAAAACUCAUAUCUUGGUUUUGAUUAUGAUCCAAUUUUUUGAUAAAUUAAAAAUAAAUAUUAAAUGAGUGAAUCAAUUUUUUAAUAGCAAAACAAAGAUAAUGAUCAAGUUGUAGCAUUUUCAAAAUUCAGGGGCCUUUUUUGAGAUUUUCCAUUUAUUUUUCAUCAUGUUUAAAAGAGAAGUUAUAAAUUUUGAAGUCAGUAGCCCAAUAUUUAUUAAACAUUAAUUGCGCCCAAAUCAAAUAUUAGCUCAAAGUUCAGAAACAUUCGAAUUUUAAAAUUGUGAAAGCAAUAACAUUUCAAAAACUAAUAAAUAUCAACAAAAUAAAAUUUGAUAUUAUCAUGUAAGCUGCUAUUUUCAAGAAUUUAAUGUUUUAGUCAAUGUUUUCGUUAAAAAAAAUCAAUUUGAUUCCUUUUGAAAGGUUUAUGAACUAAAUUCGACUCUUUUUUGAAAAGAUUUAGGACCAAAUUUAGCUCAAGAAAAGAAUAAGGGUUAAAUUUAGCUCAAAAAAAGAAUAAGGGCUAAAUUGAUAAAAAUAAAUUAUACAUAAAUACUAAGGGCUAAUUUUUUUUAUUAUGCCUACUAAGGGCUAAUUUUGUUAUUAUGCCUAAUGAAAAUUAAGAACUCAAUUUAAGUACUUAUAAAAUCUAUUUGAUAUAUUUCUUAAAAUACAGAACAUUAUUAGAUUGUUUGAUAAAUGUAAUUCUUAAAUUUUAAAAGUAAAGUAUUUAAAAUUUAAUGUUAAAAGAAAUAAAAUACAAAAGAAAAUCUAUCAAUAGUCUAUUAUUUACUUAUCAUUUUUCAUAUUUUUUUCGUUGAAAAAUUCUGUACUUUGAUUUGUCACUCAUUAUCAAUGGCUCUACUUUCUCCAAAUUUGUCUAAAAAUGGGUUUAAAAAUUUGUCUAAGCCUUACUUGAAAGAAAAUUAUUAAGCCUGAGCCCGGCCCAUAUUAAAUUUUACAACACCAAAAAAGGUAUAUAUUUAAUAUAUAUAUUUGAUUAAAAGUAUAUUUGAUUAAAAAUAAAAAAAUAUUUAAUAUAUAAUUUGGGUCGGGCCGGGCUCGGGUCAAAAAAAGUUUUACAAGAACCCCGCCCGUUUUCUAAACGGACCUCAUUUUUUUGCCCAAACUCAUAUUUCAGGCCUAUAUUUUUACCCGAACUCUCCCAUUUUUCGAGCAGGCCGUCGGGCCGGGAUGGACCACUCAACCCAUGAUCACCUCUACAUACAGGGCGACGAAAUUUAUUUUUUGAGAGGGUGGAAAUUAAGUUGAAAUUAAGUUGUAUACUUUUAUGAUAGUAAAAAAAUGUAAUUCCAUCCUUUUAAUAGUUUAAAUUUUUAUAAUAUUUAAAAGAUUAAAUUAAAUAUUUAUAAUUUUUAGAAGGUCAAAAUGUAAUUUUAUCAUUAUUAAUUUAAAAUUUUAUAAAUUAUAGAUAGGUUAAAAAGAGAGACCUAUCGUACCCUUGGCUGCACCCCUAAACCCAUAGGUUUUCAUCCAACUUUGAAAGUCCUUUCAAGCUUUCCAAUCUAUUAUAUUUGAUGUCUCAACGAUCCUAACUCUCGACCAAAUAAUCAUUUCCACUAUUUUUAAGCUAAUAUACUUAGGAUUGAGGUAGAAUAAGGACAUAGUGAAUUCCAAAAGUAAAUUAAUUUUUAAAGGGAUUUAAGCCUAAUUCAUUUUGUGUCAAGUCUACAGUAUUAUUAGUUCAUAUUAACACAUCUCUCUAAAGUUAAUCCUAUUCCGGCAAUCAAGAUAAAUUAUCUCUCCUUAUUAGAUUUUAGACAACAUAAUAAUUUUUAUAUAAAUUUCUCUCUCUUCGUAAUUCUAUAGAUUAUAAGUCAUGUAUUUAGAUUACCGACUAAUGGAAGUUGUAUUUUGCAUACAAAACUAAAUUUGUGAUGCAACUUCGAAUUAAUUUAACAGAGGAAAAGAAGAGGAGUGCGGCAGCCAUGCAGCAACGACCAAAGCCAAAGAGAAGGCGGCUUCCACACAAUUUCUUGACUUUUCUUGUGUUUCUCGUCCAUACAAUUAUUUUAUAUUCUAGUAGCACAUUUUCAUUUUGUUUCCCUUGUAAAUAUUUAAAAAUAUAUAAAUCUAAUUAUUUACAUGUUUGAUAAAUAAAUUGUUUGUAUAAAAAAAGUGAAUUUUAAAAUUAAAAUUCGUUUAUAUAAUUAAACAAAUUAAAAUUUAUGUCCAUAUUACAAAUUAAAUUAAAAUUAAUACAUGAUUUUGAUAUUUAUUUCUUUGCAUUUUCGAGAAAAUGUAUUGACUUCACCAAAAAGAGCUGGAGAGCUCAUUUUCUUCCAUUCUUCUCCUUCUUUGCAGUUUCCUUAAACCCAAAUUUCACCAUCAAAAACUCCUACUUUAUUGACCUCACUUCUAACCCUAUAUCACUAUUACUAUUACUAUUACUAAAGUGUUCAACUAUAUAUAGUUGUCAUUUGUAGUUGACUUGAAUGCAGGAUUUGCAACUAACUGGUAUGGCAUUUGGUAAAUUUCUGAUUUUGCAGUACUUUUUUCUUGAGCUUCGAAUGUUUCAAGCUAAUUAAUUCAAUUUUGUUUGGUGUUAUCCAGGAAGAAAUAGAUCAACAAAAAUGGGACCUGAAGAGCCUGAACAGAACAUCACUCACAUGGAUGCUUCGCUGUAUAAGGCAGCAGUAGAAGGCAACAUUGAAGAAUUCAAUAAUAAGCACGGGCUUCAGCUUGAGUCGCUAAAGACCCCAAACCAUGACAACGUGCUCCAUCUUAACUUGGCAACCCAGGAGAAUGCUACCUUGCUUUUUAACAUAUUUCUCUCAAUAAUCAAAUUCUUCCCCUUACUAUAUGGAUGCUUCUCUCCGCCUAUGCGUGAUUUAAUUACUAUUAUAAGAGGAGAAAGAAGAUCGGAUUUUAUCGAACAAAUUCUCAGCAAGUGUCCGUCAAUGCUACUCCAAACGAAUGCUAAAGGCCAAACUCCUUUGCACGUUGCAGCAAGGUAUGGACAUUCUGCUAUUGUGAAACUUCUAAUCAAGUCUUGUGCAAAAGCUAGAGAUGGAGAUUUAGAGAAGCUGGGAAUGGAUCAAGUAAAUGCAGUGAGGUGGAUGCUGAGGAUUACGGAUCAGGAAUCCAACACGGCUUUACAUGAAGCAGCACGAUUUGGCAAUGUUGAAGUGGUAAAAGCAUUGUUGGAGUUUGAAGACCCUGAUUUUCCGUAUUCUGCCAAUAAAAAACAGGAGACUCCACUUUACAUAGCUGCUAGGAGAGGAGACGGAGGCAUGCUGAGUAUACUAUUAGAUAAAUUGAAAUCAGCAGCUCUUGGUGGCCCCCACGGUAGAACAGUUUUGCAUGCAGCAGCUAUGGCUAGAGAUGCAGGUAUGUCGUUGAGUUAGUUCCAUUUUUGUUUUAAUUUGAAAUAAAUAAAGAACAGGUCUAUUGACAUUUUUUUUGCUUGGAUUUAGAGGCAAUAAGGAUAAUAUUAGAGAAGAAGGGGAAUUUGACAAAGGAAAGAGAUGAAGAUGGGCACACCCCUCUUCAUUAUGCUGCACACUUGGGUUCUAGAUUCUCAGUUGUGGAAGAACUGUUAAAAUGGGAUAUAUCAGCUGCCUAUAUAGGUGAUAAAAAGAGGGGGAUGACACCCCUUCUUAUGGCAGCCAGGCAAGGCUAUCUUGGAACAUGUUCAAAGAUUCUCUCUUUAUGUCCAGAUUGUUGCGAAAAAGUGGACAACUAUGGUUUGAAUUUACUUCAUUAUGCGGCUUUUAGAGACUCUGUCUUUCGAUUUGGGAGUUCUGUUUUUAAGCGUGGUGGUGCUGAGAUUGUAUAUGGAUCAGUUAGAAAUCUAAUGGAGUUGGAAGGUGCCUUUGGAGUCACACCUCAAGAAGUUUAUAAUACACUUCGAUCUAUGAAACAACAUCAUAAACAGGUGUGUGUGUAUAUAUAUUGCAUUUCCAUGGCUAUGGUUUUAUUAAUAUUUAAGUUUUGAAUUAACAUAUUUAAUAAACCUACAAUACACUCGGUUAAUGUGGGUGGCAUGACAGAAGCAAAUCAAAGAAUUGUUGGAAGAAUUGGAGAACGAUCAAGUGGCAGAGGAACCCGUUUGUAAGUUUCGCUUACCAAAUGUUUCUACAAAAAGAUUGGCGGCUAUAAGAAAUACUCAUUUAAUAGUGGCAGCACUUAUAGCCACCGUCACCUUCGCAGCGGCAAUAACUGUUCCUGGUGGUUUGGAGAGUGAAAAAGGGUCAAAGCAAGGCACUCCCUUUUUGAUUCAUGAGGCAGCCUUUAAAGUAUUUGUUGUAACAAACGCAUUGGCCUUUAUUUAUUCUGUUUCUGCCCUCUGCAUCUACUUUGGGGUUCUGGAUAAUCUAUUAUCAAGAUUUAAUUUUUGGCGUGAAACAAUUUUACAUCGAACUAAAGCUGUUUCUGGGCUUCUUGGCUAUGCAACAAUCGCGAUGAUGAUUGCUUUCAGCACAGGCAGUUAUGUGGUCUUAAAACCUUCCCACGGACUUGCCAUUGUUUCAUAUCUCAUAUGCCCUGCCUUCUUUUUCAUUCUGCAUUGGACUAUUUUUGAUUACUAUAUUAAGAGGAUAUUAUUUUAUCGUUGAUUACAAUAUGUUCCCAAUUCCUAAUGUCAAUGUUACCUCUUUGAAGAAAUAUUACUUUAAUAUUAAUAAUCUCCAUUUAAUUGAAAUAAAUAUAAAAUUAUUAGAUACACAUACAAUUUCAAAUAAAGUAAAAUUUAUUAAAUAUCAAAGAAUAAUAAAGAUGUGGCAAUUAACUCUCGGUUAUAAUUAAAAAUUAGUUACAUUAUAAUAAAGACAAUGAGAUUAAAAAAAAAUUCAAAGUUUUUGUGCAUUAGACUUUCAACAUUGUAACUUUAGCAUUUCGACUAUAACUUAAACUACGAAUCUCUAUUUUGAGCCCAUAAUAUAGUAAACUACUUCACAAAUCAAGCACCAAAACCUCAAGAAUGCAUCCAAAAAUAGCCUGGAAGUUUGACGUGAAAGUUGCUAAGAAAUCUUGAAACAAUCUGCUUUAUGUAAAUAGGUAAAUUUUUGCAUUUUCUAUAUUAUAUUAUCUUUGCCUUAUAAACAUACAUUAUUAGGUUAAAACUUGAGGAGAGACCCAGACAUAGUCACCUUAGCUUUAUUUUGUUUUUGCGUUUUAUUUUCUUUAUGAUUUUUUUUAAUUUUUUUUCUAGUUUAAGGUCAAUCAAAGUUUGAUUCAAUUAAUUUGUGAGACAUGAUUUGCACUUUAAUUCUUUUUUGUUCUUUGGUAUUCAUGCAUCUUCUGUUAUAAUUACAAUUGCUCAGGUUUGUUAGUAUUGAGUCAUCAACUAGAACUAAUUUAUUAAAAACAUUGAAGAUAUCAUUACAUAGAUGAUCGAACUUAAAAAUCAAUUGUAGAUUUUACCUUUGGGUAAAAUUACUUUCUUUGGUUCAGUUUUUAAUUUGAAUUUAGUUUUUUAUUUUAUAAAACCCUUUUUUUUAUUUACCUUAGUGGUUCUUACUUAAGGAAUAUAAUUAUCACUAAUAUCUAUAUAUGUGGGUAUAAUUUUGCUUGUUGUUUUCUAUUAGUUUAUAUGUUUAAAUUAAUUUCAAUUUUAUAGGUGUCGAUAGUCUAACAACUCUCUUGGAUCUUCCUUGUUGAGCAUUUUUGAACUUCUUAAACCUUUGGCUUCAUUUUGAUCUGUAUUUAAAAACUUUGUUUAAGUUUCGAGAUAAAAGGGUUAUCUACUCUUGCAACUCUUCUAUAGUAGUGUUAUGAUUAGUGGACAUUACUUCUGUCACUUGUAAGGAAACACCCUUUUUUCCUCCGCUUCAAUUUUCUUUUUAUUUCAUCUAGAUUGAUCUCAUAGGUUUGUAGAAAUCCAAUUAACCCAUCAAUUCACAUAUUAUCAAUAUCUUUGGCUUCUCCAAUGAUUGUGACUUUGAUGUUGAAUUUCUUUAGAAAAGAUCAAAUCACACAAUUUGGAAUAGAACUUGUCAAUUGUUUCAUUAUCCUUCAUUUUUAGAGUUUUAAACCUUGUUAUGAGCAUUUGUAAUUUAGACUGCUUCACAAUCUCUAUAACACCCCUAAACCCCGCCUGAACGUUAUGGCCGAAUCUGAAAUGUUACAAAGAAGAGUUUUGAAACCGAUCUUUACAUGAAAAAAACAACUCGUAUGGUAUGUUACUAGAAAAGAGUCCUUAUUUUAUAAAACAUAUCCAUUUAACAUUUUCUUUACUAAAACCAUCGAUAUUUUGUUCUUUAAGAAAAACUUAAUUUGCUGCAGAAAUCUUAAGUGUCAUUAUAUGUCGAAAACCAAGUUUGUGUUUCCCAAAAUGUUUGUUUGUGUAAAACCGUUAUUUAAAAAAAAAGCGUCUGUUGUACAUUGCAGAAAACAUAAUCAAACCAAAAACAACAUCAAAAACCAAAAGAAAUCAAAAAGGACGGAGAGUCCCAAAAUUACAAAACUCUCAACAAAAACCAAAAAUUAAAAUAAAACCAAUAAUUAAAGGAUAGUUUCCAUACUAGUGGUCAUCGCUGAGCCUCCGUCGCACCGACCCACCUAUGUUUGAAGAUUACUUGAAUAAAGUAGACAAACAGAUGUGAGUUUUCAAAAACUCAAUGUGUAACUUAACAGAGACAUGCAUACACAUAAACUCAGAUUUCUCAUGUAAUAGAUCAGAUACAGGCAUAAGUCCUUAACAGAAUCAUAUAAUAUCAUAAUCGGAUUAUCAGAAACAUACAGAUACGCAAAGUCCUACCCCCAUCCUCUACACACCAUCUCAGACCAUCCUAACACACCAUGUGGGGUAUAAAACACCCACCCAUCCCUACACACCACAUAAUGUCUUUAUAACACUUAUCAAGAAUAGUUUGCAGUCAAGCUGCCAGUAUAUCAGCAACAUGUUGCCUCACAGAACACUUCCUCCACAUAUACAAAUCCCACCCCAUACACAGAUAUAGAUAACAGAUAACAAAUAUAACAGAACUAACAUGUCCGGCAUCCUCAUAUACAAAUAUCAUACAUGUUAUUAUGAAAUAGUCAAAUCAUACAUAUCAACUUCUAAUUACUCAGAUUAGUCUAUCAAAAUAGCAGAUAUCAUGCAUUAAGGUUUGUUUUGCCCUUACUGACCCUAUGAAAGGCCCACAGUUGAUCGGGACGACGUGUGCGACCCUAAGGAAAAUUUUAGAAAUUUGGGCCCACACGCCCGAAACAGCCGGUCACACUGCCACACAUACUCCCGUCACACGGCUGUGUGGCAUCAACAGGCCACUUUUUCAACUUUCAUCGAACCUCGAUUUCUCGUGAUUUCAUUACACACCUGGUUCAAUUUUUAUGUGAAACAAUCUCGAGACCACCAAAACCUAAAAAUUGACAAUACAAGCCCUAAAAUCAGUCCUUAAUCCUCAAUUAAACCAAAACAAAAAAAUAAACUACAGUGAAACUCAAGUAUUCGCCACUUACCCAACUUCCCGAACAAUCCCAAUUAUGUUUCCGUAGGAAGAGAGUUUCGUUCCUCACGAUUCACUGCUACCAAUAAUCCACAAAUUAAUACUAACGAAAGACAACAUCGACUUAGAUCAACUUUAACAAUCGCCAAUAACCCGUGUAAAAUCUCACUACCUCUACUUACCUAGUCGCACGAAGAGAUUCAAAUUUCGAAGCAUCACAAUUUGAAUGGAAAAUCAUGACAAAAACUAAAAGAAAAGAAAGAGAAAGUUUUUGACAGAGGGAGAACAGAAGAAAGUUAGAAAAAGGAGAAUUUUUGGGAAAAAUAAAAUAAAAUCAAAAUAAAUCAAAAUUUAACACAUAUCUUAACUUCCCUCACUACUCAGAAUUUCACUACCACCGAACUUUAUCAUACAACUGAAGCAAAAAUUAAUAUUCACGCUCACACGGGGACUCAAACACAAAACCACAAGGCAAGUUAACACUUUACUAGUCAAACCAACAAACUCAUUCUAUUAUGACUUGACUAACAAUAGAAUAUAAGCCAAACCGUCAAGGAUAAAGCUAGGGUACAAAAUAACAUAAUUUUCCAAAAGAAAAACUUAAACCUAAGACCUCAAAUACACAAUCAGAACACUUAACCAUUGAAACAAAUACCCAUUUAUGAUAAAACUCACAGAAACAAAGUUAAAUUAGUUAGGGCGUUACAAUCUCCAUGCCUUGAUGGGCAAUCUCAGAGACUUCAAGCUAUAUAUAUAUAUGUGUGUCACUUGUCUUGAUAAGCCACAAGGUGUCUUGGAAUAAGUAAGGCAUUUUGUAAUUUUUCUUAAUUUGUAAUGUUUUUUUCUUUUAUCUUUGAAUGUUCCAAGGUAAUUGAUUAAUUGGUGUUUUCAAGGAAGAAAGCUGUGCAAUAGAUCAACAAAUAUGGGACCAACGUUAAACGAAAUUGUUAUUUCCUCCGGUGAACCUGAGAAGCCUGCAGAGAACAUCACUUACAUGGAUGCUUCAUUGUAUAAAGCUGCAGCAAUUGGCAAAAUUGAAGAAUUCAAUAAUUACCAGAGGCCUGAACUUGAGUCGCUGAAGACCCCAAACCAUGACAACGUGCUCCAUGUUAACUUUUCAACCCCUGAGCGUAUCUGGCAACGUGCUCCAUGUUAACUGAAUUGUAAAUAAAUUAAAUUACAAGGUUGACGUUGUGACAUUGUUACUUUCUCGUUGUGACGUUGUCAAAUAGUUUGCCACAUCACGAUAUUGUAGCACCACUUAUUGUUUUGGCCUCGUCGAGAUGACGGUGUUUCUCAUAUCACUGUGACAUUAUAGGUCAUUUCUUGUCGUGGUGUCAUAUGUUAUUUCUACAAAAUUUUUCUUGAUUAUGUUAAAGUUGUAUGACCCAAAUCCUAUCACUUGUUCCUACAUUAAGAAAUUUUACUAACUUUGCUUGAAAACACAACAAGAACAAAGUAAGUAGAAUUUUAUUUUGUUUAAAUAAAAUAAAGUAUAAGUUAAAGUGUUCAAGGAAUGAAAUAUGCAUGCUAUGACGCUUUUUGUUAUGCUAUGCUAAAGUGUUCAAUAAAGGAAUUAUGCAUCCUACGCUUUUGUUAUGCUAUGUUGAAGUGUUCAAGCAAUACAUUAUAUAUAUUAUAUGUGUCACUUGUCUUGAUAAGCCACUAGGUGUCUUGGAAUAAGUAAGGCAUUUUGUAAUUUUUCUUAAUUUGUAAUAUUUUUUUUCUUUUAUCUUUGAAUGUUCCAAGCUAAUUAAAUAAUUGGUGUUAUCAAGGAAGAAAGCUGUGCAAUAGAUCGACAAAUAUGGAACCAUCGUUCAACCACAUUAUUAUUUCCUUUGGUGAACCUAAGAAGCCUGCAAACAACAUUAUUUACAUGGACGUGUCGUUGUAUAAAGCUGCAGCAGUAGGCAAAAUUGAAGAAUUCAAUAAUUACCGGAGGCCUGAACUUGAGUCGCUGAAGACCCCAAACCAUGACAACGUGCUCCAUGUUAACUUAUCAACCUCUGAGUGUAUCGGGCAACGUAGCAGAUCAGAUUUUAUCGAACAAAUCCUUUUCAAGUGUCCAUCACUGCUACGCCAAACAAAUGCGAAAGGUCAAACUCCCUUGCAUGUUGCAGCAAGGAAUGGGCAUUCUGCUAUUGUGAAACUCCUAAUCAAGUCUCGUGCCAAAGCUACUGAUGAAGAUUUAAAGAAGCUGGGAAUGGAUCAAUUGAAUGCAGUCAGGGAGAUGCUGAGGAAUACGGAUCAGGAAUCCAACACGGCUUUACAUGUUGCAGCAAGGUAUGGUCACGUCGAAGUGGUGCAAGAAUUGCUGGAGUUUGAAAACCCUGAUUUCCCAUAUUUUGUCAACAGAAAUCAGGAGACUCCACUUCACAUAGCAGCUAGGAGAGUAGAUAAGCUCUCACUGAUUAUACUAUUAGAUAAAUUGGACAGCUUUGCAUGCAGCAGCCAUGGCUGGAGAUGUCGGUACGUUAAGUUAGUUCCAAAUCAUUCUUGUUUGAAAUAAAUAAAGAAUCAAUUUAUUGACUUUUUUGUUUUGUUUUGCUUGGAUUCAGAGGCAACAAAGAUAAUAGUAGAGAAUAAAGGGGAUAUGACAAAGGAAACAGAUGAAAAUGGACACACCCCUCUUCACUAUGCUGCGCACUUAGGUCACGAUUCAGUUGUGGAAGAGCUGUUAAAAUGGGAUUUACUUGCUGCCUACGUAGGCGAUAAAGAGUGGGAAAUGACACCCCUUCUUAUGGCAGCCCGGCAAGGCCAUGGACAAAUAGUAACAAAGAUUCUCUCUUCUUGUCCGGGUUGCUGUGAAAAAGUGGACAAAAGGGGUUGGAUAACUUUUUCAUUUUGUGGAGUGAAAGUUUUCAAGACAACAUUUAAUAGAACUGUUCUAUAUUUUAUUAACUAAACAACUGAAUUUAAAUAGAAAAAAGAGUAUUAAUUUAAUUGGAAAAAUAAUUUCCUUAUUUUAAUAAACUACUAAAAGAUAAAAUCAAAUAUUCUUAGAAUAUCUCAAAUAAUUUAUUCUAAAAUUUAUCUACCUAAAUAAGAUUUAUCUACCUAAAUAACUUUAAAAUAUAUCCCAAAAUAUAUGCCUUUCACAUAUUUCAGCACAGAGAUCCUUCUUUAUUUACAAUUCUCCAACGUGAUAAUGGUUGUAGCACUAUAUAUGGGCUAGUAAAAAAUCUAAGGCAGUGGAAAAAUGCCCUCGGAAUCACACCUCAAGAAGUCUAUGACACAUAUCGUAGUCGUUUCCAUAUCACUGAUCAGCGUACAGAGAAAAUGGUAAAAUUUCUAUGGCCUAUGGCUAUGGUUUUACAUGCAUGUAUAUAAAAUACAAAGACCUAUACUACAAUACAAUCGAUUAAAGUGGCAGGAGCAAAUUAUGGAAUUGUUGAAAGAUAUUACAAAUGAGGAAGUAGCCGAGAAACCAGUUCGUCCCAUACCUUCGAUAACUAUCUCUGCAGAUAGGUUGGAGAAGGAAAGAGAGGUUCAUUUAGUAGUGGCAGCACUUAUAGCCACCGUGACUUUCGCAGCAGCCAUAACCGUUCCAGGUGGUUUGAAAAAGGAAAAAGGGUCAGAGCAGGGCAUUCCUUUUCUCAUUCAUGAUGCAACUUUUAAAGCAUUUAUUGUAACCGAUGCAUUGGCCUUUCUUUUCUCCCUUUGUGCCCUCCUUUUCCAUUUUGGAAUGCUGCCUCCUUUUUCCUCAAUUCAGCGCCCUACUUUUCUGUCUCACGUCGGUGCCACUACGUUUCUUGGUUAUGCAACGUAUGCGAUGGUGAUUGCUUUCUGUACAACCAUUUAUGUGGUGUUAAAGCCUUCGUACGGGCUUUCCUUCGUUUGCUAAUCCAUGGCAUUGUUUUCCAUUAUUUGGUGGUGAUUGUACAUUAAAGAUGAAAGAGGGAAAUAGUCCUUCAUUAAAAUUGAGUUAUUAGAAUUCCACGUAUUGGCCUAAUAGUUAGGGUGUUUAUUGUCCUUGGUGUCGCUUAAAUUCGAGUAGCGCUAGUCACGUUGCUAUUAAGGCUUUGUCCUCCUCUUAUAAUUCACCAAAAAAAAAAUUUUGAGUUAUUAAAUGCUGAUUUAUGUUUUAUAAGUAUAAGGAUUAAUGAUAAAUUUAUAAAUAAUAUUAUUUGCACAAUUUUAAUUAAAUUAAUGAUUAAAAAUCAACUAAUAAAUUAUUUGAGUCAAAAGUUGAAUAUAAAAACACAGCAAGAAUAAGAUAAUAGAUUAAUGUUGUUUUGUUUGAAGUAAAAGUAUAAAAUUAGUAAAACACAUAGCAAGGAUGCUAUGCUAUGCUAAAAUGUUGAAGUAGGGAAUCGGUGCUUUCAUCAAUUAUGGAAUUAUAUAUGGUUUUCGUUUGUUUUGAUAACUUGUAGGUGAUUUGAAUGAAGCAUGUUAUAGUUAAACCCUAAAUUCUAAAACAUAAACUUUAAAUCGAGAAAGAAAACCUUAAAUAAAUGAGUAAAAGUAUAAUUAUUGUUAAUUAAAUGGUAAUUAAAAUAAAAAUAUAGUCAAAAUAAUAUAAUGAGUUUUAUCUGCUACAAUUCGUUACGACAAAUUAAGUUCUUUUCUGUAAUUAAUAAGCUUAUUUUUGAAUAAUUUGAUUACAUUUCUAUUAAUUUCCCAUUUUAGCAUUUUAUGUUCGAUUUCAAUAAAAUAAACAUUUUUACAUAGUUAGGUGUUUUAAUGGCCCGUUAGGCCAAUCAAAGCCUAAGAAACAACUAAUGGAUUAAUUGAGUGUGUCGGACAUCGUUUCGGGCCAAGAAAUUUGAAGAACGACCCCAAUGUCGCAACAUCCAUUAAUAGUGUUGUAACAACCAACUUCGAAAGUUAGAAUGGGGAUGCAAAGACGACAGUGUCGCAAAAAUGAACUUUGCAUGCAAGCUAGGAGAGUAAAAUCGAUGAUGUCGUGACACCCAACUUCGAGGCCAAGAAAGUCUCAUUCGAUGUCCGAUGUCUUGACAUCAGUCCUAUUGACACUGAUUCAACGAGGGCAAAAUACAACUGAGGAGGGUGUUUUCAUAUGCACAACUCAUCCUAACCCGUUAAUCACUUGCAUUUGAUCUAAUAAGAUCAUAAAAUACCAGAAUUAUAAAUAGAAUAGUUUAAGGUUUAAUUGGGAUUUUAUUCCCUUACUUAAUUUUCUAGCUUUAGGUUUUGUUAGAUUGGGAACUUCUAUUUUAGAUUCAAUUUUAAUUCGAGUUUUAAUUUCUUCAUCAAUCUUUAGUUUUUCUUUUGCAUUGGCUUUCAAUCGCUGUUUCCUCAACGAUUAUUAAGGGGUUUUUGUCUUCCAAGCACAAUCGGCAUAUCAACGAAUCAAAAUUAUAUUUUCCCCUCUUUCUAGUUUGCUAUUUGUUUUAAUGUCUGGAUUGAAUUUAAGGAAAAUUGUAUUUAGACUUAUGAGGAGCUAAACCAGUAGGAAGAUUAAAGAUCGAAGGUGGAAUUAAUUAACUGAGAAAUUAGAGUUCUCCUUAGAAUUAGUUGACUUAAAUUAUGUGUAAUUAAAUCUUAAGGUUGACAACUCUAAGAAGUUAUUUAGGUAAAUGAGGUCAAAAGAAUAGUUUAUCGAGUAUUUCCUAAUUUAAUUCGAUUUAAACUGCGAUGUCAAAAUAUAAGUAGUUUCUAAAGAUUAAUUGAUCUAGUUACAGGCUGAAAGGUAAUAACUAGGUUAAUUAUUAACUAAUUCAUCAAAACCCGAAUUCUGAAGUUAAUUAUGAACACUGACAUGAGUUAAUCUUCUGUCUUUUACCGAGUGAAUUUCAAUUGUUAGUUUAGUUUUCUUUAAUUUACGGUAGUGUCACUACUUAAUUUUAUUUAGAUUUUUCGUACUAUAAUUUUAAAUUAUUAUUGUUUAAACCUGUUAGUGUAGAAAUUAAUCUCUAGUUUAAUCUAGCCUCUUUUGGUACAAUUUUUUGAAUACUUAGUUGUUCCAUUGUAACUUUUAUGUUAUAACCUGACUUGUAUAUUUGCGAACAUAACUAUUAUUUCAUAUAUUUUAUUUACAGUAUUUCCAGCCCCGAUAUUUACAUGUCGAGGCGAGUAAUCAGAGUUCCAACAACUCGUCCUUAGAAGUAAUAAAUAUUAAUAUUUUAAAUAGAUAUAGUCAAAAUAAUAUAAUGAGGUCCAACAACUUGUGGUUGGAAGUAAUAAAUAUUAAUAUUUUAAAUAAAUGUAGCCAAAAUAAUAUAUUUAUGUCCAACAACUAGUCCUUGGAUGUAAUAAAUAUUAAUAUUUUAAAUAAACGUAGCCAAAAUAAAAUCCAACAACUCGUCCUUGGAAGUAUUAAAAUUUUGAUAUUAUUGUUUUUUUUAUAUUUUUAUAAAAAAUAAAAUAUAUAAGCAAUUUGAAUUUUAGUCAACAUGAUUUCAACGUUCUUAAAUUUAUCAUUUCAAUCAUAACAUUAUUUGUUUUUUUAUAAACAUUAACAUGGUAAUAUUUUUAUUUUGGUUUUUUCAAAAUAUUCAUUGAAACAAGUCUAAUGAUUAAUCUUUCGUAUUCUGUAAGUCCAUUAAGAGGUAAGUGCUAAAGUAUAUAUAAAAUAUAUAAAAUAUACUAAGUGUGUCUUAAUUUUAUCAUUUCAGUUAGAGCAUUAUUUAAUUCUUUUAAAAAACAUUUACAUAAAAUUUUCACUUACAAUUAAUGUGUCAUAAUUUAGUCAUAUAUAAAUUUAAAAGUGAUAAAUUUGUUUUUUGGGUACAUGAAGAAUGAUCAAAUCAUAACUAGACUAGAUGGGACCAAGUCAUUUCAAAGCAAUCAUUAUAUAUCUUUUGAAGGAUUUCAUCUGGAGUUGCAUAUAGCUAUAUAUGUCCAGAGGCCCUGAAAAUCCAUUAUUACCAGUCCAUCGGCUACUCAAUUACCCUAUCUGAAUACGUGAUGUGUCCCACUAAUCAUUCAAGCUCCUUGAGUAAUUUCUUUAAUGCUAACAAUUUAGUAAUUUAAUGAUCUUUAACAACCUUGUUUUCCGUAUUAUAUAAUUUUAAUUAAUAUUUUAUAAUUAAAAUUAAAAAUUUAUGUAUUCAAAUUAAUUCAAAUUCACCUAACCUUUGAAUUAGAUUGAUAAACUACAUUUAGAUAAAUCUAUUUAUAACAACUUAAUUUUUUAUUUAAAUUUAUAUAUAAUUCAAUAACAACUUAAUUUUGUAUUUAAAUUUAAAUAUAAAUCAAUCUUAUAAUAUUUGUAAUUAAUAUAGAGUAGUAAACUAUUCUUAGUCAUGAAUUAAUUUCUUCCACCCAUUCUUGGCUGCAAAACCAAAGACAAUGAGAUAAACAAAUAAAAAGAGUCAAGAACGAAGAAAUCCUAGCCUUGAUUUAUGGUUUCAUUAAUUCUACCUUUUGGCCCACAAAAUGAAAAUAAUGACAAAAAGUUGUUCAAUUCUUGAUUGAGUCUUAGCUCAAUUGUUAUUAACAUUAUUACCUGUGUAAGAGGACGUGGGUUCGAGUGUGCUGAAACGUAUUAUCUUCUACCUUAUUUAAGGUCGGGGAGAGAAAAAAAAAAGUUGUUCAAAUGAUGUAAGGGAUCAUUAGUUGUAAUGGGAAUAGAUUUGUGAAAAUACUGAUUUGAGUGGUUUAGGCCAUUGUGCUCUUCAAAAAUUUGAAAUUUCGUUCUUAUAUUUUUAUUUUUAAAAAUUUAGUCCCUCUAUUUUUAAGAUCUUAAAAUUUAGGUCCAAUUGUUAAUUCUAUUGUUUUAACCUUGAAAAAUUUGUAGAUUGAGAUCACAUCCCUUUCAAAAUUUGCUGAAUUUUCAAAAAAAUAUGUUAAAUGUUUGAUGUGAUUUUUCAAAAACUUUACAGAAACUUGGUUGAAGAAUUAAUGGUUUCCAGUUGACAAGUUGACUUAGGCAUUACAGGAGAACUGAUAGUUUGAUGAAUCUAUUUGGUUAUAAAAUAUUUGUAUUGAUCACUCUGCAAGAGACUAAUUACAGGCAAGUAACAAACAGGAAAGACAUUUGGUAAUUUUCUGAAUUUCUAGCUUCUUUUUUUCUUCAGCUUAGAAUAUUCCAAGCUAACUAAUUAAUAUUUGUUUUGUGUUAUCUAGGAAGAAAGCUCUGCAAUAGAUCAACAAAAAUGGAACUAUCGAUAAACGUCAUGCCUAUGUCCUCCGGAAAACCUGAGGAACCUGAAGAGAACAUCACUUACAUGGAUGCUUCGUUGUACAAGGCAGCUGCAGAAGGCAACAUUGAAGUAUUCAAUAAUAAGCAGGGGCAUCAACUUGAGUCGCUAAAGACCCCAAACCAUGACAACGUGCUCCAUGUUAACUUGGCAACCCACGAGCUUGCUGCCUGGUUUUCUAAUGGAAUUCUCUCAAGAACUAGAUCCUUCCCCAAUUUAUAUUUAUUUGUCUAUUUGUUUUUGUGGAUUUUCAUUAUUAAGAAAACAAGUGAAAAAAGAUUAUAUUUUACCGGACAAAUUCUUACCAAAUGUCCGUCACUACUACUCCAGACGAAUGCUAAAGGUCAGACUCCUUUGCACGUUGCAGCAAGGAAUGGACAUUCUGCUAUUGUGAAACUUCUAAUCAGCUUUUGCGCAAAAGCUAGAGUUGGAGAUUUAGAGAAUCUGGGAAUGGAUCAAGUAGUUGCAGUGAGGCAGAUGCUGAGGAUUACGGAUCAGGAAUCCAACACGGCUUUACAUGAAGCAGCACAGUAUGGCGAUGUUGAAAUGGUGGAAGAAUUGUUGAAGCUUGAACACCCCGUGGAAAGAUUGUUGGAGCUUGAAAAUCCUUAUUCUCCGUAUUCUGCCAACAAAAACCAGGAGACUCCACUUUACUUAGCAGCUAUGAGAGGAGAAGAGCCUUUGCUGAAUGUAAUAUUAAAUAAAUGGAAAUCAGCUGAUCAUGGUGGCCCUCAUGGUAGAACAACUUUGCAUGCAACAACUAUGGCCGAAGAUAAAGGUAUGUUGAGUUAGUUCCAUAUAUAUUUUUUGUAAUAAAUAAAGAAUAGAUUUAUUGACAGUUUUUUUGCUUGGAUUUAGAGGCAACAAGUAAAAUAUUAGAGAAGCAAGAGAAUUUGAGAAAGAAAAAAGAUAAAGAUGGGCACACCCCUCUUCAUUAUGCUGCACACAUAGGUUACAAUUCUGUUGUGGAAGUAUUGUUAGAAAAGGAUGUAUCAGCUGCCUAUAUAGGUGAUAAAAAGUUGGGGAUGACACCCCUUCUUGUGGCAGCCAGGGAAGGUAAUGUUGGAACAGUAAAAAAGAUUCUCUCUAAGUGUCCUGAUUGUUGUGAAAAAGUGGACAAAAGAGGUUUGAAUUUACUUCAUUAUUUGGCGUUUAGAGACCGUUCCUAUAAAUUAAGUCAUUCUCUUUUCAUGCCUGGUGGUACUAAGACUGAAUAUGGAUCAAUCAGAAAUCUAAGGAAGUUGAAAGGUGCCUUUGGAUUCACCCCUGAACAAGUUUAUGCAUUACUUCGAUAUGAGGGUCAUAACGAGAAAUAUCUGGAUGAAAAGGUGUGUAUUUCUAUGACUAUGGGUAUGGUUUUAUUAAUAAUUGGGUUUUGAAUUAACAUGUGGUGGUAUGGCAGAAGCAAGUCGAAGAAUUGUUGAAAGAAAUUGCAAGUGAAGAAGUAGCAGGGUUACAAGUUUCCCACAUUCCCUUACCAACUGUCCCUGCAGAAAGCUUGGAGAAGACAAGAGAUGCUCAUUUAGUAGUGGCAGCACUUAUAGCCACCGUCACAUUUGCAGCAGCAAUAACCGUACCUGGUGGUUUGAAUACUGAAAAAGGGUCAGAGCAGGGCACUCCUUUUCUGAUUGAUGAGGCAGCCUUUAAAGCAUUUGUCGUAACAAAUGCAUUAGCCUUUAUUCUCUCUGUUUCGGCCCUCUCCAUCCACUUUGGGAUUCUGGAUCCUCUUUUACCAAAACUAAAAUUUUGGGGUAUUAAUCUAAUAUUAUAUCGAACUCAGUCCGUUUCUAAUCUCCUUGGCCGUGCAAUGUUUGCGAUGGUGAUUGCUUUUAGCACCGGCAGUUAUGUGAUUUUAAAACCUUCUCAUGGACUUGCCAUCGCUUCAUGUUUCAUCUGCCCUGGCUUUUUUGUUUGUUAUUACGUACAACAAUCCCUAUCUUUCGUGAAGAGGUUGUUGGAGUGAUAAGUGAUAAUAACGAAUUUCAUCACAAAUAUUAUAUUAUCUGUGACAAAUUUUAUAUGUCGCACUAAUUAUACCACAAUAGUCAUUAUUAUGAUAAUAGUUGUGACGGUUUAAAUAUUGUUUCUAUAAAUGUAUAAUGGUGACCUAAUCUAUUUGUCAUUAGCAAUUCUCUUUCUUCUUGAGUAAUUAUAUAAUAGUCACAACAUAUAAUUAUUCCGAACAAAAUUAGGCAUUUAUAAAGCUCAAACAAAAGCAUUUGAAUUUUUUGUAAUGAGAUGAAUAGAAGUUAUUAAUUCCGAGUUUUGUAAGUAGAGAUAAUCAAUUUUUACUAAAAGGUACUCAUAUUGUGUGAAAGACAAUAAAAAGAAGAGCUCAUGGAGGCCCAUGGUAGAACAACUUUGCAUGCAGCAGUACUGGCUGUAGAUGGCAGGCAAUUAGAUAUGCAAAUAUGUUAUCAACAACUUCAUUUAUUUCCCGAAAUAUAUGUGAAAGGGAAUUAAAUCUCUAUUUGAAGCCAAAAUGGAUGUGGUUCCAAGUGUUGAGCGGCAUAGGAAGUAAUCAAAAUAUAUGUUGCACUGCAAGGAAUUCAAGGCUGCCUUGUCCACAAAGGCUUAUAACUGCUAAGCACCUGCUCUUAAAUUUGAUUAUGGCCUAAUAAACAACAUAGGGCAGCAUUGACUUCACUACAAAGAGCUGUAGACCCCAUUUUCUUCCAUUCUUUGUCUUCAAUUCUUCUCCUCCUUUGCAGUUUCCUUAAACCCAAAUUUCAACCAGUCAAUUAAAUGUUUAAAUUUGAAAAUCCCCAUACACUUGAUGCUAUUUUCUUUUCUUUUUUUUGAAUUUAGCUAUGGAAUUUACAUCUUUUAUCAAUUUAGUUAUUUUUAUUAUUUUUUAAAUUAAAUUUGACUCUUCAUCUUUCAUAAUAGAGUUCAAUUUUACCAUAACACAAAGAGCUGUAGACCUCAUUUUCUUCCAUUCUUUUUUUCAAUUCUUCUCCUUCUUAGCAGUUUCCUUAAAAGCAAAUUUCACCAUAAAAAGCUCCUACAUCAUUGACCUGACCUAUAACCCUAUAUAUUACUAUUACUAAGCAAUAGUGUUCAAGUAUGAAAUUAUAUAUAGUUGUCGUUUGUAGGUGACUUAAGUGGAGGAUAUGCAAGCAACAAACAGGUAUUGCAUUUGGUAAAUUUCCUAAUUUGCAGUAUUUUUUUCUUGAGUUUGGAAUUUCAAAGCUAAUUAAUUAAAUUUUGUUUUGUGUUAUAUAUCUAGGAAGAAAGUUGUGCAAUAGAUCAUGGGAACAUCGAUAAACAUCAUGUUUAUAUCCUCCGGAAAACCUGAGGAACCUGAAGAGAACAUCACUUACAUGGAUGCUUCGUUGUACUAGGCAGCUGCAGAAGGCAACAUUGAGGUAUUCAAUAGGUACCCAGAGCUUGCACUUGAAUCGCAAACGACCCCAAGCACUGACAACGUGCUCCAUGUUAACUUGGCAACCCACGAGCUUGCUACCUGGUUUUCUAAUGAAAUUCUCUCAAUAACCAGAUACUUCCCCAAAUUAUAUUGUUUUCGUCUAUUUGUUUCAGUGGAUUUUCAUUAUUAACAAAAAAAGUGAAAAAAGAUAAGAUUUUAUAAUGACCCCAAACCAUGACAACGUGCUCCAUGCUAACUUGGCAACCGAGGAGACUGCUGCCUGGCUUUUAAACAGAUUUCUCUCAAUACUCAACUUCCUCCCCGUAAAAUAUGUAUUCAUCACCGUAGAAAAUGUACCAUCUAUCGGUCUUUGAUUAUUUUCAUUACUAUGAUAAGAGGAGAAAAGAGAUCAGAUUUUAUCGUACAAAUUCUCAGCAAGUGUCCGUCACUGCUAAUCCAAACGAAUGCUAAAGGUCAAACUCCUUUGCACGUUGCAGUAAGGUAUGGACAUUCUGCUAUUGUAAAACUUCUAACCAAGUCUUGUGCAAAAGCUAGAGAUGGAGAUUUAGAGAAACUGGGAAUGGAUCAGGUAAAUGCAGUGAGGGAGAUGCUAAGGAUUAGGGAUCAGGAAUCCAAUAUGGGUUUACAUGAAGCAGCACGGUGUGGCAUCCAUCAUGUUCCAUUACUAUUGUCAAAAUUACUGUUAUGCACACAACUUGACUUUGGCUGGUCACUCAUUAUCAAUGGCUCCAGUAUCAAAUUAGGGGUACUUAAUUGUGUUCUCUUGAAAUAUUGAAGAAACUAUUUGAAUACUGAAUACCAAAUUCGCGUUCCCAUUUUAGAAACUAUUUUAAUUUCUUUAAUUUGAAUAUCAAAUUCGAUCUAGGAUCAUCAAGCACUCUUAUUUUUUGAAUUAAUUUUGUAACGGAUUUAAGAUUAUAUUUCAUUUUCGGUUCCAUCUAAUAUGUUAUUAGUCCAAAUUAACACAUCUAUAUCUCUACUUGAUAGUCAAUCCUACCCCGGUAAUCAAGACAAGCUAUUUUUUAUUUUGUUUAAUGAAGAUCAUAUGUUAGAAGCUAAGAAAUUUAUCAAAGUAUAAGAAAUUUUUGAAUUAUUACUAUUUUAAUAUUUUUGUCUUUUAUAUAUUUUUUAAAAAUUAGAAAAUAUAAAAGCAAAUCAAAUCUAAGCUACUAUGACUUUAAUAAUGCUAAUUUUGUAAUUUCAACCAUAACACUAUUUUCUAAAAUAAAUAUUUACAUAAAUUUUUUUGUUACAUGAUAAAUAUGUGAGAAUUUUUUUUCUUAAGGUAUCCACUAAAGCAAGCAUAGUGAUUUAUUUUCCGCAUUUUCUAAACCUAUUAAGAGAGUAAAUGUUUAAAUAUAUAAAAAAAUAUAUUAAGUGUCUCAUAAUUUUUAUUAAAAAUUAUUAAAAUUUAACAACCUAAAUCCGGCCUAGACAGAAAGACUAAGUUUGGGAUGUCUCAUGAGUGAUGAAACUUAGUUGUAUUCCAACUAAGUUUGUUAGUGGUAGUAGGUGGUGAUUUAUUUUAAGUGGAUGUAAUGAUGAAACUUAGUCGUAUUCCAACUAAGUUGUCAAGUUGUAAGCUUGUAUAAAUAGGCUUUAUGCCAUUUUAAAAAAAUGAAUGAAUUCAAUCAAGAUUUCAUCCAUAUACUCUCUAUUUUAGCUUUGCUUAAAAUUUAUUUCAUUUUUCUUCUUUGUUUCUGCCGCAAGUCUCGAUUCUUGCUCGGCAAGCUUUUUGUUGAACCUUGCUAUUUGUUGCACUUAGCUCCAACAAUUGGUAUCAAGAGCCUAUUUCUUAAGGGAUCUGUUAUACAAAUUCAUGGCUUCAUCAAGCUUUUCACCAGCUGCACCUCAAGUCUUCAAUGGAGAAGGCUACCACAUAUGGGUGGUUAAAAUGAAGACCUACCUACAAGCUUUCGAUCUGUGGGAGGUAGUCAACUCAGAUGUUGAACCAGAGCCACUUAGAGGCAAUCCAACAGUGGCUCAAAUCAGGCAGCAUGCUGAUGAGAGGACCAAGAGGCACAAAGCCAUGUCUUGCAUCCAGAACUCAGUGUCAGAUGUGAUUUUCACAAGGAUUAUGGCCUGUGAAUCACCAAAACAAGCCUGGGACAAGUUGCAAGAGGAGUUUCAAGGGACAGAGAGGACAAGGCAGCAACAGUUGCUGAACUUAAGGAGAGAUUUCGAGAAUUUGAAGAUGAAGGAAGAAGAAACUAUCAAGCAGUACUCUGACAGGAUUAUGGCUGUGGUUAACAGCAUAAGGCUCCUUGGAGAGCAGCUCAAGGAAGCUAGGAUAGUGGAGAAGGUUAUUGCAACUCUGCCCGAGAGGUAUGAGGCAAAAAUCUCAUCUCUCGAGGACUCAAGGGACCUGUACACCAUCUCCCUGAUAGAGUUGAUCAAUGCUUUAUAUGCUCAAGAGCAAAGAAGAGCAAGCAGACUGGAGGAGCAUCAAGAAGGUGCCUUUCAGGCAAGAACAAACACUGCCUACAAAGGCAAGAAAGCCUGGAGAGACAAGCCAAGGACUGAUGUUGCAAGAAAAGAGGGUCAGACUUGCAAGCACUGCAGAAGGGCUGGUCAUCCAAAAGAAAAAUGCUGGUUCAAUCCAGAUGCUGUAUGUCAGCAUUGUAAAAAGAAGGGUCAGGUUGAGAGAGUCUGCAAGAGCAAGGCCAAAUCAAGGCAGAGUCAGUUUCAACAGAAGAAAGCUGAGGCUCGAGUAGCUAAGGAGGACAGUGACCAAGAGGAGCAAGUCUUUGCUGUGUUAUGCUCAGCUGCUCAAGAAAGGUUCUCAUCUGGUUGGCUUCUAGACAGUGGAUGCACCAACCACAUGACACCUGAUGCUGCAAUCUUCAAGUCUUUAGAUAGAAGCUGCAGAACUAAAGUCAAGAUAGGAAAUGGACAUUUUAUUCAAGCUGAAGGCAAGGGUGAUGUGCUGAUAUGCACCCCCACAGGUGCCAAAGUGAUUUCAAAUGUGCUUUUGGUGCCUAAAAUUGACAGAAACCUGCUCAGCACAGCUCAGUUGCUGGAGAAAGGUUAUUCUGUUGUGUUCAAAGACAACCAAUGCCAAAUCAAUGAUCCAAGUGGAUCCAAGCUGAUGGCAGUUCCUAUGGCUAAUAAGAGCUUUGUAAUUGACUGGACCAGGGAGUCAGACAUUGCCUACACAGUCACAUCAGAUGAAUCUAAGCUUUGGCAUCAAAGACUGGGACAUGCCAACUUCAGAUCGAUGGCUCGAAUGGUCAGAGAGGACUUGGCUGAAAACUUCAUCAACUCAGUGGAUCAUGAUGAUGUGUGUGAAGUGUGUCAGCUAGGAAAGCAGGCCAGACUCCCAUUUCCCUCGAAUCAAGCCUGGAGAGCUUCUGAAAAACUCCAACUGGUGCACACUGAUGUGUGUGGCCCUAUGAGGACUGAGUCAUUAAGUGGAAACAGGUACUUCAUACUGUUCAUUGAUGAUUUUUCAAGAUAUUGCUGGCUUUACUUCCUAAAACAGAAAUCAGAGGCGGCCUCAGUGUUUUGGAAGUUCAAGACUGCUGCUGAGACUGAAACAGGUUGCAAGCUGAAGUCCAUAAGGUCUGAUAAUGGGACUGAGUACACCUCAGCUCAGUUCCAAGCCUUCUGUGAUAAGGCGGGCAUCAAACAUCAACUUACCAACACAUAUACACCUCAGCAAAAUGGUGUAAGUGAAAGGAAGAAUAGGAGUUUGAUGGAUAUGGCCAGGUGCUUGAUGAUUCAGAAGAAUCUGCCUAAAGCACUAUGGGCAGAGGCAGUUAACACUGCAAACUACAUUCAAAAUAGGCUUCCAACCAAGGCCUUGGAUCAGAAGACUCCAUUCGAAGCCUGGUUUGGAUUCAAGCCAUCACUGGCUCAUCUGAAGGUCUUUGGAUGCAUCUGUUAUGCUCAUGUACCUGCUGUCAAAAGGGACAAAUUGUCUGAAAGAGCUCGACCUGGUAUUUUGGUGGGCUACAGCACUGUUAAGAAGGGCUAUAGGAUCUUGGAUCCUUCAACAAAGAAAGUGUCAGUCAGUAGGGAUGUGGUAUUUGAUGAAAAGUCAUGUUGGAACUGGGAAAAACAUGAACCUGAGGAAGUUUCAGAAGGACUUGCAGCAGAUCAAGCUGAGCCAGAUCAAAAUGUUCCUGAAAUGGACAUUGAUGAUGAACCAGUUAUAGGAACAAGACCAUUGAUUGAGAUUUAUGAAAGAGCUCAUGUAGCCAUAGCUGAACCAAGCAAUUUUGAAGAGGCUGAAGCUCAGCAAGAGUGGAAGCAGGCAAUGGCUGAGGAGAUUAGCAUGAUUGAGAAGAACCAGACCUGGGAAUUAGUUGAAAGGCCAGUCAAAAGGAAGAUAAUUGGGGUGAAAUGGGUGUAAAAAGCCAAGCAAAAUGCUGAUGGUACCUUGAACAAACUGAAAGCAAGGCUAGUUGUCAAGGGGUUCAGUCAGAGGUAUGGCCUGGACUACUUGGAGACCUUUGCACCAGUGGCCAGGCUAGACACCAUCAGAUUACUGAUUGCCUUAGCAGCACAGCUCGAGUGGAAGAUCCAUCAACUCGAUGUGAAAUCAGCCUUUCUGAAUGGUUUCUUAGAUGAAGAGAUCUAUGUUGAACAACCACAAGGGUUUGAGAUAGCUGGCAGAGAGCAUAUGGUCUACAAACUGAAGAAGGCCCUAUAUGGCUUAAAACAGGCUCCAAGGGCCUGGUAUAGCAGAAUCGAUGGCUACUUGACUAAUUUGGGAUUCAAUCGAAGCAAGAAUGAGCCAACACUGUAUGUCAAGAAGCAAGGGACACAAACACAGCUCAUUGUAUCCCUAUAUGUUGAUGACCUGCUGGUGACAGGAGGAGAUCGAGCAGUGCUGGUCGAUUUCAAGACAAAGAUGCAAGAAGUAUUUGAAAUGUCUGAUCUAGGGGAAAUGUCUUAUUUCCUUGGAAUGGAGGUGACUCAAGCACAAAAUGGGAUAUUUCUAAGUCAGAGAAACUUUGCCACAAAGAUUCUGACCAAGUUCUCCAUGCAAAACAGUAAAGCAACUAAAACACCUAUUGCUGUUGGAGAAAAACUAUCGAGCCAAUGUGAUUUUGAGAAGGUUUGUGAAACAACCUACAGAAGUCUAGUUGGUUGUCUGUUAUAUUUAACUGCCACUAGACCAGACAUAAUGUAUGCUGUAGGAUUGCUCUCAAGGUUCUUGCAUUGUUGCAAUAAAAAGCAUUUACAAGCUGCUAAGAGAGUGCUUAGAUAUGUCAAAGGCACUUUGAGCUAUGGUUUAAGGUACAGCAAGGAAGGAAAUCUGAAGCUGGUUGGCUACACUGAUAGUGACUGGGCUGGCUCAAUAGAUGACAUGAAAAGCACCUCAGGGUAUGCUUUCAACCUUGGUUCAGCCAUGUUUUGCUGGAGCCCGAAGAAGCAAAGUCUGGUGGCUCAAUCUACUGCUGAAGCAGAAUAUGUGGCAGCUGCAAGUGCUGUCAACCAAGCCAUUUGGCUAAGAAAAAUCUUAGCUGAUUUGAAAGUGCAUCAAAAGGAAGCUACUGAGAUCUUCUGUGACAACCAAUCUUCAGUUGCAAUUGCUAAAAAUCCAGUGUUCCAUGGAAGAACAAAGCAUUUCAGUAUCAAGUUGCAUGUUGUUCGAGAAAUGGAGCAAGCUCAGGAAGUGAAGCUGAUCCAUUGUAAUUCUGAGGAUCAACUUGCAGACAUUUUGACUAAAGCCCUUAAUGUCACAAGGUUCGAAUGUCUAAGAAGGAAGCUAGGUGUUUGCUCCAUGCAAACCAAGGAGGAGUAUUGAAGCAAUGGUUAGCAUGUAGCAAUCACAUGUUUUAUUAUUAUUAUUAUUAUUUGGAUGUAAUGAUGUAACUUAGUUGUAUUCCAACUAAGUUUGUUAGUGGUAGUAGGUGGUGAUUUAUUUUAAGUGGAUGUAAUGAUGAAACUUAGUUGUAUUCCAACUAAGUUUGUUAGUGGUAGUAGAUGGUGAUUUAUUUUAAGUGGAUGUAAUGAUGAAACUUAGUUGUAUUCCAACUAAGUUUGUUAGUGGUAGUAGGUGGUGAUUUAUUUUAAGUGGAUGUAAUGAUGAAACUUAGUUGUAUUCCAACUAAGUUGUCAAGUUGUAAGCUUGUAUAAAUAGGCUUUAUGCCAUUUUAAAAAAAUGAAUGAAUUCAAUCAAGAUUUCAUCCAUAUACUCUCUAUUUUAGCUUUGCUUAAAAUUUAUUUCAUUUUUCUUCUUUGUUUCUGCCGCAAGUCUCGAUUCUUGCUCGGCAAGCUUUUUGUUGAACCUUGUUAUUUGUUGCACUUAGCUCCAACAAUGAGCUUACCAGAACACGGUUAUACUUAGAGCUGGCUUAAUCAAUACAUAUAGUCAAGUCUUUAAAAAAGACCAAUCAUUCAAAGCAUAAUUCACUCUUAAAACUUAAAGUCUGAAACCAAAUAAAUGAUUUAAACACACACGCAUAUAUUUAAAGUAAGUCCAAUAGAUGACCGAGUCCCUCGUCCGCCGGCCACUCAGUUCUAAGAGUUUCCUGAUAUCCAUUCAAUCCAGUUAGUGUGUUGCAACUUAAUAUACAUAUAAAAAAAUUUGACAUGUUUAUAAUAACUCAGAUAUAAUUGGAAGUUCAGUCAGCAUACUCAAUCUUGAUCGGUCAAAUUAAUAAUUUAUUACAGUUUCGGAAACAAAACAGUUCUGGCACGCAACAAAUCUGAUACAGAAACAUGUACAGAUGUAAAUACGGAUACAAAUGUAAAUAUAGAUACAGAUGUAUUUAUCCUAACCCCCAUCCUCUAUACACCAUCUCCGACCAACCUUAUACACCCCAUAGUGUCGAUAUGACACGUUGCAGUGCUUACAGUCACGCUGCCAGUAUAGAUUCAAUUGUGGAUGGUUUAACCACCAAAUCAGUACAGAAAGCUUCCUCCAUUUCAUGAUCCCCGCCCAAUGCAAAUGUAGAGAGCAAAUGACAAAUAUAUAUGUUUCUUAUGCAAAUAUAAUCACAUAGUCCAGUAUAAUAGAGGGUUGAAAUUCUUAAUAAUUAUCUCAUACGGGUAUGUAGAAAAAGUUUAUAAUCAUGAUAAAACAGAUCAUAUAUAGUUCAGUUUAGUUCAUACAUAUCCUACGGACGGCUUACACUCAUCUCGUACAACAACUAUGGCGUUAAUAGAAAUUUUGUAAUUCAGGCUCACACACCCGUGUGGGUGCCCAUGUGGCUCCACACAGUCUGACACAUGGUCGCGUGGCUACCCGUGUGCCCCUAUUAAUCAAAUUAGUGAGUUACACGGUCUAAGCACACACUCGUGUGCUGCCUGUGUACCUCACAAGGUUUGGCAUACGCCGCUGUCCCUUGCAUGUGAGUCUCUAAUAUAUAAAUAGUGAAUUACACGAUCUAGACACAUGCUUCUGUGCCCCCUGUGUGACCACUGCACCUUAAUUUCUCACACACGGUUUACCCCACGCCUGUGUGGCUCGCCUAUAUGUCUCCAAUCCGAAGUCAGUGAGUUACACAGUCCACUACACGGUCAUGUGGCACACACGGCCUGCACACACGCCUGUGUGUCGUCGAUAGUCCCGUUUCUGGCAAAGAAAAAUGCAGAAAAGAAAGGGAUUUCUAUACCCACCUGUUACACGACGCUGUAGAAGCAUCCAAAUGCAAUUUCCAGUCCUAAAAUAAGUCCCAAACGCCCAAUUCAAUAAAGCAUUUGCAAAAUAUGCAAGUAACAACAAUCAAUGUUCAUCAAAACCGUCGACUCACUACACAAAAUGGAUGGAAGCCUACUUACCGCGAAUUCCCAGUACACGUUUAGUUCCUAAGUAAGGUGAGAAGCGUUAGGCAUCUUCCGGGUCUUCUCCUACAAUUCAUCGAAGUACCUGAAAUGACAAAACGAAUUAACUCAACGAAAUGAAAUUCAAAAGAAAAACCCCAAACAACAAAACCAUCACAACGAACAAAUUAAAAACACGAACUCUUAUCGUUAGCAACAAAAUCGACCACAGAAGAAUUCAAAUCAGCAUUAAUUGAUUUAAUCAGCAACAAAAAUAAUACGAGGCCAAUUGUCAAAAGAAACGGUAACUGAAGAAGAACAGAAAAAUAACGCAGGAGGGAAAUUUUAAGAAAACAAAUCAUAGAAUUUCAGGAAAAAAAACUAAUACACACAAAACACAUAACCACUAAAACAAACACAUAUUUAUUAAAAUAAUUUAACAAGAAAACUCAAAUUUUUGUUGUGAAGUUGAUGAAAUUUUAUUAAAAAUGAUUGAAUGAAAAUAAAAAUUGAAAUCAGUAAAUCGAAGGAUUUAAACGUUGAUUAAUUAUGCUUAGUUUGAGAGAAAAUUUAAGUAGACAAUUUUAAUUCAAAUUAUGAAAAAAAUAAGUAACCAUCGCUAAUCGUAUAUAGCAAGAAUAGCAUAGUAAAAUUAUGGUGCUUUCAUCAAUUAUGGAAUCAUAUAUGGUUUUCAUUAAAUUUAAUAGCUAAAUUGCACUUUGUUCGAGGGUUUCUAUUAAAUUGAAAUUAGAAUGAAUAAACAUAGUAAAAAUAAUCAAUUUCCCUAUUGUUUUUUUAAAAUUAAAUUUUGCCUCAAUUUUUAAAAAAAUUGAAUUGUUAUUUUUCUAAUUAAAAUACUAAUUAAAAUUUUAAAAUUUUAAACAUACAGCCUGCAUUGUAAUUCGCUUGUACUUUAUGUUAAUUUGUUGAAUUUUUAUGAACCUAUUAUAAUUGUUUUUUGAAUUUUGAAUUUUUUUUAUUUUUUGAAUUUUUAAAUUAAUUAUUGACAUGACAUAUAAGAUAAUAAUGCUAUAUCAACAUGAACUACAAAUGGAUUGUUAUGCCAAAAUCGUUAAAUUUUUUUAUGUUAUAGUCAAUUUUUUUAAUUAAAAAAAUUAUUUAACUUUUUUUGAAAGGUUAAUAACCAAAAUUAAUUUAGUGGAUGUAUGCGUACGCAUUAUCUAUAAAGCAAGUUAAAAAUGACGGAUUUGAUGUCUCUACUUUUCAACAAUUUAGUAUUUUAACCAUCACUAGCAACUUUGUUUUAGGGCCAUUUGAUUUCCUUUUUGUUACAAUUAAGUCAUUGUAUAAUAAUAUUUAUGGUAAGAUACACAAAUAGUUAUCAUUGUUUUGGUGAUUUGGGUUUAAUUUUUUUUAGUUAUUAAUAUUAUCGACAUUUGAUAUUUUGUUCACUCUUUCAUUAAAUCAUUAGCAGAAUGUUGACGCAACCUUUCUUUAUUAACAUAAUAAUAAAUUUAACCAUUUAAUAUCUACAAAUUCUAUUAAUCUGGUCCUAAUUCUAACAAAUAAAUUUAGCUCUUAACUUUAUCCAUUAUGCCAAUUUAGUCUUGAUUCUUACAAAUUUAAAAUAAAACUUUAAAAAAAAUUAUUUAAAAAUUUUUAUCAAUAAAAAUACAUACAAAAUUAUAAAAUGCACAAAAAAAUAUAAAAUUUUUUUAAAGGUGAAUACUCAAUUUCUCUUUAAAGAAAAACACAAAUAAAAACUUAGAUCUAAUUUAUCAUUUGUAUUGUUGAAAAUGUGGUAAAUCUUAGGGAUUUUCAUUGUUGUAAGGGUGAAAAGAAAAUGUAGGGUUUAGUCUAAAUCACUCAAUAAUAACUAACAUCAUCAAAAUCUAGUGUGUAACAAUUUUCUCAGCUACCAGACACUGUAGACCCCAUUUUCUUCCAUUCUUUUCUUUAAUUCUUCUCCUUCUUUGCAGUUUCCUUAAAACCAAAUCUCACCAUAAAAAACUCCUACUUUAUUGCCUCACUUCUAACGCUAUAUAUUACUAUUACUAAAGUGUUCAACUAUAUAUAGUUGUCAUUUGUAGUUGACUUGAAUGCAGGAUUUGCAAGCAACUAACUGGUAUGGCAUCUGGUAAAUUUCUGAUUUUGCAGUACUUUUUUCCUGAGCUUCGAAUGUUUCAAGCUAAUUAAUUCAACUUUGUUUGGUGUUAUCCAGGAAGAAAUAGAUAAACAAAAAUGGGACCCGAAGAGCCUGAAGAGAACAUCACUCACAUGGAUGCUUGGCUGUAUAAGGCAGCAGCAGAAGGCAACGUUGAAGUAUUCAAUAAUAACCAGGAGCUUCAACUUGAGUUGCUAAAGACCCCAAACCAUGACAACGUGCUCCAUCUUAACUUGGCAACCAAGGAGAAUGUUCUCUGGCUUUUUAACAGAUUUCACACAAUAUUCGAAGAAUUCCCCGCAGAAUAUGUAUUAUUCCAUCGGUGUUUGAGUAUUUUCAUUACUAUGAUAAAAAGAGAAAAGAGAUCAGAUUUUAUCGGACAAAUUCUCAGCAAGUGUCCGUCACUGCUACAACAAACGAAUGCUAAAGGUCAAACUCCUUUGCACGUUGCAGCAAGGUAUGGACAUUCUGCUAUUGUGAAACUUCUAAUCAAGUCUUGUGCAAAAGCCAGAGAUGGAGAUUUAGAGAAGCUGGGAACGGAUCAAGUAAAUGCAGUGAGGGAGAUGCUGAGGAUUACGGAUCAGGAAUCCAACACGGCUUUACAUGAAGCAGCAGGGUGUGGCAAUGUCAAAGUGGUGAAAGCAUUGUUGGAGUUUGAAGACCCUGAUUUUCCGUAUUCUGCCAACAAAAAACAGGAGACUCCACUUUACAUAGCAGCUAGGAGGCGAGGAUCUGGGCGCUUGUUGACUCUAUUAUUAGAUAAAUUCAGAUCAGCAGCAGCUCAUGGCGGCCCCCAGGGUAGAACAGCUUUGCAUGCAGCAGCUAUGGCUGGAGAUGCAGGUAUGUUGUUGAGUUAGUUCCUUUUUUUUUUUUUUUAAUUUUGAAAUAAAUAAACAGCAGGUCUAUUGACAUUUUUUUUUUGCUUGGAUUUAGAGGCAGUAAAGGUAAUAUUAAAGAAGAAGGGGAAUUUGACAAAGGAAAGAGAUGAAGAUGGACGCACCCCUCUUCAUUAUGCUGCACACUUUGGUUCUAGAUUAUCAGUUGUGGAAGAACUGUUAAAAAGGGAUGUAUCAGCUGCCUAUAUAGGUGAUAAAAAGAGGGGGAUGUGUUGCGCGGAAGCGUGUGAAAGAGUAAAAUUAUUGUACUGAAAAAUCACACUAAGUUCAAUUCCCAGGAAAGAGAGGUGGAUCACGAGGAUCGCUUACAUACCAGAUCUUUCCUAGCCAGAAUAUCCCUCUAUCGUAAUUUAAUAGCACAAUAAAUCACUACAAUGACACUUGCAAAAUAUGCAGAACAAAAAUAAAGAACACUAGAAUUUUAACGAGGUUCAGCAAAUUUUGCCUACGUCCUCGGGCACUACCAAAUAUAUUUCACUCCAAAAAUACAAGUGAAAGUUUACAAAUAGGGAGAGAGAACAAUUGCCUUAAGUAGAGAAUGGCAAGUGUGGGAUGAAGAAAGUAAGAGAUGGUUAGGCCUAUUUAUAGUUGAGGUUUAAGGAUCAACUUGCAAUGUCCCUAUACAAUUAGGGACCAAAAUUGCAAUUAUCCCAUGCCAACUUUUAACCCAACUUGCCAACCAAUCUUACUUUCUACUUUCGGUGCCUUUCGGUGCCAACUUUCUGCCACUAUUCAUCUUUGAAAAGUCAAAGAUUGUAGGUAUCCAAUAAUCUCCACCUUGAAGAUUUGAUUAGGAUAAUCUUAUCUUCACACAAUUCUUUCUUCCUUUGACAAUAAUACUUGAUAGUGCCUUCUUCAACUGUUAAACUUGCAGGAUAUUGAUCAAGUUCAAACAAUAUUUGAACUUGGUUGUUGUUACCACCUUGGUCAUCAUAUCUGCGGGAUUAUCUGUAGUCUUGAUCUUCUGAAGACAAAUUUUCCCCUCUUCAAUAAUUUCCUGCACAAAAUGGAAUCGUACGUCGAUAUGUUUUGUACGUGCAUGAUAGACUUGAUUCUUUGCUAAAUGAAUAGCACUUUGACUAUCACAAUACACGUUAAUAUGCUCCUGAACCAACCCCAAGGUUUUAGCCAUACCUUGUAACCAAAUAGCCUCCUUUACAGCCUCUGUUACAGCCAUGUACUCGGCUUCUGUGGUUGACAAUGCAACUGUAGACUGUAGUGUAGACUUCCAACUUAUUGGUCCUCCAGCAAGUGUAAACACAUAACCGGUGGUUGAUCUUCGCUUGUCCAAAUCACCGGCAUAGUCAGAAUCAACGUACCCAAUAACACCUUUACCAAGUGUAUUAUCCUGCUUGAACAGUAAUCCAACAUCCACGGUUUUCUGAAUAUACCGUAGAAUCCAUUUCACAGCUUGCCAAUGUCCUUUUCCAGGAUUAUGCAUAUACCUGCUCACUAUACUAACUGCCUGUGAAAUGUCGGGUCUUGUACACACCAUUGCAUACAUCAAGCUACCCACUGCAUUAGAAUACGGAACUUGCAACAUGUAUUCUCGUUCCGUAUUCGUCGAAGGAGAUAGUUGUGCAGAAAGCUUGAAAUGAGAAGCCAACGGGGUACUUACAGGUUUGGUAUGCUCGUUCAUACCAAACUGCUGUAGUACUUUCUUCAAAUACUGCUUCUGAGACAAGCUAACUCUGCCAUGAGCUCUAUCUCUACAUAUUUCCAUGCCAAGAAUCUUCUUAGCUUCACCUAGAUCUUUCAUCUCAAACUCGAGAUUGAGUUGAGUCUUCAAUCUCUCAAUCUCAACUUUGCUCUUAGAUGCUAUCAGCAUAUCAUCAACAUAUAAGAGCAAGUAUAUGAAAGUUCCUUCUUGUAGCUUCUGAAAAUAUACGCAAUGAUCAAAUUUACUUCUUGUGUACCUUUGCCCUUUCAUGAACUGAUCAAAUCGCUUGUACCACUGCCUCGGAGAUUGUUUCAAUCCAUAAAGCGACUUUGUCAGUUUGCAAACCCAAUUUUCUUUAUCAGCAACAUUGAAUCCAUCAGGCUGAGUCAUAUAGAUUUCCUCUUCCAAAUCACCAUGUAAAAAUGCUGUCUUCACAUCAAGCUGAACUAGUUCAAGAUCGUAUUGCGCAACCAAGGCUAGUAAAAUUCGAAUAGACGAAUGCUUCACAACUGGAGAAAACACUUCAUUGUAGUCUAUUCCUUCUUUCUGAGCGUAACCCUUUGCUACCAAUCUAGCCUUGUAUCGAAUUAUAUUUUUACCAGGAAAUCCUUCCUUCUUUGCAUAUACCCAUUUGCAUCCAAUUGCCUUCUUUCCCUUGGGCAGUCUCACCAACUCCCAAGUCCUAUUUUUAUGAAGAGACUGCAUUUCUUCAUUCAUAGCUUGCUUCCACUUUACACCAUCAGAGUUACUUAUUGCUUCUGUGUAAGUGGAAGGAACAUCAUCAUCUGCAAUUGGAAGUGCAUAGGCCACCAUAUCAUCAAAGCGAGCAGGCUUACGAAUCUCUCUUCUUGGCCUCCUAUAUGCAAUUGAAUCUUGUUGCUGUAGAAGUUCUUGGGUCAAAACUUCUUCAUCAUUUGUUCUUUCAAUAUUAGCUGGAUCAUCAUUAACCUUUUCAAACUCCACCUGCUGCAAAGUACUACUGGUUUUGUCAUCCUUUUGUGAAUCCUCGUUCUUCAUCAUGGUUGAUUCAUCAAAAGUUACAUCUCUACUGAAAACAAUCUUCCUUGUAUCAGGACACCAAAGACGGUAUCCUUUUACACCACCAGUUAUACCCAUGAAUAAUGCUUUCUUUGCUCUUGGGUCUAAUUUAGAUUCUUUUACAUGAUAAUAUGCAGUGGAACCAAAAACAUGUAAAGAAUCAUAAUCAGUAGCAGGUUUACCAGUCCACAUCUCCAUAGGAGUUUUUCCAUUUAUUGCAGCUGAUGGCAAUCGGUUAAUUAGAUGGCACGCAUAUGUAACUGCCUCAGCCCAAAAUUCCUUGCCCAAUCCAGCAUUGGACAACAUACAUCGAACUUUCUCCAGUAUAGUCCGAUUCAUGUGUUCUGCCACCCCAUUCUGCUGUGGUGUAUCUCGAACAGUGAAGUGUCCACAAUGCCCUCAUCUUGACAUACUUGUAGAAAUGGAUCAUUUUUGUACUCAGUACCAUUAUCUGAUCGAAGUCGUUUGACCUUUCGACCUGUCUGAGUCUCCACCAUCUUCUUCCACUUCAGAAAUGCAUCCAAAACUUCAUUUUUUCUUUUCAUUAGAUACACCCAUACUUUUCUUGAAUAAUCAUCAAGAAAAGUGACAAAAUAGUGCAUACCUCCCAAAGAAGCCACUUUGGUAGGUCCCCACACAUCACUGUGAACAUAGUCCAGAAUUCCUUUCGUAUUGUGAAUUGCUGAACCAAAUUUUACCCUCGUCUGCUUGCCCAGAACACAAUGUUCACAGAAUUCCAAUUUGCAAGAAUUUGCACCUUUCAACAAGCCUUGCUUCGCCAAAGUCUGCAAAGCUUUUUCACCAGCAUGUCCCAAUCGCCUAUGCCAUAACCUGGUAGCCUCUGAAUCUGCAUCUUUCGCAGAAGCUGUUGAUGUUGAUCCAAUAACUGUACUUCCAUUUAAAUAGUACAAGUUAUUUCUUCUAGUGCCUUUCAUCACCGUCAAUACCCCAGCUACUACCUUUAGUAAUCCAUCUCUCAAAGUGAUUGUGAGCCCUUUAGAUUCUAGGGCCCCUAAUGAGAUGAGAUUUUUCUUUAAGCUAGGUACGUAGCGAACAUCUGUCAAGACUUGGAUUGAGCCGUCGUGAUUCUUCAAUUGGACUGUACCCACUCCCAUUGUCUUACAAGCACUAUCAUUGCCCAUAAGAACAAUUCCACCUUCUAGCUCUUUAAGACUAGAAAACCAGUCCUUAUUAGGACACAUAUGGUAAGUACAUCCUGAAUCCAAAAUCCACUCAUCCGUUUGACAUGCCAUUGCCAUGCCAACCAAGCUAAAGUCUGACUCCUCAUCAUGCUCUGCUACACAUGCAUUAGAAAUAGCCUUGCCCUUUUGUAGCUUAGGACAAUUCUUUUUCCAAUGCCCUUUCUCACGACAAAAGGCACAUUCAUCUUUGGCGGGUCUCCCUUUGGACUUACCCCUUCUACCAGGUUUGCUGCUGUGUGAACGACCUCUUACUGUUAAGACUUCUGCAGUUGUAUCUCUGUGAUCUCUUUUAUCUUUCUUUCGAGUCUCAGAUCUAUACAACGCACUACAGACUGCAUCAAAUGUGAUCGUGUCCUUCCCAUAAAGCAAUGUGGUGGUAAGAUGAUCAUAUUCAUCAGGAAGGGAAUUCAACAACAAUAAUGCCUUGUCUUUAUCUUCAAAUUUCUCAUCCAAAUUUAGCAAGUCUGCUAAAAUUUUAUUGAAUGAGUUCACAUGGUCAUUCAUCGACAUACCGGGUGCAUACGUGAAUCGAUAAAGUUUCUUUUUCAUAUAAAGCCUAUUUUCAAGACUUUUCGUUAGAAACUUUUCUUCCAAUGUAUCCCACAGCUUCUUCGCUGAUGUCUCCCUCAUGACGGAGUACUUUUGCUCUUUGGCCAAACAUAGGCGGAUUGUUCCACACGCCUGUCUAUUGAUCUUGGCCCACUCCUUGUCAUCCAUCUUGUCAGGUUUUUCUUCAAGGGCUAUAUCCAGCUCUUGCUGACAUAAGACAUCCUGGAUCUCACACUGCCACAUACCAAAAUUAUUGGUACCGUCAAAUUUCUCUACUUCAAAUUUUGCAUUUGUCACAGUAGUCCUUGCUGAUGACGAUGCUGCUGCCAUUUUUCUCCUCAAUCCCAACUACUGUAUACGUGAACAGUACCGUAUACGUGAAUAGUGCCAUAUACGUGAAUAGUACCAUAUACAUAAAUAGUGCCGUAUACGUGAAUAGUACCGUAAACGGUCGUAUUCCCCAAGUACGAACCUGGCUCUGAUACCAAUUGUUGCGCGGAAGCGUGUGAAAGAGUAAAAUUAUUGUACUGAAAAAUCACACUAAGUUCAAUUCCUAGGAAAGAGAGGUGGAUCACGAGGAUCGCUUACAUACCAGAUCUUUCCUAGCCAGAAUAUCCCUCUAUCGUAAUUUAAUAGCACAAUAAAUCACUACAAUGACACUUGCAAAAUAUGCAGAACAAAAAUAAAGAACACUAGAAUUUUAACGAGGUUCAGCAAAUUUUGCCUACGUCCUCGGGCACUACCAAAUAUAUUUCACUCCAAAAAUACAAGUGAAAGUUUACAAAUAGGGAGAGAGAACAAUUGCCUUAAGUAGAGAAUGGCAAGUGUGGGAUGAAGAAAGUAAGAGAUGGUUAGGCCUAUUUAUAGUUGAGGUUUAAGGAUCAACUUGCAAUGUCCCUAUACAAUUAGGGACCAAAAUUGCAAUUAUCCCAUGCCAACUUUUAACCCAACUUGCCAACCAAUCUUACUUUCUACUUUCGGUGCCUUUCGGUGCCAACUUUCUGCCACUAUUCAUCUUUGAAAAGUCAAAGAUUGUAGGUAUCCAAUAGGAUGACACCCCUUCUUAUGGCAGCCAGGCAAGGUAAUGCUGGAAUAAUUUCGAAGAUUCUCUCUUUAUGUCCAGAUUGUUGUGAAGAAGUGGACAAUAAAUGUUUGAAUUUACUUCAUUAUCUGGCAUUUAGAGGCUCUUCCACUCUAUUUGGGCGUUCUUUUUUCAAGCUUGGUGGUAUUAAGAUUGCAUAUGGAUCACUCAGAAAUCUGAUGGAGUUGGAAGGUGACUUUGGGAUGACACCUCAAGAAGUUUAUAAUGCACUUCAAGAUGAGAAACAUCAUCAUAAACAGGUCAUGUGUUUGCCCAUAUAUAUUGCAUUUCCAUGGCUAUGGUUUUAUUAAUAUUUAAGUUUUGAAUUAACAUAUUUAAUAAACUUACAAUAAGACCUGCUAAUGUGGGUGGCAUUGCAGAAGCAAAUCAAAAAAUUGUUGGAAGAAAUUGAGAAUGAUCAAGGGGCGGAGGAACCAGUUCAUCGCUUUCUUUCACGAAAUGUUUCUACAGAAAGCUCGGAGAUGACAAUAAAUGCUCAUUUAAUAGUGGCAGCACUUAUAUAUACCGUCGCAUUCGCAGCAGCAAUAACUGUUCCUGGUGGUUUGAAUAGUGAAAAAGGGUCAGAGGAAGGCACUCCCCUUUUGAUUGAUAAGGCUGCCUUUAAAGUAUUUUUUGGAACAAAUUUAUCGGCCUUUAUUCUCUCUGUUUUUACCCUCACCAUCCACUUCGGGAUUCUGGAUAUUUUAUUUUCAGGAUUUAGUUUUUGGCAUCAAACAGGAUUUAUUCGAACUGAGUUUGUUUCUUUGAUCCUUGGCUAUGCAACAUUGGCGAUGGUGGUUGCUUUCAUUACAGGCAGUUUUGUGAUCUUAAAACCAACCUACGGACUUCCCGAUGUUCUUUUUCUCAUUAGCCCUGCUGUUUUUUUCUUUGUUUUCAUAUUUACUAUAUACAUACAAUAAUAUUACUUUAUCAUCUAUUGUAAUCUUCUUCCAAUUUUUAGUAUCAAUAUUAUCUCUUUGAAGAAAGAUUACUUCAAAUAUUUUUUUUGAGAUAUGUCUAACUUAUCCAUGUUAAUCAUCUCUAUUUAAUUGAAAUUAAUAUAAAGCUAUUAAUUGAUAAACAUACAAUUUCAGAAAAGGUAAAAGAAAAAUCACAAUUUGUUUAAAGUAAGAAUUAUUAAAUAUCAAAGAGUAAUAAAUAUGUUGUAACUAAUUUUCCGUUAUGAUUAAAAUCCAAUUUGACGAAUCAUUGAAAAAUAUGAGAAUUUUAAGUUUAAGGAAAAACUUAAGGUUCUAUUAAAAAAUGGAAAUUUGUCACCAAUCUUUUUAAUUAGGUGUGAUCAGACACUUAUAAAAUCGCUUUUAUUGUGAAGUUCAUGAAAAUGAUUAAAUGUCAGCUAAUUAACAAAAUUUGGUUUGGUGUUAUUAAGUGAAAGCCUUGAGUAAAACAAGAAUGUAACCAUCGUUAAUCGACAUGAAUUUCAAGAAAACCUAGCCUCCAUUUAUGGUUUGAUUAAUUCCACGCUUUGGCCAAGAAAAUGGAAAUAAAGAUACAAAGUUGUUCAAUUGAAGUAAAUGCAUCAUUAGUAGAGGUGUUCAUGGUUAGGCUAAAUCUAUGCAUGUAUAUAUGUGAUGUCCACUAAAUUAAUUAAUAAAUUGACUAAGUUAAAUGCACCUAUCAAUUAAUAGUAUAGUUAUGGCGACCACACAUAUCGUUCCCUCGAGGAUUACAAUUAGUAAUAAUUAUCUGUAAUAGCCCGAUUUUUAGUGAUGUCGGAAACAGUCCAAAUCUGGCAAAUGAGCUCAAAAAUUUUAUUAUUUAAUAUUUACGAGCCAAAUGAGGUAUUUAAAAGAUUUUUGAAUUAAUAAGUUUGUGGUUAUAAGGAUUUAUUAGAUUAAUUAAUUUAGAAAAAGAGGUAUCGAGACCUCGGUAUUAUAAAUUGAGCCGUAAAUAUUUUUAUAAAUAUUUACAGAGUGUCAAUAAGGUAGUAUUAAAGUUUCAUUAGAAAAUUUUAACGUUUUGGUAGUCAAUUAAUUAAAAAGAACUAAAUUGAAAAAGGUGCAAAAUUUGCUCAAGUGAUUAAAUAGUCUAAAUAAUAAAUAAAGGAAGACUAAAAGGGCAAAUAGACUCAUAUGAAUGGCAUGAAAAAAAUCAAGGAUUUUAUGUGAAAUAAGGGCAAAAUUGUAAAUUUCACCAAAUUAAAGAGAAAUAAAUGGGAAAUUGAAAAAUCUUGACAAAUUCAUCAUCAUUUUCAGCUCAAAAACAGCCAUAAGCUGAUUUUUCAUAUUUUAGCUUAAUGUAAGUUUAAUUCUUACUUUUUCCUUAAAAUUUUUAUGUUUUUGGACUUUUACAACUAGGUCUAACUUACUAUUUUAUUAGUUUUUGAUUUUGUUGAAAGUUUUGGAAGAUAUCAUUGAUAAGUUCAUAUGAUUUUAGUUAUCUAUGAGGAAGCUUUGCACACAUCUGUUGCCAAUACUUGUAGUUAUGAGUUAUUGUAUGCCAUUGAAUUUGUGUUAGAUACAUGUUAUAUGCUAACUCACUAUGUUUUGGAGAAUUUUAAUGUCAUGGUAAUCAAAGAAGCAAAGCAUUUUAAUGGCAUCAGCUUUUUUACAAUUAAAAUGUCCACAAGCUAAUGUGUAUGAACUUGGGAUGUGGAGUUCAGCUUAUUGGGAUGUGGAAACUAAAUAGUAAAAUGUUGAAAUUGUCCCAGUUAAUACCACAUUACGGUUGGUUUCCAUGUUACAAUACGAAAUCCGAUGGGAAAAUUGAAUUGCUGUCUGCUAAUCAUUUUCAUUUAGUUUGCUGUUUAAAUAAUGUUGCCUCACUCUUAUAAUCACCACUUUUUCUAUUUUUAUAUGCCCUCUCUCUUUCCCCAAAGUGGCGUUCCACGUGUUCACUUACUCUAUAUAACACCUUAGGUUUAGUCUUUUAAUUACUAAGGAUGUGGGUGUUUACCCAGACCAUGAGCUGAGUAGUGUUAUUGAUUUUGGAUAAAGCAUGUCGGCUACGUGCAUCUUAAUUGCCAUAAACAAGGGAUAAAUGAGAGACAUUGAGGCCCCAAUGGAAUGCUAAAAACAAUUUGAAACAAGGUUGAGAGAAGUGGGGUUUGGUAAACGUCACAUGCAAAUGCAAUUAUUAUUAUUAACUUCAACAUAUUAGUAUAAAAAAGGGGGACGAAUGUGGGCUAUGGGCCUAAAGUCAAAAAGGGGUUUUGUUAUGAAUCUAAAUUAAAGCAACCUAAAAGCAUUUCAUAAGCUUAUGAUUAAGACAAAUCUUGCUUUUAAAUUAGUAUUAUUUGCAUGGUCAUGGCCUUAUCCCUAGAGCUACACCUUUUGAAAUGACAAGUGCUAUUUUUAGAUUGUCUGAACAUUGAAGAGACAAAAGCUGUCAUAUAGUAAUCUAUCCUUCAAUUAUUGUCGCCUAUUCCUCACUAUUAACGGAAUAACAGGAUUCAUUUAUAAUUCACCAUUUUCCAACUUAAUUAACAACUAAAAAGGUCAAAUGUUCCAUAUUUCAAUGGCAUCAGGGAGAUGGAAUUCCUUGAUCUAACAUUUAAAUUCCACAAUUAGUUAUAAUUUUGAUUUUCUUUUUAUAAAAAAGACAGAAGCAUGCAAUAGAUAGUAAUAUAUAGCACUCUAUUACGUAGGUGGAUUAAAAAACAUAUUUUUUAUCGAUUGUGAAAGAGUUUAAACCGUACAUAGACUCCGAUAAUGGAUGUUGUCUUUAUUAUAUCACAAACCUUAAUUGUUGACUAAGUCGGCAAACAUCCAAGCUAAUCCGCUCUAACUUCCAAUGUACCUUGACACUUGCCCAAUAAAACCCUCCUCCAUCAAUUGUGAAAAUCAUAACAAACACGGCCUUCAACGUUAAGUUUUCGAUUAUUAAUUAAUAGCUCUCAAAAAACAAGUAGGGGACUAUGAAUUGGAUUUAUACUAGUAAAAGAUCGACAAACUAUUACAUGAUCCAAAAAAUCUCUAAGAGCAAUUACUAUAUAUCCCUACCGUAGUACCAUCUUAUUCUUGCCAACCAAACAAAUAUCACUACUACUCAUUCCUGGCCAAUCUAUACUGGAGUUGCUAUGACUAGAUCAUCUUUUUAUAACCAAACUACCUUCUUUUUUCUACUACUUCUAUUUUGAAAUACCUCUAUAGUUGUUGUAGACAAUUUUUGAACCUCAUUCCUUGUUUAUAAAGAUCAAGUUUCGCACCUUUAAAUAUCACCUCAUUCCGCAUUUCCAUAUCAACCACAUAGUCUUCGCACCGAUACUAUAUAUACAAGUUGCAUCGUCUACCCCUUUCCAUUGUUUUCAGCUUAACAUCCAAUUCUUUACAUUGCCUACGUUUAUACUUCCCAUUCUAAUGCCUAAACCCAGUCCAAACUAUACAGCGUGCGAACAAACCUUUAAUGAAUAAGUGAUUCACAUCCUCGUCCUUCUGCUUACAUAGUUGACAAAUAAGUUUUACAUUUUGUAAGAGGUGCUAAAGAAAAAUCACAAUUUCAUAAGGAAUAUCACGAUUCCACAACCACUUCCAAUCAAAGUGAAGUGUAGUUUCUAUGCCUUCAUAUGAAUUCAUAAGGAAUAUCACGAUUCCACAACCACUUCCAAUCAAAGUUAAGUAUAGUUUCUAUGCCUUCAUAUGAAUUCAUAAGGAAUUUAGGGUUUAAGGAAGUUGUCUAAGCUUGUAUACGCUGACUUCAUAUGAAUUCAUAAGGAAUAUCAAUGAAUGCGUUCAAAUGAAUUCAUCUUUCCCUUCACUAGGAGAGUACUUAGUUCCUUACCCUAACCAUUCUAAGCACUUUGAUUGAUACACUUUGGGACUUUAACAUAAGACAAUCAAUACGAAGGUAGAGAUGCAAAUUGGGAGUAUACCAUUGUAACAACCUGACAUUAGUCAAAGUCAGAAAAUACGGUUUCAAAACUCUAUUUCCGUAAACUGAGUCCAAAAAGACAAAAUAAGAAUAUUUAUGGAGUUUAUAGAAAAUAUAUUAAAGAUCGGUUAAGUAAUUUAACCGAGAAACUCAUUAAUUAAAGCUCAGGUGUUAAAUUGCAAUCGCUAUUGAAUUUUAAAUUGAAAAUGCUUGAAGACCAAAUUAACAAUUAGUCAAAGGACCAAAUGGUUAUUUAACCAUUAAUUUGAAAAGAGUUUUAAUUAAUGUAUUUUAAUUAAGUUUUGGAAACCUAUUUGCUUGUAUGAAUCGUCGAGUAGGUAUUAAAACAAAAUCAUAAUUGCUUCUACCACAAAUGUGGCAUUUCAUGUUUCGGACCGAACGACCGGGUCGUGUGCAAGGUCUUACAACCAUUGCCUUAAACAUAAAGGCUUCCAAUGUGCUCAUUUAUUUUUGCAAUAUAUCAAUAGGGGUUGGAAAAACUUUCUUGUUACAAAGGUAACCCAACUAGAUUCCAAGAGUUUUGGGGUCGCUCUACUCGUUUGAUUCCUACAUAUUCGAAAACCACCGCUUUUAUUGACUCCUACUUGAUAGACUAAGAUAUAAAUAAAGAUUUUCUAUAAUUGAUGGACAAACUUGAUAUUCCUCCAAAAUUCCCUUCCCUUAUUUUGUAUUCCUAAUUGCAUGCAUAAGUUCAACCCCUAAGAAAAUAUUAUCAAUAAUACGUCUCCCUUAUGGUGUAAUCAAUCUUGACUAGCCCCUUCAAUCUACUCACUGAAACUUUUGUUCAAAUUUUAUAAACCACAUUAUACAGGCUAAUUGGACAUUACCUUUAUCCUCAAGAUACGAGUGAUCUACGGUCUUAAAUUCUUUCAAUAAAAAACCAAAACAUGCUUGAGUUAUGAGAGGACCUACAAUAUCCCAGAACAUGCUAUCAAUCCCGGCAGCUUUAGAGCAUCAUUUUAAAAUAUAUACCACCUUUACUAUUUCUUCUGGUCUAAUCACCCCUCAAAGAUAGUUUAUGGGGUAAUCGUAAAAAAAAAAAAGAAAGAAAGAAACCCAUCAAUAAGAAAUAAAAAUAUCAAUUAAACUUUCAAUUCAACUCUUGUAGCUGAAAAAAUUAAUCAACGAAACCUUAAACUAACAUUGAUCGUGACAUUUUUAUUGACUUUGACUAAAAUAGUAAUAAUACAUAACAUAUCAUAUGGACUGCAUAUUGACAUGGCAUUUUUUACGCAUCAAGCAAAUAUUUAAAAAAUCGUUAACAAAUAGAUACAUUUUUUUAAAAAUAAUUAUUUAAAAUAAUAUAUCUAGAAUAAACCUAAAUAAACAACUAUCCACAUUCAUUUGAAUCUAGAUAACUAUUUAUCCAGACUCAUCUUGAACUUGAUUCCUUUGAUAAUUACUAAAAAUUAAAAAAAAAGAAUAUAAAAGAAACUUUUUAAUAAUUAUAAGUUAUUAAAAUUAUUAAAAACUUAUAAAAGAUAUUAAAAACCACUGAGAUGAACCUAGACUCUUUUUUUUUUUUUUCACUUAACACGUACAAAACUAAUUUUCAUAGAAAACCAAAAUAAAAUUGUCAACAUUAUAAGGAUUAAACAAAAUUUUUACUGUUUUGCUCAAAAUACAAUCGACAAAUACUUAAAAAAUGAAAGCCCCAAAAUGAAUUCUAAAGCAUUGAAUACAAACAUUCACAUUGAGAAUAAGAAGUUACAUUGAAGCGUCACUAUAAAUAUAGUUGAAUGAGCUCAUCACUAAUCACGGAAGGAGUAAGCACACCCAAGUCUGUAUAGAGUAGAGUAAGAUAUUGAGGAGGAGUGUAAUCUCGAGCCGAUCUUUUUACCUCAACCUUGGAUGGGAUUAGUACCCCAAAAUCAAUGGGGUGUCGCGCAGGACUCAUAUCUUUUUGGUCCUAAGGAUAAUGUCGAGCAAACUACAAGGGAGAAGAAAUUCACAACUGAGUUAUGCUAGCCGGUAGUCUGAACCCUUCUUUCUAGGUUCGUUGUAUGUAGCCUAUUUCUUUGCUCGGAUUCAAAUACUUAAGAGCAAGAAAUGAAGCUUUUUAGUUACCUUGUAGCAUUCUGCAGCCACAUAAACAGGCUUGUUCAUGCUAUGUGCCACAAAUGCAAUCCGGAAUGGCGCCAUCAUGUUAAUGAUACCUUCACUUUCAACCACUCCAUCAGCUCCAAAGAGUACCAUGUCCACCUCAUCCAUAGUGUAUGCCACAGCAGAGUCUAUUAAAAGCUUUACGGGAACAUCAAGGUUGGCCAGCUCAUUAGAAAAUCGUAAUCCAGUUCUAUCUGGCCUUCCUUCUGUUUUAAAACAAUGUGAACUCUUUCAUAAACACCGCCAUCUGAUAUGACUUAGUAGAACAUAUGCAAAAAAAAAAAGAAGAUAAAAUGACUAGACUUCUUUUUUGGUGACAGCACAUUUGGUUUAAUCCUGUUAAGAAUUAGUUGCAUGCACAUGACAAGGUACACAGAAAGUAAAACCUGUGCAGAGAACUCUAAAAGUGUUUCUUGUUUUCAGCUGCUGUCUUCAAUACUUCGAGAACAACUCUAGAGAAACCAUGUACCAAAAUGGUACAACCAUCAAAAAUAAAAUCUUGACUUAGCAUUGCAAUAAUCCUGCGAGCCUACAAUGUUUGGCAAUAAUGUCUUUCAACAUCAGGAAUGCUUCAAGUAUAAUUAAAAUGAAAUGAAACAGUAGAGAAGUAAUUUACUAGAAAAGCCACAAUUUAUCUGAAAUACCUUACAAGAUAUUUCCCCAAACUUCUCUGCACGUUCGAUCAGGCGAGACUUAGCUGAAUUAAAGUCCUCAUACUCUAAAGCUGAUGUUCUUGUUACAUACAACAUGAAGAGAUCACAACCAGCUGUCAACGAGAUAGAGGUUGUGUCCCAUGACUGGCAAUACAAACAUAAGCUUGAUGAUGAAAUUGAGAUGUUGAUGGGUGUUUAAAGGUAUUUUAUUAAGGAAUUUUGGAUGAAAUCAUGUUUUAGGGAUUAAUUAGUAAAGUUGUUGAAUUUAUGUGAAAUUCUAAAAUUUCAUCGAAUUUAUGGGAUGCUAUUGAUAUAUGUGAAAGUAUUUAGGCUUGGAAUAAGGAAUAAAUUACUUAAAUUUCAAUUUUCGAGCCUAGGGAUGAAAUCGUCAUUUAGUAAAAGUAUAGGGGCAAAAUAAUAAUUUUGCCUAAGAUGUGACUUGGAUAGAAUUGAAUGUAAAUUUUAUUAAGUUGAUGUUAAAUUUACUCAUAUAGAUCCGGAUAGAUCAAAUACGAAGCUAGAUCGAGGUAAAGAAAAAGUGACGGAUUAGUAGACAUCAAUUCACAAACACUUGUCGAGAUAAGUUCGUGUAACUAAAUUGUGUAUAUUUAUAUGCUUAAAUUUGAAUAUUGAAUAUGUAAAUUGUAUAAAUGUCAUGUAUGUGUAUAUAAUUUACCUCAUAUCCGAUAAUUCCUGAUAAAUGAGUCAUGUAUGUGUAUAUAAUUUACCUCAUAUCCGAUAAUUCCUGAUAAAUGAAUAAGUCCCAUAAAAUGAAUGAAACUCGAUUGGAUACAGGGUUCUGUUUCCCAAUAUGGUAAUGUUCCUGCAUAUGUUGCAAACGUCCGUAUCUCGAAAGAGCGUCCCGUUACAAGCCCUCUCAAGCUUCCCGUUAUAGUGUUCUUGCGAGCUUCCCGUUAAAUGCUCUUCUGAGUAUCUCGACUGGUUGUGUUCUGCAUAUGUUGUAGACACACCCACGCUCUUAUGGGUGUUCUGUUUAUAGGUUCUUUGUGAACCUCCUGUUAAAGUGCUCUUCGGAGCUUCCCGUUAGUGCUCGCUUGAACUUCCCGUUAUAUGACUAUCCGGUGCUCUCUGUUAAAGUGCUCUUUGGAGCUACCCGAUAUAGGCUCUUUGUGAGCUUCCUGUUGUUAAGCCCAGAAAAGCUUCCCGUUAUAGUGCUUGAGAGAGAGCUUUCUGUUUAAGUGCUCUAAUGAGUACUCGACAUGAAUUGACAGAUUUCUGAUUUAUACACUUUAUGUGUGUAACAGCCCGAUCUUGACCCUAAUCGGAACAGUAGUUUUGGGACCACAAAUUCGAGUCUAAAAAAAUAUUUUAAUAUUAUUUUCUGUGUUAAUUAUGUGUGAAUUUACAUGUGUGAAAGUUUCGUAAAUUAAUUUUAUUGUUUGUGUGCUUAAUUUGAAAAAAAAGGGGCUUAAUCGCGUAAAAUGAAAAUUUGAUGGCUAAUUAAGAAAGUGCCUAAUUGUUGUUGUCUUUAUAAGUUGGAGGCCUUAUGUUGUAAUUUAGCCAAUAAUAAUAGGUAGUGGAUGGCAUAAUGAUGAUAUGUGAUUUAUAUAUAUAUAAAAUAAAAGUUAAAAUAAUAUUAAUAUAAUAAUAUAUGUUAUAAUAAAACAAAACAUUAAAAGCCACUAUUUUUUUUAUGUUCAUCUUUCUUCACCGAAUGGAGAAAAGAAAAACAAGGUUUGAAAGCUUGAAACAUUCGGCCAUUUUGAAGCUUAAUUCAAGGUUGGUUUUUGUUCGGUUUUUGAUAAUUUUUACGUUUUUGAGAUCGUUGCUUUGAAUACUUCAAAACCCAUGUCUUAAUUUUGUGAAUUGUUGAUGAUUUUGAGAAAUGCCAUUGAUGAAUGCUUGAGCUUUGUGAUAGUUGAUGAUGAAAUAUGAAAGAUAUGUGAAAGAUUAACAUGUUUGUCUUUGAAUUUUUGAUGAAUUUGAGUAAUUAGGGUUAAAUUGUAAAAAUAAAUUUUUGAGGGACUAAAAUGUGAAAUAAAUGAAAUGUGUGGUCUUGUAUGGACACUAGGAAUAUUUGGCCCUUAAGGAGUGUAGUCAAAUUUUGUGUAUUUUGUGUUUUGAGCAAAAAGGACUAAAUUGUAAAAAGUGUGAAAUGUUAGGGGCAAAAUUGUAAUUUCCCAUUUAUGUGUUUUUAGGCUAAAUUGAAUAGAAUGGUGUUUAACUAAGCUUAAUUUGAAUAUGCUUAGAUUAAGAAUUAAAGAAAUCUAAUUUGGAUCGAGGAAAGACAAAAGUGGUGGAGUAGCCGAUUUAACAGUCGACGACAUCCGAGGUAAGUCUAUAGGCAUAUAAAUGUCGUUAAAUUUGAUAAUAUAUAUGUUACAUGUUGGAUGGAAUUUUUGUGAAUAUAUUUGUGUAUGGCCGAAUGUAUAUUGAGCAAAUGAGCUAUAUUCGAGUUCGAUUCGAUCGAGAUACGUUAUCCGAAAGUCCCGUACGAACCCUAGGAAUAGAUAGGAUACAUAUGUCAUGGCAUAGGAUUUUCGAUAUGUGUUAUCGUGUAAGACCACGUCUGGGACGUUGGCAUCGACUUGUGUUUACGUGUAAGACCCUGUCUGGGACAAUGGCAUCGAUAUGUGAUUACAUGUAAGACCACGUCUGGGACGUUGGCAUUGUACGAGUCUUCCGACUAUCCGAGUAUCCUUUUUAAUUCCGAAUGGUUCAACGGGAAAAGAUAAGUUGUGUACGAAUGUAUAAAUCGGGCUAAGUGACCAGGUAUGUGAUAGUUAAUUACCUAUUUGAAAAUAAGGCAAGUUGUAUACUUGAAUUGAUGAUAUGAAGUUAUGUGAAAUAUGGAUUAUGUUAUUGCAUAUUUGAAUAUAUAUGUAUUCGACCUUGAUGUAUAUGUGCAUUGAGGAAAGUGAUGAUUGGUUAUAUUAAUGUUCAAUGGAUUAUUCAGUAAAGAGGGAAGUUAUUACAAAUUAUAUAAGUUUUGAUAUAUAAGUUGAUAAAUUGAAUUAUAUGUGAAAUUAUAAUGGUUUAUUACUAAUUGUCUAGCUCAAUUUAUGUAAAUGAUUAAAUGUUUAUUUGCUUAUGAAUACUAAGCUUUAAUAGCUUACUGUGUGUAAUUGCUUUCAAUUUUAUAGAUUUGGAAGUUGGUUAAGAGCGGGGAUCGUCAGAGAAGUCUAUCACACUAUCGACUAUUUUCGGUAUUUUACUAAGUUUGAAUUUAAACUUAUGGCAUGUAUAGUCUAGUUAAUAUGUUUGAUUUUUGGGGAUGUAAAUAUGAGCCAUGCGAAAAUGGCUUAUUUAUUUUGUUAAGCAUGGUUUUUAUGCUUUCGAUCAAGUGAUAGAUAUGUUGAUUUUGGUAUUUCGGCUAUGGCAUAUUUAUUUAUGUGAAUUAUGUUUGAUAUAUUUUGUUAAUAAGGUGGUAAAUAAUUCGGCAUAGGUGAGCUUAGUUAAAGCAUAUAAUUGAAGUGAGUUUCGUAUAAUAUGUUAAUCUCUGAAUCGGCCAUGGUAUAUAUAUUAUGGUGUUUUAGUCAUGUGCUUCGGUAAUGAGGUAAAUGAUAUUCAAGCUUAAUUAAUCUUGGUUAUGUGUUAUAUAUAUAUAUGAUAUGUGUGAUAUGUUUGGUUUUGGUCUUGGUGUUUCGGCUAUGGUUUAUUUAUAAGUAAAUAUAUGUGAAUCUUGUUUGAUAUGCUUUGUUAAGGUAUUGUUAUGUAAUUUAGUAAUUAAGUGAACUCGGUUAUGGCAUAUAGGUGAAAUGCUAAGUAAAUCAUAGAUGAAAUGACAGUUAAAUUUGGUUUGUAAGAGUAUAUUUGCAUUAAUAAAUUGAUUUGAAAGAAACUAGUAAUGUGCAUAGGUAUGUACGAUUAUAAGGUAUGGAAGAAUAUGUGUAUAUUUGGUCAUGAUCUAGACCUGUUUUGGAAGUGUGUUUUAUGCUAUAAAUUGGUGUAUGGAUAUAGGUUUGGAAAAUGUGAAUUGAUAUGUAUGAUUUUACUAUUUGAAUCGAUAUGGUUUGAUUAGUAAAUGCCAUAUUUUGACUUAUGAUUUAAUGACUAAAUCUUGUACAGUUUAUGAGGUUAUUUAUGGAUGCCAAUUUGUUAUGAAAUAAAUUAGGAAUGUCGAGUAUUUAAUAAAGGUACGAUUUGCUCAUGCAAGUGGACUUAAUAUUCGAUUUUAUAUUUGUAAAAUGAUAUGAAUUGUAUGGAUUUUUGGAUAUGGCUAAAAUGGUGUAUUCAUAUGCGCAAACUUGUAAUAGAUAAAUAUGAAUGUUUUGGUCUUUUGAAUGAUAUAUAUAUAAAUGAUUUUAAGGUAGGUUUAAAAUUUAUGAAUAAGAUACAAACAAAUUCGGGUAAUGAUAGUUAAGUGAGUAAAACAAGUUUGAAUUUAGCUUUUAUAAAUUUAUUGGAUUAGUCAAUUAAAGGAUAAGUUGAUUUGUAUUGAGCGUAUAUAAUUUAUGAUUGAAUGAUUUCACUGAAAUGGUCAUAUGUGUAUAAUAUAAUGGCAUAAAAGGUAUGUACGACCAUAAUAUAAUGUUACUAAUGUUGUAUAUGUGAUUGGACAUUAAGUUGUAUACAUAUUGGUUUCAUUAUGUACAUAUACAGAAGUUAUGAAAUGCAAUGUUUGAUAUUUAGAUAGUAAAAUUAUGUACGGAAGUAUUUUCUAUAUAUGAAAAGUGAAGAUAUAUGCUUGAAUAUGAUUUAAUUAUGAAAAUGUCAUUAAUACGAUGGAUUUAGGGAAAUCGAAUAUUGAAAGUAUUUUAAUUUAACAUGACUCUGAUGUAUACAAGUUUGGUUCGAAUUUGUUAAUUAUAGAAUAUGUUCAUUGAGCUUUGAUGUAUGUUUAAAUUGAAUUAGUUUAAAUUUUGAAAUGUGUUUAUUUGUGAUACAUGCUUAGUAAGGUAUGAUUGAUUUGAAUUGUAAUUAUCAUUUUAUACAUAUUUGAAUUUAAAAUAAGUAAAAUGAGGAUAUUCAAGUUUGAUAAUGUUAUAAAUGAAUCGUUAUUCUUUGGUGUAUGAAAGGAGGUAAAUGACUGUGCUGAACUGUGUCUUGUUCGGUAAUGCCUUGUAACCCUAAUCCGAUGACGAAUACGGGUUAGGGGUGUUACAAUAUGUACUACCCUCGUAUCCAUCGAGAUUUCAAAUGAUUCAACAGGUGAAAUUCUGACAUGAAGACAAGUGAAAAUUAAAAUGAAAUCAAUAUAUGAAAAAUACAUGAAAUGCAUGGAACUUGGUAUUUGAUGAGCUCAUCUUUGGUGUUGAUAUUUACAUGAAAUGAAUAACUAACAUAUUUGAUGAGAUUAUGUACUUAGGCUAUGGCCAAGUUGUUUGGAAUGCAUGAGUAUGUUUACUUAGUGUACAAAUGAAUGGUAAGUUUACUUCCCGUUAUACGAACUUACUAAGCACUAAGUGCUUACUCUGUUUUAUAGUAAUCGGAAGCUCGUUGGGUUGGAAGCUUGGCGGAGAUCACUCACACUAUCCAUUGGCUCACUUUGGUAUAUUUAUGACACUAUUUUUGGAUAUAAUGGCAUGUGUAGGUUUGGUUAGCCAAAGUUGGCAUACAAAUAUUUUGGUUGUAAAUAGCCAUUGGAAUGGCUUGUGAUGAAUGUGUUUUGGCAUAUUAACAUAUGAGUUAAUUUCAUGUUUGGUAUAAGUGCUUAAUUUGGUUUAUGAAUAUUAGUAUGAUAUUAAGUAAAUGUGGUCAAAUAUAUAAAUUCACAAACAUGGAUUAUGAAGUGAUAUGGUAAGUAUGAGACUUGAGUUUUGCAUGUUUUUAAAUGUUUUAGAUUGACUUUUGGAUGUGUUAAAAUGUUUGUAUAGGUGAGUGAUCAAAUGGGUGAGAAAUAAGGCUUGGAAAUGACAUUAUUUUGUCCACACGGGCAGAGGCACGAGUGUGUGUCUUAGUCGUGUGUGACACACGGCCUAGCACAUGGGCAUGUGUUCUAGCCAUGUGUCCCUUGCAUUUUAAAAUUUUAAAAUAGAGCACUUGAAAUUGAUCACACGGUCUGGCACACGGGCAUGUGACUUAGCCGUGUGACCCCUGCACUUAAUUAAGUUGCAAGUCAGAGAGUUACACGGGUUAGAGACACGGGCGUGUGCCCUACCUCAUAUACCACACGGCCUAAGACAUGGGCAUGUCACUUGGCCGUGUGAGCCACAUUGCUUGACCACACAAGCGUGUGACCCCUGAACCUAGGAAAAAUUUUGAAAUUUUGUAAAAAUUCUCUAAGUUCCCGAUUCAGUCUCGACUCAUUUCUAAUGUAUGAUUUGGGCCACGAAGGCCUAUAGAAGGGACGAUAUGGUUAAACCCUGUUCCAACGACGGAUACGAGUUAGGGAUGUUACAUUAUCGCCUUUCGGUUACUUAACCUAAUAAUUCAAAGGAUUGCUUAAAACUAAAAUUGACUAACUAAAAUAACUAACGAAUGUGUCAAAUAGCAAAACACGAAAAUAAUCUAAUAUCAUCCGAUUUACUAAACGAUACCCACGUACGAAUCCACUUAGAAUUCAUCUAAAAUUCUCAAUUUAAUUUAUGCAAUUUAUUUCCUUAGUUUCCUUGAUCCAUAGAAAUCCCUAACUUAUGCUAAUAUCUCUUUCGAGCAUAAAAGCAACUAACUCUAGGUUGAUUAAUUGAAAUUUCCUUCUAAUUAAAACCCUUAUUAUCUCAUUAAUUCACUCUAUGGAUUCUCUUAUUAGAUUUGAUUCUAAUUUGGUAGAUUUGUAUCGACCUAUUUCUAGGAUUAUAUGCAACUCCAUUCGACUAUGCAAAAUCUAAUUACAAGAAGGGUCUAUUCAACCUCAAACUCAUGCCCAUCAAACAUGGAUUAAGACCCUAGAAAUAUUAACCCAAGAAAAAAUUUAGAAUUCAUAAUUGAAAAUAAAGAAGCUAAGAUUUUAUUGCAUAAAACUAUAAAUCAAAUAAUAUCAUCCAUCGUAAGGCUCGUCUCCUCUAGGGAUUUAGAAAAUUAGUUCAUACUUGCAAGAAUAAACACCGAUAAUACAAUAUAACCAUUAAAAUAAAAGAAACCUAUGAUAACUUCCUCAGAAAUCAAUUUGGAAUCUUUAAUUUUGAUGGAGAACUGCUUUGAAAUCAACUUCAAUGGUGUUCUUUUGGGUAAUUUUCGUGCUAAACCAAGACGGAUGUUGUUUUCCCUUUUUUAUUUCCUUAUAUAUGCCUUCUUAAAGUACCAAAAACUUAAAAAUUUAAACUUCCGACUAUCAUUGUACACGGUUCCCAAAAGUUACACACCCUUGCCACACACCCUUGUGGUUCACAUAGCUUUGUGGUCUGGCUGUGUGAAAAUCUGUUACCCGUGUACAGCUUCCAGACUGCUUCAAUGUUAUGAUUUUCACUUGUUUUUCGCUCUAUUUGUUCCCAAGUUCUCUAUUAAGCUUCAAAACAUGAAUUUAAAGGAUUAUAAGUAUAUAAUUCACAAUUAACACCACUUUAUUACCCAAAAAUGCACUAAGAAUGAGGCUAGAAUAUGUUACUUUUGACACUUAUCAAAUAUCCCUAUACUUAAGCAUUUAUUUGUCCUCAAGCAUAGGUCUCGGCUCACAUUCAAAUUAACUUUCCUUCACCCAUUAUUUUCACUAGUCAUGGCUUAGGAUAGUCUAUAUAUAAUUCGAAAAUUAAACUAAAAUGACAAUAAAGAGCAUGAGUAAUCCAAGCAAAAAUUUUAAUUUCAAAACAUAGGAUUCUCCCCUACCUUAUAAUGACUUGAAAUUCAAACCCAACCAGAUUUAACAUCCUUACUAAGUUUCACUCAAAACACUCAAAGUGUUUAAAGGUUAAUUAAUAUGCACUCAAUAGUCAAACAAGGAAUGUUAUUACCAUAAGCUUGCUUAAGAACCAAAUCUCCACCACUACAAAUAUGAGAUGACACAAAGAUCAAGAGGUUUUUACAAGGGUUGUAACGGGGAUUAGGUUAAGAGUAUAGAAGGUAUAAAAGGUGAAUAUAGUUGAGAGUUGAAAUGAUAAGUUACCAAACUAAAAGAAUAAGAUGCUGAAUUGCAAAAAUUUAACAUUAAAGUGAAACAAAGAAUUGAAGUGAGCUUUUAUAUAUGGUGAUGAUGAUGAUUUAAGCUCAAAAAAAAAAAGAUAAUGAUGCUUAUAACAUGAAUAUUGACCUCUCAAUUGAACAAGAUAGCCUAAAGAAUUUUUAGAAUGAUCGAACAUAUCUAGGAAAUUUACCAAAAAUCUAAUCUCAAUUUAAGGGAAGCAAUAAAAAAGGUAAUUCACAAAAUUAUUGGGGUUUAAGGGUUAAAAUGGAGGGGGUGAUAAACAAACAAAAAGGGAUUAGGCUCAAAGGGGUUUACUAGUGGGCAAUGAAAUGGGUAGGCUAUUUAAAUGUUAAAUGGUUUAAAUCUUAAGUAUUUCUAUCAUCUCAGUAUAUCAAAUCAUUAUAUUUGAGAAUUCACAACAAAUGUUGGAUCUCGGUAACAUUUGUAAUCAAUCUCAUACAAGUGCGCACAAGACCUUAUUUACAUGCCAAUUUUAUCCUGACAUUUACUAAGUUCACAUGAGCAUCUCUUACACAUAUAAAUAUAUAUUUUCAAUUUAGUCCAAUUCCAACAUUUAGAACCAAUCAAUAAAUCCACAAUCACACACUUAUACACAAAUCAAAUCAAUUAAUUAUUUUAAAUAUAAUUAUUUUUAGUAAAAAUAAAUUUUAUAUGUGAAAUAUUUAUUUUUUUUCCAUCCAUAUAAUGGGUCUGACAAAUUUUAGUAUUAUAUAUUUUUAUGUGUAUUUUAGAUAAUUAUUUGAAAUAUUUUACAUAUAAAAACAAUGAUAUUUGAAAUAAUUAUUUUUAUAAUAUUAAAAUUUACCAUACUUGCAAUAUAGGUGAAAAUAUAUUGAUAUUUGUAAUAGUUAUUUGAAAUAUUUCACAUAUAUUUGAAAUAAUUUUUUGAAAUAAUUUACAUAUAAAAUCAAUAGUGAUAUUUGAAAUAAUUAUUUGAUUUUAUAAUAUUAGAAUCUACAAUAUCCACAAUGUAGGUGAAAAAAAAAUAUUUCACAUAUAAAAAAUUAUAUUUACUAUUUACUAAAAAUAAUGAUAUUUGAAAUGGUUAAUUGAUUUUUUUAUAGUAGAAUUUAUCGUACUUACAAUGCAUAUAAAAAAAAUAUUUGAUGUAUAAAAAUUAUAUAUAUAGAAAAAUAUAAAAAAAUUAGUUGAUGUUUUUUAAAAAAUAAAAAAUAAAUAACAUAAUGAUACUUAUGAAUAUAUUUUCACUAUAUCCACAAUGCAAGUGGAAAAAAAUAAUGAUAUUUGAAAUAAUUAUUUUUAUAAUAUUAAAAUUUAUGUUACCCACAAUGUACGUAAAAACAUUUUUUUUAUAUAAAGAAUUAUUUAUAAAGAAAAAUAUAUCAAAAAAUUAGUUGAUGUUUUUAAAAAUACAUAUAAUUUUAACAUAAUGAUACAUAUGAAUAUAUAUUCAUCAUAUCAAUAAUGUAAGUGAAAAUAUAAAGAGAUUUGAAAUAAUUAAUUUUAUAUGUUAGAAUUUACGAUACCCACAAUGUACGUAAAAAAAUAUUUGACAUAAAAAAUAUAUAAAGAAAAAUAUAUCAAAAAAAUAGUUGAUGUUUUUAAAAAAUAAAAUAUAUUAACAUAAUUAUAUAUAAAUUAUUUUCAUUAUAUAAUUACAUAUUUAUUAUUUUGUGUGUAUAAAUAAAGAAGUGAUUAAUUAAAAUAAAAAGUUAAUUGAAGACUUGAAAAUAGCAUGCUUAUUAAUUAAAAAUUAAGAAAAAAAAGCUUGAAGAAAUAUUCAUUAGGAAAAAAAAAAUAAUAUAUGGGGGGGGAUUCGGAUAUGGGACUUAAGGGUAGAAAAUGCUAGAAAAAUAAUGAGGUCCUUGGAAGUAAUAAAUAUUAAUAUUUUGAUAUUUUAUAAAAAAUUUAUAAACUAUAUAAGCAUAAUAGGAUUUGAACUUAAGUUACUAUGACUUCAACGAUCUUAUUCUUGUUAUCAGAACAUUAUUUAUUUCUUUUUAUAAACAUUUACAUAUAUUUUUUUUAGAUCUAACAAACAGGGAAGGCAUUUGGUAAAUUUCUGGAUUUGCAGUAUUUUUUUCUUCAAGCUAAUUAAUUCAAUUUUGUAUGGUGUUAUCCAGGAAGAAAUAGAUCAACAAAAAUGGGAGCUGAGGAGCCUGAAGAGAACAUCACUCACAUGGAUGCUUGGCUUUAUAAGGCAGCAGCAGAAGGCAACAUUGAAGUAUUCAAUAAUAACCAGCGGCUUCAACUUGAGCCGCUAAAGACCCCAAACCAUGACAACCUGCUCCAUGUUAGCUUGGCAACCCAGGAGAAUGCUGUCUGGCUUUUUAACAGCGUUCACUCAAUAUUCAAAUCGUCCCCGCACAAUAUGUAUUCUCCCUGAUAGAUUUUGUAUCACACGAUCCGGGUUUCAAUAUUUUCGUAACUGUGAUAAGAAGAGACAAAAUAUCUGAUUUUAUCAGACAAAUUCUGUUGGGACAAUGGCAGCAGCAAAAAGAAAAGAACAAGACAGAGAACAAAGGAGGAAGAAACAAAAACAAUUUACUUGCUCACAAACGUGCAACAAGGAAGCAAUCUGAGUUUCACAACUGAUAUGCUUGAUUUUUCAAUAAGAAAAACAAUACAUUUAUAGCCAACUACAUCAGUUAUUAUUACCUAAUACCACUAAGUAGCCUAGUAACUUUAAAAACAUUGCUUACACAAACAAGCCACCUAAACUAGUCAUUCAACACCUAAACAUAUUAAGCUGUCAUAAGCUUGUUCAUUUCCAAGUAGUUUAAUCAACAAAGAAACUAAAAAGAAAAACUUGUUGUUACAGCAAGUAUAUGUGCUGCAGCAUGUCAUCAAGCUGCAUGCACUUCAACCAAAACAUGUAUCAGCAGCAUGGUUGGCCAAUUUCAACACUCCUCCUUGGACUCCAUGCUGCAAAUACCAAUCAUUCAUCAAGUUUUUUGAACUUGGCAACCCUUAGAUGCUUUGUUUCAAGCUGACCAAUUCAUUUUCAACCUUGGCCUCAUUCACAAACAAAUCUGACUUACACACUUGACUAUCCCAGUCUUUUGUGCCAAAGAUUUGUUCACCAAAUGGAGUCUUCUUGAUACGGGGUUGCGCGCGGACCAAGAUCGAGUUGCCAAGUCACGGGAAACUCCUACGAAAACCCUAAACAAUUAGAUCUGAAACGAAACAGAAAAUUAAAAGAUUAGAUUUUUGAAUUUUCAGAUCUGAAAUAAAAUCCCCAAAUCAGCAAAGAAUCAAAUUGAGAAUAGAAAUAAGUGUUAGGGUUCUUGAAACCCUCAAGGAGAUUGUGAUUCUGCCCAAUUGAACACCAAGAUAGUUUUCCCCAAAUUUCGACAAUCUAAUUUCACCCAAAAAGAGUAUGGAAAACCCUAGAAAUUGGAGAUUUUUGGGCUGAUUCCUUAAGAUAGAAAAAGGCUGAAAACACAAUAAGAACAGAAAAUAGAUUAGAUAAUGAUUCAGCACAAGUAGAAAUAAAGAAAGAAUUGACAGUAAGAAAUUAAAAGAUAAGUCCUAAGAAGCCUUGAAAUCUCGAAAGAUCUCACAACUCCCUUCAAACGACUCUAAUCUCCCCUCCAAAGAAUAUCAAUGGCAAGAAGAAGGUUGAAGAUGGCUCCCACAAUCAAAAAGAUUGUUAAAACAACUUCUAAAGAAAACUCAAGAGAAAAUCCUUGAAGAACUCAAAGAGAAUUUUCACUCAAAUCAAAUCUGAAAUUUUCAAUGUAAUUGUAAUGUAGUGUAGGGUGGCUGGCCAAGCCAUAUAAAUAGGCCUUUCAAAUGUUUUCCUAAUUUAAUUAGAACACUAAAACUAAAACUAAAAAAAAAAACUCCUAAUUAUUUUAAUAUGAAAAUUCGGCCAAGGGUCUUUUAUUUGGGACUCCUGGACUGAAUAUAAAUAAAUAAAUAAAUAAAAAUAAAACUUUACAACUUGGGCCACUUUGACAAUUUGGCUUGAUUUUCAACUAAGUAUGGGUGGAUUUCUUGAUUGGGCUUGGAAUCUUCUUAUUGGGCCUCGCCUUCAAGAAUUUGGGCUUUUGUGACUCGUAUCAUUCCCCCUUCCUCAAAAAGAUUCGUCCUCGAAUCUGAAAAAUCAAAUGAACUCGACUUUCCUCUAUCGAACGGGACUAAUGGCAAUUGAGUCCACUGAAAAGAAUAACCAUGAGAUAGUAAAUAGCAACGGAAACAAGCUUGUAGUCCAAUCAUAAGCAUAACAGAACAGGUAUAACGCAUGUGAAUGGACAGAUUCAGAUUACCAUGCAAACAAUCUAAUUUACUCACCACUGUCUCGUCAAAUAUUUGAAACAAAGAUGGACAUGUUUUAAGGCAUUCAGUCGUCUCACAUUGUUCGCACAAACCAUGAAUAAAUUGCGAGUAAUAAAUCAAAUGGUAAACAUAAUCGUCACAAGUAGGUAUUUGAAAAGAUUCACAUGGUUCACAGAGUUGCAUAAUCAUACCAUGCAUUAAUCGACGGUCUAUAGAUUCACUCACACAUGCAUUAUCAAAAACAAGAAUCUUUUUAUCAACCAUCAAAACAGAUAGAUCAUCAAUAAAUAAAAUAGGACAGUUAAGCACGUUUCGAUCUAAGUGUUCAUCAACACGAUCUUUAUCACUAUCCGAGGAGUACAAAAGUGUUUCAAAGGUUUCAAGCAUCUUACCUCGAUAAGCAGAAGAAUAAGGGUCGAUUUUACCUUUUUCAUUUAAAACAAACCUUCGCUCAUCGGGGGCAUAGUGUAAUCGAAUCUCCGUUGUUGAGUUAACCUUUGUCAAAUGGAACUCAAACUUCAUGUACAACGACAUAAACUGUUUAAGGCACGAAUAUAAAUUGAAAACAAAUUUGGAAAAUUUCGUUACCUUAUUCUCCAAAACAGAUUUGGACAAAUUCGAGGAUUUUACACAAGGUAAAUCAAGAGAAUAACAAAUCACGCUUCUUUUCGUAAUGACUUUAUCAACCACAAUCGAAGAGUAACAAUUAAUCGAAUCAAAAUGAGGGGAUCUUUUAAGAACUAAGUCACCAAAAGUUUUAUCAAUAAUUUUCAAAUCUGCACUGGACUCGGUUUCUAAAAUUUCCUUACCUCGCUUACCUUCAGGAUCAUGUAGUGUGAUUUCAUCUUUGCCUAAGUUGAUCGUAUGAAAGCGUCUUUCAUUUGAGAGGUAUUGAAGUUGAAAGUUAUCUUUUGAUCUUUCGGGAACCUGAAAAGUAGCAACACAAGAAAAAUUCAUAUCUUGGUUAGUGGAAACAUUCCUCACUACCCUUUCCAUGUCUUUUUCUUUUGUUUCUUUUUUUAAUUCAUUUUCUCUUCUUUCUUCAAUUUCUUUUUCAAUCUCAAUCUCUUUUUGCUCUUUUUCAUUCUCUUUUUCUUUUUCCUCACUUGUUUUAACAGAAUUUUUCAGUUUGAUUUGGUCCUCAUGGACUUGUUCCGGAGUGAGCGGCACUAAGGUGAGUUUCUUUCCUUGAUGCUUGAAAGAAUACCUAUUGGUACGACCAUCGUGAGUGACUUUUCGAUCUAGUUGCCAUGGUUCUCCUAGCAACAAAUGGCAGGCUUGAAUAGGCAUUACGUCGCACACAACUUCGUCUUGAUACUUACCGAUAGAAAAGGCGAUGCGCACUUGUUGAGUGACCCUAAAUUGGCCUUUGUUGCUAAGCCCUUGUAGUUGAUAAGGUUGUGGAUGCUUGGUAGUGGUUAAGCAAAGCUUUUCCACCAUCGUCGUGCUGGCUAUGUUCGAGCAACUUUCACCAUCAAUAAUAACUCUACAAAGCUUACCUUGUACAUGGCAGCAAGUAUGAAAAAGAUGUUCUCGUUGCUGCUCGCUCUUUGGUUUUGCCAAAGAUGAUUGUCCACGAUCAUGAAAAUCAUCAUCCAUUCUAGGGACACGUUGAGGGCUGCACCUAUAGGGCUGGUUAUCCCUAUCUUCCUUAAUUGGAUCUCGAUAUUGAUGUUUUUGAUUCACUCGUACCUCAUUCAAAGUAGUAUUCAAUGCUUGAAGUGUAGCAUUUAUUUGUGUGAUUGCAGCAGUAUGUUCGUCUAACUGUUGUUGGACUUUCAUAAGUGCAUCAUUAUUAUCACCUUUAGACAUCUUCAAAACCUGUAAAAAAUAAACACUCAACACUCAAAAAUAAAAGUUAGCAAACCUCACCAUUAAUCACUCAAAAAGAAAAAUCAAAUUCUCAAUGAGGUCGAAUUCAAUCUUGUGAGUUUUUUAUCAGAGUUUAUAUCAACCAAUUAGAGAGUGUGAACCAAAUUACCAAAGAAUCCUAAUUUGCACUAGGAUGCCAAAAACUGACGAGACACCAAGUGAUUCGUGUUGCACCGAGGAAGGAGUUGUGCACACGUGUAAAUCCUACUAACACAAGAAACAAAAAGGUGUUAGAUAAUGUAACGGAAGAAUAAAAGCAAACAAAUGAAAACCUACAGCUAAGAAUCAAUAAAAAUUGCUGAAAACAGAAAACCCGAAAAAUUGCGGAGUAACUUGACAACUUCGUUCGAGGUGGUCCCGAUCUCUAAAAAUCACGAAAUUAAAUCUGUAAUGUCCUUAAAUAUUGAAUUUCUUAUCUGGAAAUUUUGGGCACCAAAUUCAACCCACUGAAUCUUUUUUUAAAUUUUUAUUGAAUUUCGUAUUUUUUUAUUAUUUUGACUUUUUUGACUGAUUUUUUUUGCGGGAAUAAUUUUUUUAUAUUCAAUCACAGUGCCAAAAACAUGUAUGUAAAAUUUCAGAUCAAUCGGACAACGUUUACCCACUCAAAUGAAUUUUUUUUAAACAAUUUUUCUGGGUAAAACUGCUGUUUGUGCUUUAAAAAAUAGAGAUCAGUUUAGAAAUCAACCAAGAACACCCAAAACGCCCAAAAUCUGAUACCAAAUGAUACGGGGUUGCGCGUGGACCAAGAUCGAGUUGCCAAGUCACGGGAAACUCCUACGAAAACCCUAAACAAUUAGAUCUGAAACGAAACAGAAAAUUAAAAGAUUAGAUUUUUGAAUUUUCAGAUCUGAAAUAAAAUCCCCAAAUCAGCAAAGAAUCAAAUUGAGAAUAGAAAUAAGUGUUAGGGUUCUUGAAACCCUCAAGGAGAUUGUGAUUCUGCCCAAUUGAACACCAAGAUAGUUUUCCCCAAAUUUCGACAAUCUAAUUUCACCCAAAAAGAGUAUGGAAAAACCCUAGAAAUUGGAGAUUUUUGGGCUGAUUCCUUAAGAUAGAAAAAGGCUGAAAACACAAUAAGAACAUAAAAUAGAUUAGAUAAUGAUUCAGCACAAGUAGAAAUAAAGAAAGAAUUGACAGUAAGAAAUUAAAAAAAAGUCCUAAGAAGCCUUGAAAUCUCGAAAGAUCUCACAACUCCCUUCAAACGGCUCUAAUCUCCCCUCCAAAGAAUAUCAAUGGCAAGAAGAAGGUUGAAGAUGGCUCCCACAAUCAAAAAGAUUGUUAAAACAACUUCUAAAGAAAACUCAAGAGAAAAUCCUUGAAGAACUCAAAGAGAAUUUUCACUCAAAUCAAAUCUGAAAUUUUCAAUGUAAUUGUAAUGUAGUGUAGGGUGGCUGGCCAAGCCAUAUAAAUAGGCCUUUCAAAUAUUUUCCUAAUUUAAUUAGAACACUAAAACUAAAACUAAAAAAAAAAACUCCUAAUUAUUUUAAUAUGAAAAUUCGGCCAAGGGUCUUUUACUUGGGACUCUUGGACUGAAUAUAAAUAAAUAAAUAAAUAAAAAUAAAACUUUACAACUUGGGCCACUUUGACAAUUUGGCCUGAUUUUCAACUAAGUAUGGGUGGAUUUCUUGAUUGGGCUUGGAAUCUUCUUAUUGGGCCUCGCCUUCAAGAAUUUGGGCUUUUGUGACUCGUAUCACUUCUCCUCCUUCACAGCCUUGGUUGACAACACAUCUUGCCUUGUUUCUUUGUUCAUAACAAUCCUGUUUCUUCUUGCACAAACAGUUCGUGAGUAUAGUUUGCUUGCACAAACUGUCUUCAACAGGCUUGCAACUAUACAACACGCAUUGAGCUUCCACAUGUUGCUGAGCUCACACCUUUGACAGACUCACAUCUUUGCAUAUUGUCUUCAACAGGUGUCUUCAAUAGGCUCGCACUUUGCUAAGCUUGCAGCUUUGACAUCUUGCUAAGCUUGCACAUUUGGAAAGCUCACACCUUUCCUUGAAACUCCUCCUCCAGCUUAUUCAAGCUUGUUUGGGGGUCUUAUAAGUUUGAGCCGAUGUUGAGCAGGGGAAGCAAAAUCAAUGGUCCCUUAAGACUUAGGCUCUGAUACCAUUUGUUGGAACAAUGGCAGCAGCAAAAAGAAAAAGAACAAGACAGAGAACAAAGGAGGAAGAAACAAAAAUAAUUUACUUGCUCACAAACGUGCAACAAGGAAGCAAUCUGAGUUUCACAACUGAUAUGCUUGAUUUUUCAAUAAGAAAAACAAUACAUUUAUAGCCAACUACAUCAGUUAUUACUACCUAAUACCACUAAGUAGCCUAGUAACUUUAAAAACAUUGCUUGUACGCAAACAAGCCACCUAAACUAGUCAUUCAACACCUAAACAUAUCAAGCUAUCAUCAGCUUGUUCAUUUCCAAGUAGUUUAAUCAACAAAGAAACUAAAAAGAAAACUUGCUGUUACAGCAAGUAUAUGUGCUGCAGCAUGUCAUCAAGCUGCAUGCACUUCAACCAAAACAUGUAUCAGCAGCAUGGUUGGCCAAUUUCAACAAAUUCUCAGCAAAUGUCCAUCACUGCUACUCCAGACGAAUGCUAAAGGUCAAACUCCUUUGCACGUUGCAGCAAGGUAUGGAAAUUCUACUAUUGUGAAACUUCUAAUCAAGUCUUGUGCAAAAGCUAGAGAUGGAGAUUUAGAGAAGCUGGGAAUGGAUCAAGUAAAUGCAGUGGGGGAGAUGCUGAGGAUUACAGAUCAGGAAUCCAACACGGCUUUACACGAAGCAGCACGGCGUUACAAUGUUGAAGUGGUGAAAGCAUUAUGUUGGAGUUUGAAGACCCUGAUUUUCCGUAUUCCGCCAACAAAAAACAGGAGACUCCACUUUACAAUGUUGAAGUGGUGAAAGCAAUGCUGCACACUUGGGUUAUAGAUUAUCAGUUGUGGAAGAAGUGUUAAAAAGGGAUGUAUCAGCUGCCUAUAUAAGUGAUAAAAAGAGGGGGAUGACACCCCUGCUUAUGGCAGCCAGGUAAAGCUAUCUUGGAACAGUUUCAAAGAUUCUCUCUUUAUGUCCAGAUUGUUGUGAAAAAGUGGACAACAAAGGUUUGAAUUUACUUCAUUACCUGGUUUUUAGAGGCGCUUUCUCUCCAUUAAGAGUUUCUCCUUUGAAAUGACACUCAAGAAGUUUAUUAUGCACUUCGAUCUAAGAAACAAGAUCAGAAACAAGUGUGUGUAUAUAUUGUAUUUCCAUGGCUAUGGUUUUAUUAAUAUUUAAGUUUUGAAUUAACAUAUUUAAUAAAUCUUCAAUACAAUCAGCUAAUGUGGGUGGCAUGGCAGAAACAAAUCAAUGAUUUGUUGGAAGAAAUUGAGACUGAUCAAGUGGCGGAGGACCCAGUUCAACUCAAUCUCUUGCCAACUAUCUCUGCAGAAAGCUUGGAGAAGACAAGAGAUGCUCAUUUAGUAGUGGCAGCACUUAUAGCCACCAUCGCAUUUGCAGCGGUAAUCCCGGUGGUUUGAAUAGCGAAAAAGGGUCAGAGCAAGGCGCUCCCCUUUUGAUUGAUGAGGCGGCAGCCUUUAAAGCAUUUGUUGUAACAAAUGCAUUGGCCUUUAUUCUCUCUGUUUCUGCCAUCUUCAUCCACUCCGGGGUUCUGGGUAAUAUGUUAUCAGGAUUUAAGUUUGGGCAUCGGACAGUUUUAUAUCGAACUCUGUCUGUUUCUGGGAUCCUUUUUCUAUGCAACGUUUGCAAUGUUGAUUGCUUUCAGCACAGGCUGUUAUGUGGUCUUAAAACCUUCCCACGGACUUGCCAUUGUUUCAUAUCUCAUCUACCCUGCCUUUUUUGUCUUUAUGUUGCUAAUUUUGAAUCUUACAUCAUAUAUGUAACAUAUAAAUAUGAGAAUAUUACUUUAUCACGGAUUACUAUUCUUCCAAUUCCUAGUGUCAAUGUUCUCUUUGAAGAAAUAUUACUUUUAAGUUUUUUUUAGAUAUAUCUAACUCAUCAGUAUUGUUGCGGAAAGGAUCGAUUCGAGAACUCCGAUAUGACUACAAGUAAAUUGACCGAAACGAAAAAUAAAGUGAACACAAGGAUUUACGUGGUUCGGCUUUAAUGCCUACGUCCACGGGCAGAGGCGAAAAGAAAUUUCACUAUAACAAGAUGAAGAUUACAAGUGUUUUACACUCAAGACACAACCCGAGAACCUCACAACUCUCAACCCCUAUAGAAAACCCGAAAGCUAAAAUCCUAGCUUUCAAAGAACAAGCUUUGCUCUCUCUUGGUUUGGGAUGAUUAAUAUGGCUAAUGAACCUCUCUAUUUAUAAGAGAGUUCAAGGACAUAAUUGUCCAAAACUUUGGCAAAGAUUUGUGGUUGAAAAUGGACACCAACAACCAUCCACUAAUCCACUACCACCAACAACCCACUACCAACAACAACAAUCCACUACCAAUUUUAAGCCAUUUCUUAACAAAUCUCCACCUUGGCUUGAAAUUUACCAAGCUGAACAUCAUAGUGAACUGGAUCACCUCUUCCAAACGCCUCUCUGGCGCUAAUCAAUCCCGAAUACCUAUCAAGUCCAAGCAAUGCUUGAACUUAUAUGCAGGGAUCACCUUAGUUAACAUAUCUGCAGGAUUCUUCUCGGUAGCAACCUUGCUGAUAACAAUGUCACCUUGCGUAACAUGUUCCCGAACAAAAUGAUAUCUGACAUCAAUGUGUUUGGUCCGUUCAUGAAACAUCUGAUUUUUAGUCAGAUGUAUGGCACUCUGGCUAUCGCAAAAUACAACAGUGAAAUCCUGUUGUAAACCCAAACUGCUUACUAGACCUUUCAUCCACAAUGCUUCUUUCACUGCUUCUGCUAACGCCAUAUAUUCCGCCUCAGUCGUAGAUAAGGCUACGGUAGACUGUAACACAGCUUUCCAACUAAUGGCUCCUCCAGAAUAAGUGAAAACAUAACCCGUCAGAGAUCUUCUUUUGUCCAGAUCUCCAGCAUAAUCAGAGUCCGCAUAGCCCGUGACACUGCUAGUGCAGUCACUCUGAUCAUAUACCAAGCAUAAAUCUGCAGAACCUCUCAAGUACCUGAGAAUCCAUUUCACGGCCUGCCAGUGUUCCUUGCCAGGACAACUCAUGUAUCUGCUGACCACACUAACUGCAUGUGAAAUGUCUGGACGAGUGCAAACCAUUGCAUACAUCACGCUUCCAACUGCACUCGAGUAUGGAAUGUGAGACAUUUGCUGCUUUUCUUCAUCAGAUUGUGGUGACAACUCUGCAGAGAGUUUGAAAUGUGGUGCCAACGGAGUACUCACAGUUUUCGCUUUAUCCAUGCCGAAGCGUUGAAGAACCUUUUCAAUGUAGUUCUUCUGCGACACACGAAGCUUGCCCGCCUUGCGAUCUCUGUGAAUAUCCAUGCCCAAAAUUUUCUUGGCAGCACCCAGAUCCUUCAUCUCGAACUCACCACUCAACUGCGACUUUAACUUGUUGAUUUCCGACAUGUUUUUGGAAGCAAUUAACAUGUCAUCAACAUACAGCAACAAAUAAAUGUGCGAACCAUCUGAGAGCUUCCGAUGAUAGACACAAGCAUCAUAGUCACAUCUUGUGUAACCAUGCUGAAUCAUGAAGCUAUCAAACCGCUUGUACCACUGCCUUGGGGAUUGUUUCAAUCCAUAUAAAGACUUCUUUAAUAGACAGACAUGGUCUUCUUUACCAGGAACUGUAAAACCCUCUGGUUGACGCAUGUAGAUUGUUUCCUCGAGCUCACCAUGCAAGAACGCCGUUUUUACGUCAAGCUGCUCAAGUUCUAGAUCAGACUUGGCCACCAUGGCAAGUAAUACACGAAUGGAAGAAUGCUUUACGACUGGGGAGAAAACUUCAUUGUAGUCAAUCCCCUCUUUCUGAGUGAAGCCUUUAGCAACCAAUCGUGCCUUGAAUCUAGUUGCUUCAACCCCUAGGAUGCCUUCCUUUUUCUUGAAGACCCAUUUGCAACCAACUAUCUUCUGGUUACUUGGCGGCUUAACCAACUCCCAAGUAUGGUUCUUGUGAAGAGAUUCUAUCUCCUCACUCAUAGCAAUUGCCCACUGUGCCGACUCAUCACACGUGACAGCCUCAUUAUAACUGGAAGGUUCUAUACCAAUGGACUCCGCCACACUGAGCGCGAAAGACACCAGAUUAGCGUAACGCGGAUUUGGUUUGAUUUGUCUCUUCGUUCUUCCAGUGGCAAUGCUAUAUGGUUUUUCUUGAGGUGACUCAUCUUCAUCGGAAUCUUGCACCUCAACUUGAUCAUCCUGGACUGAAGUACCUUCCGUAGGAAUUGGAGCGUCCACCUGACACUCCACCUGCUUCUCAACACCGUGAUCUCCCAUUCUAUCUGACUCCUCCUUUUCCCGGGAAUUUGUGGUGGAUCGAAGCAUGGAUGACUCAUCAAAAGUCACAUCUCUGCUGAUGAUGAACUUGGACGAAACCGGAUCAGGACACCACAACCUGUAUCCUUUCACCCCUUGGCCGUAUCCAAGAAAUAUGCAUUUCUUCGCCCUCGGUUUGAGUUUUCCCUCAUUUACAUGAGCAUACGCAGGGCAGCCAAACACUCUUAAACCAGAGUAAUCAGCAGGAGAACCAGACCAUACUUCCUCAGGAGUCUUCAGCUCAAUAGCUGUUGACGGAGAUCUGUUAACCAAAUAACAAGCAGUAUUAACAGCUUCAGCCCAAAAUUCUUCACCGAGCCCAGCAUUUGAUCGCAUGCAACGAGCUCGCUCCAAGAGAGUUCUAUUCAUGCGUUCUGCAACUCCAUUUUGUUGUGGUGUUCGACGAACAGUGCGGUGUCUCACUAUUCCUUCAUUUUUGCAGAACUCAUUGAAUUCACCUGAGCAAAACUCCAAGCCAUUAUCCGUCCGGAAUCGCUUGAUCUUCUUUCCUGUUUGAUUUUCGAUCAAAGCUUUAAAUUGCUUGAAGUUGAUGAGAACCUCAUACUUGCUCUUCAGAAAAUACACCCAAACCUUUCUCGAGUAAUCAUCGAUAAAGGUAAGCAGAUAUCUGUAACCACCUUUAGAAAUUGUCGGAGAAGGCCCCCAAAGGUCAGAAUGGAAGUAAUCCACUGUGCCUUUUGUCUUGUGAAUCCCAGUGCUGAACUUUACCCGAGUCUGCUUACCGAAGACGCAGUGCUCACAGAAAUUCAACUUUCCUGUACACUGCCCAGACAAUAAUCCUCGUUUGCUUAGCACCGAUAAGCCUCUCUCGCUCAUAUGCCCGAGCCGCAUAUGCCAUAACUUCGUGGUGUCAGAAUCUAGAUCAUCUGAUGAUGACACUCCCGCAACACCUGUAACCGAGGAACCAUCGAGGAAGUAAAGGCCUCGCUCCAAAUUACCACGUAUCACAGUCAAAGCACCCGAGAAUACCUUGAGAACUCCACCUUCAGCAGAGUACCGAAAGCCUUUCUUGUCCAACGUACUCAAAGAGAUCAAAUUUUUCUUCAUUUCUGGAAUGUGCCGAACAUCAGUUAGAGUUCUAACAAUACCGUCAAACAUCUUUAUACGAACUGUGCCAAUCCCCAUGACUUGACAUGCGUGGUCAUUUCCCAUUAGUACUGAACCAGAAUGCUUCUCGUAUGUUGAGAAUGCAUCUUUCGAAGUACUUAUAUGAAAUGUAGCUCCCGUAUCAAGAAUCCAUCUCCCACCAGCGUAAGAGUCGGAUACUGCAAGAACGAUCUCGGCAUCACUUGAAGAAUCUGCAUCAGCUACAUUCGCACGAUCAUUUUGUUGCUCCUGUGAUUCUGAUUUCUCCUUCCUUUUCGGACAAUCUACCUUCAUGUGCCCGUACUUCUUACAGUAGUAGCACUGUAUUCUCUUCUUGGACUGCGAUCUAGGAUGGCUUUUACUUGAACUUCCACCCUUUGCCUUGGAUCUUCCUCGAGCAACCAAGCCUUCGCCUUCAUUGUUUUCGACCACCUUACCAGUGAUUUUCUUCCUCAACUCACUGGAACUUAAGGCAUUUUUCACCUCCUCUAGAGUCAGGUCAUCACGACCGUACAUCAUUGUAUCAACAAAAUUCUCAUACGAGGGAGGCAAAGAACACAAAACAAUUAUUGCUUGGUCCUCAUCAUCGAUUUUGUUAUCGAUAUUAUUCAAAUCCAUGAUAAUGGAAUUGAAUUUAUCCAGGUGCUGGGAAACAGGUGUACCUUCCUCCAUCUUCAGGGCAUAGAGUCUUUGCUUGAGGUAGAGCCGGUUCGUCAAUGACUUCGUCAUGUACUUGCUUUCUAACCGGAGCCACAAACCGGACGCGGUUUUCUCAUCCGCUACUUCUCGUAGCACUUCAUCUCCUAGACAUAGCAGAAUAGCACUAUGUGCUCUUUCUAGCAUGUCAUCCUUUUGCUCUUCCGAAAGCGUGCUUGGUAAUUUAUCUUUACCAGACAAUGCUUUUAGCAAUCCUUGUUGAACCAGCACUGCCCGCAUCUUGAUGCGCCAUAAACUGAAACUAUUUUUCCCGGUAAAUUUCUCGACAUCAUACUUAGUCGAUGAAACACUUGUAGCCAUAAUUUGGAACCUUUGAAUGAAUGAUAAUAUUUUCUUCCUGAUGUGAAAGAUCAGACAAAGCUGCAGUCACAGGGCAAUUCAGAAAAUAUUAUCACUCCUUCAACUACGCUCUGAUACCAAUUUGUUGCGGAAAGGAUCGAUUCGAGAACUCCGAUAUGACUACAAGUAAAUUGACCGAAACGAAAAAUAAAGUGAACACAAGGAUUUACGUGGUUCGGCUUUAAUGCCUACGUCCACGGGCAGAGGCGAAAAGAAAUUUCACUAUAACAAGAUGAAGAUUACAAGUGUUUUACACUCAAGACACAACCCGAGAACCUCACAACUCUCAACCCCUAUAGAAAACCCGAAAGCUAAAAUCCUAGCUUUCAAAGAACAAGCUUUGCUCUCUCUUGGUUUGGGAUGAUUAAUAUGGCUAAUGAACCUCUCUAUUUAUAAGAGAGUUCAAGGACAUAAUUGUCCAAAACUUUGGCAAAGAUUUGUGGUUGAAAAUGGACACCAACAACCAUCCACUAAUCCACUACCACCAACAACCCACUACCAACAACAACAAUCCACUACCAAUUUUAAGCCAUUUCUUAACAAGUAUUAACAAUCUCCAUUUAAUUGAAAUCAAUGUUAUUAGUUGAUAAAUACACAUUUUCAAAAAAAAAUUAAAAAAAUUCAUAAUUUAUGUAAAGUAAAAUUUAUUAAAUAUCAAAAAAUAAUAAAUAUGUUGUAACUAAUUUUCCGUUAUAAUUAAAAAUUAGUUUGAGGAAUCAUUGAAAAAUAUGAGAUUUUUAAGUUCACCACCAAUUUUUGUUGGCUAGGUGUGAUCAAACACCUAUAAAAUCACUCUUUAAAAAGAAAAUUUUGAUUUAAAAAAAAAUUAAUUUUGGGUACGAUAGAAAUUCAGAAAAUAAAUAUUUAAGUUCAAGAGUUGAUUACGUGAAAAGAAGGUUUUAGCACCCAUGCCUAAAAUUGAUAGUUUGUUAAAUAUAUUCGUCAAUUAAAAUUUAUAUCUCGGUAUUUAAUUAAAAUCAAAAAUUUUGAUAAAUUAAAAAUAAAUAUAUGAAAGAUGUCCAGAUUGUUGUGAAAAAUUGGAAAAAAGAGGUUUGAAUUUACUUCAUUAUUUGGCUUUUAGAGACCGUUCCUACAAUUAAGUCAUUCUCUUUUCAUGACUGGUGGUACUAUGGCUGCAUAUGGAUCAAUAAGAAAUCUAAUGAAGUUGAAAGGUGACUUUGGAUUUACAGCAGCAAUAACUCUACCUGGUGGUUUGAAUAGUGAAAAAGGAUCAGAGCAGGGCAAUCCUUUUCUGAUUGAUGAGGCAGCCUUCAACAAAUGCAUUGGCCUUUAUUCUCUGUUUCUGCCCUCUCCAUCCAGUUUGGGAUUCUGGAUCUUCUUUUAUGUUUCUAAUCUCCUUGAUUGUGCAGUGGUUGUGAUGGUGAUUGCUUUUAGCACAAGUUGUUAUGUGGUUUUAAAACCUUCCCAUAGACUUGGUACCGAUUCAUGUUUCAUUUGCCCUGCCUUCUUUGUUUAUUAUUACAUACAACAAUACCUAGCUCUUGUGAAGAUGUCGUACUAAAAAGUACUCAUAUUGUGUGAGACAAUAAAACGAAGAGCUCAUGGAGGCCCUCAUGAUAGAACAAUUUUGCAUGCAGCAGUUAUGGCUGUAGAUGCCAGGCAAUUACAUAUGCAAAUAUAUUUAUUAACAACUUCAUUCCCCCCCAUCUCUGUAUUAAACCGAAAGUCCAUGUGAUUCCAACUGUUAAGCACCAUGGGAAGUGUUGAAAUAUAUAGGAAGUAAUAAGAAUUUUAUACAUAAUAAUAAAUUUACUAAUUUGACAUUUUUCGUAAUUAAAUUUAGCGUUUAAUUUUUUAAAAAGAGUCAAAUUUGAUCAUUUACUUUUAAAAACUAUUUAAUUAUCGUUUUUACACUAAAAUAUUAAAAUUUUAAAUAUAGUAGUUCGCGUGAAAGUUGGCAUGAACUUCAUGUUAACUUUUUCAACUUUUAAAUUUUUUAUAAUUUUUAAAUUAUUUCUUGACGUGCCGGAUAAAUAGUGUUAUCUCACCGUUUACGAGUUUUUCCAUUCCUAUGAUAAAAAGAGAAACGAGAUCAGAUUUUAUGGAACAAAUUCUCAGCAAGUGUCCGUCACUGCUACUCCAAACGAAUGCUAAAGGUCAAACUCCUUCGCACCUUGCAGCAAGGUAUGGGCAUUCUGCUAUUGUGAAACUUCUAAUAAGUCUUGCGCAAAAGCUAGAGAUGGAGAUUUAGAGAAGCUGGGAAUGGAUUGAGUAAAUGCAGCGAGGGAGAUGCUGAGGAUUAGGGAUCAGGAAUCCAACACCGCUUUACAUGAAGCAGCACGGUGUGGCACAGGGAUUUAAAUUGCGGUCGCGGUCGUAUUUUCGGUCGCGUCGCGUUUGUCGCGGUUGCAGACAUAACGGACGCUAUUGCGAUUACUGCGGGUAUCACGGUCGUGAAUUUUUUUAAAAUUCGUACAACUUAUUAUAAAAUAUAGGAAUUAUAAUUAUAAUUAUAAAAAGUCAUUUUUUAUGAUUUUUAGAGUUUUAAAUAUUUAGACUUUGAUUGCUUUUUGCUAUUUAUUUGGACUUCUUUUUUUUUAAUAACAUUAUAUUAGGCUUUUAUUAAUAAAACAAAAUUAUAAAAACUGCACACUUAUAAUUCUAAAAAGCCCAAAGCAGAUGGCCAAAAGUAAAAAAAUCUAGAUAUUUUUAAAGUAAAAAAAUCUAGAUAUAAUCCUAAAAAAAGGCACCGAUUCCUUGCCCAAUCAGCUGAAAUCUGCCCUCUCUUCUUCCCAUAAUCCAUCAUUUCAUUUUCAAUUUGACCAUUUCCUUUUUCAAAACUUUUCCUUCCGAACCGUUCCAUUUUCUUAUUGUUUUGAAGCUUUCUUCCUUCCGUUCUUCCUCUCCUGGUGCUUUCUAGUCUGGUUCACAUAGCCAAUCGUAUCUUCUUUGUUCUUCAGCGUACUCAGGCCCUCAGGGAGCUCCAUUUCCAGGCAUACCUCCUCUUUUUUGUUUUUUGUUCUUUUUCCUGUUGUCUUCUUUGUUCUUUGUUCUUUUUCCUUUUUUUGAUUGAACUGUGUUUCAGUGUUUCUGUUGAUUUUUGUUUAGAGGGGAUGAUUUUUUUUAAUUUGCUGUUAACAGAAAAUAACGGGAAUAGCGGCCCGUUAUUGCCGCAAUUGGCCGUUACCCGUUAAAUUGCGGCCGUGAUCCACCGCUAUCGGUGUGACUCCGCUUCUCACCGCUAUUUUCAGCAAUUGCGGUUUCGGACGGCGCCGCUACCGCUAUAUAACGGCCGCUAUUUCGGUAACGGACCGUUAUUUAAAUCCCUGGUACUGUGGCAUUGUCGAAGUGGUGAAAGCAUUGUUGGAGUUUGAAGACCCUGAUUUUCCGUCUUCUGCCAACAAAAAACAGGAGACUCCACUUUAUAUAGCAGCUAUGGCUGGAGAUGCAGGUAUGCUGUUGAUAUUAAUAAUUUUGAUAAAAUGUCUGCAAUUUGUUAAAAUGCAACCUGAAGCUUAGAAAACUUUCCAGCAUCAGAAUUAACAGGAAGAGCUUACAUCAUGAUUUCAUGGAUUAUGAACUAUACAUUUAAAUUACAAAUUGAUAGAAGUUGUUUUUGUUAGUACAAAUUUUCGAUGAGGAAAAUUUCGAACAUACGAACGAAACUUGAACAGCAAAUAAAGAAAUAAGACAAGGCUUCAAAGUGUGUAUCAAGUCGCUAUUUUUAAGGUUAUAUUCGCCUCCACCUAUGUUUAGUGUGCAAAAGAGUUUCGAGUAAAUUAAUCUCAAGGAUACAAUGAAGCCGAUGACUAUUUGUGUUUUGCACUGAUGAAAAUAAAUCGCUAAGCACUGAGCAAUAUAUAACAAGAAACUCAAUUUUAAAAAAAAAAAUUACAGUAAUACUUUAUAGAAUAAUCUAAUAAUAUUUGAAGAUGGAGGAAGGAAAGAAAGAAUUUUAGAAUUUGUUGAUAUAAUUUUCAAAUAAAAUCUCAUUCCUAUUUAUAAGAAUUUUCAUGUUUCUCCGUAUACUCUUCGUAGACUCUUUAAGAAAGUGAGAAUUUUAUCCAAUUAAUGUUUUUGUUUCUUGUUUUGUUUAAUGAAGACCAGAAGUUAGGAAGCUCGACAAGAGUUUAAGCGUCCGUUUUGUUUGUUGUUAUUUUCAUUAAUUCCUAAUCUAAUUUGAUUCUACAGUUUUAUAACGUUAUUAAUUAAUCAAAAUUGUUAAUACAAUUAAUUUUUUGAUUAAAAAAUUUCAUGAUUAUAUAUAAUUUGAAUGUUUUAAGGGUUUUAGAGAUGAAUACGUGACUCAUUAUUUCUUUUAGGUUUGCCUUACUUUUUUUUAUAUUAUAAGAAAAUGAUCAAAUUUUAAUUUUAGCCCUUACACAAUGUGAAAAUUUGGGAUUUAAUUUAUAUACAUUAUUUUUUACAUAAUUUGAUCAUUCUUCUUUUACAAUGUCAUUAGUUAGCCCUUACACAAUGUUGGCAUCAAUAUUUUUAGGAAUCCUAUUCCAAGAAAAAAAUAUUCAUGACGAGUUCGAAUGAAUGUUCUAAAGGAAAAAUCUAUAUAAACAUUUUCAAUGUUAUUUUUAUUUUUAUAUGACUACCAAGUAAUUUUUUUUAAUUUUCAAAAUAUCACACUAACAAAUUUAAUAGAAGAAUUUUAGUAGUAGUAAUGAUUGAACCUAAAAUUUUAAAUCUAAAAAACAGAGGGUCUAAAGUUCUAAAAAUAAAAGUAUGCUUAAAGUAUAUUGUCCUUUAAAUUGUACUGCAUAAUUUAAUACAAAUAAAUAAUGAACCCUUUGCGAAGCAUGAGAUUCAUACUAGUUUAUGAUUAGGUUAAUGGACAUUAAUUACCAAAUUUGCUAAAGUGUCUAUUUGAUGAAAUAAAGCAAUCACACGUCUAAAACAUAUAAGGUUGUGGAAUGCUUGUACUAUUAUAAAUAGAGGUGGUUUCUCCACUUUUAGAUUAUCCCGAAAUUUGUUGUUUUUUUUUGUAAUUUUCUAUUUUAUCUUUUGCAGUAUAAUAUAUUUGGUAAUAUUCAAGGACGUAGGCAUAAUUUGCUGAAUCUCAUCAAAAUUUUGGUGUUUUUAUUAUUUUUUUUUUCUCAAUAUUUUGUAGAGUAUAUUUGUAGUGAUAUAUUGGGCUUUAAGCAGGAUUAUAUGUGACCCUUUCAAUCUUUAUUGAGAAUUGAACAAGUAUUUUUUACGACAAUAAUUUACUCACUUGUAUCCGGUUCACACAACACUAUUAACUCUUUAUGAUUAUACUAACAAUUUAGUCUUAUUUUUCUCUUUUGAUAGUAAAAAAGUAGCAGCAAAAAGCUUCAAAACAAACCAAAUCAAAGACUAAACUAGUUUCCAUGGUAAGUAAGCAGGUCCAAAACACCAGGUGAUGGCUCUUCAAAAAAAUGCAGAGUAAUUCCCAAAUCAGGACCCAGCGGCGCCAUAAAGUCUGCAAUCUUAGUAGCUUCCCGUCUCUUAUGCAUAAAUUGGAAUCCAUCUGCCAAUAGCUUGGUCAUUAGUCGCCUCUUUAAAAUAUCCAUCGCCCCUCACAUUUUCCGAUUCAAUGAUAACCUUCCGAUAGCCUUGGCGGCGGGCCAACAAUUUAGUAUUUUAAUCAUCUUUAACAACUUUGUUUUGGCCCCAUUUGCUAAUUUUAAUUAUUUUUUAUUAUUAAAAUUAAAAUUAAAAAUUCAGAUUGACCCAUACUUACCUAACCUUUGAAUUAGAUUGAUAAACUACAUAUAGAUAAAUCCAUAUAUGACAAAUUUUUUAUAAUUAAAAUUUAGUAUACCGUCAUAAGUGUGUCAUAAUUUAGUGAUAUAUAAAUUUAAAAAUGAUAAUUUUGAUGUUUAUACUGUUAGAGAUUGUAUGACCCAAAUCUCGUCACUUUAAAUAAAAUACAAAGUCAAAAUAAGGAGAUCUAUGGGGACGAAGGAUUUUUCAAGCUUUAAAUAGAUGUAGUCGAAAUUCUUCUUGUUUUAUUCAUUUUUCAAUAUUAGUGAAUUUCUCCUGCCCCAUGAUUAUUUCCAAAAAGAUUUUCACAUAAAAUUUAUAUUUUUUUUUCUUUUCUUAUCGAUUUGCAAUUAUUCUACUAUCAUUAUUGACGUCGAUAAUGGAAUUUGACAACGAAAAGAGAUGAAGUGUAUUUCAUCUGCCCUUCCAACUUUGUCAAAUUCCCAUGGACGUUGCCAUCGUUUUAUGUUUGAUCUGCUCUGCUUUUUAUUAUUAUUAUUACUUACAACAAUACCUAGCUUUGUUGAAGAUGGUUUUGUAGUGAUAAUCAAGAAUUUUCUUAACUUCAUUUAUUUCCCCAAAUAUCUGUGAAAGGGAAUUAAAUCUCCAUAUGAAGCCAAAGUGGAUGUGGUUCCAAGUGUUGAGCAGCAUAGGAAGUAAUCAAAAUAUAUAUGUCGCACUGCAAGGAAUUCAAGGCUGCCUUGUCCACAACACAAAGGCUUAUAGCUGCUAAGCACCUGCUCUUAAAUUUGAUUAUGGCCUAAUAAACAACAUAGGGCAGCAUUGACUUCACCGCAAAGAGCUGUACACCGCAUUUUCUUCCAUUCUUCUUCUUUGCAGUUUCUUAAACCCAAAUUUCACCAUAAAAAACUCCUAAAAAUGAUGGAUUUGGUGCGUCUACUUUUCAACAAUUUUUAGUAUUUUAAUCAUCUUUAGCAACUUUGUUUUAGGGCCAUUUGCUUUUCUUUUCGUUACAAUUAAGUCAUCAUAUGAUAAUAACAUUUAGUGUAAGUUAUACAAAUAGUCCUUUAAUUAUUAGCACAUUAUUAGUUUGGUCACUCAUGUUUAAAAAAAGUCUAAUUUAGUCACUAACGUUAUGGACAAUUGAUAUUUUUGUCAUUCCUCAUUCAAUCAUUAAUAGAAUGCUGAUGCAACUUUUUUUUAUUGGCAUAUUAAUAAAUUUAGCCUUUCAAUCUCUAUAAAUUCCAGUAAUUUGAUUUACACAUUAUGUUAACUUAAUCUUCAUUCUUAAUUUUUUUUUUUAAAACUUAAAAACUAAAAAUAUAUAUUUAAUUUUUUUUUCUAUAAAAUACAUAUACAAAAUUAUAAAAUACAUAAAAAUAUAAAAAUAUUUAUAAAUAAAUGAAUACUAUUUUUUUCUUCAAAGAAAAUAUAGGGUUUAGUCUGAAUGAGUCAAUAUUAACUAACAUGACCAAAAUUUAGUGUGUAACAGUUUUCUGAGCUACCAAACACAGUCUUAGAAUAAAAAAAGAACAUAGAGCAGCAUUAACUUGACCACGAAGAGCUGUAGACCCCAUUUUCUUCCAUUCUAUUCUUUAAUUCUUCUCCUUCUUUGCAGUUUCCUUAAAACCAAAUCUCACCAUAAAAAACUCCUACUUUAUUGACCUCACUUCCAACCCAAUAUGCCACUUUUACUAAAGUGUUCAACUAUAUAAAGUUUUCAUUCGUAGGUGACUUGAAUGCAGGCAUAUGCAAGCAAGUAACUAACUGGAAAGGAAUUUGGUAAAUUUCUGAUUUGCAGUAUUUUUUUUCUUGAGCUUGGAAUGCUUCAAGCUAAUUAAUUAAAUUCUGUUUAGUGUUAUCCAGGAAGAAAUAGAUCCAGAAAAAAGGAACCUCGGAAGCCUGAACAGAACAUCACUCACAUGGAGGCUUCGCUAUAUAAUGCAGCAGCAGAAGGAAACAUUGAAGUAUUCAAUAAUAAACAGGGGCUUCAACUUGAGUCGCUAAAGACCCCAAACCAAGACAACGUGCUCCAUGUUAACUUGGCAACCGAGGAGACUGUCAAAUUCUCAAUAAUCAAAAUCUUCUCCGUAGGAUUUGUACCAGCCUAUCCGUUUUUGAAUUUAUUCGUUACUAUGAUAAAAAGAGAAAAAAAAUCAGAUUUUAUCGAACAAAUUCUCAGCAAGUGUCCGUCACUGCUAUUCCAAACGAAUGCUAAAGGUCAAACUCCUUUGCACGUCGCAGCAAGGUAUGGACAUUCUGCUAUUGUGAAACUUCUAAUCAAGUCCUGCGCAAAAGCUAUAGAUGGAGAUUUAGAGCUGGGAAUGGAUCAAGUAAGUGCAGUCAGGGAGAUGCUGAGGAUUACGGAUCAGGAAUCCAACACGGCUUUACAUGAAGCAGCAGGGUGUGGCAAUGUUGAAGUGGUGAAAGCAUUGUUGGAGUUUGAAGUCCCUGAUUUUCCGUAUUCUGCCAAUAAAAAACAGGAGACUCCACUUUAUAUUGCAGCUAAGAGAGGAGACGGCGGCGUGCUGAGUGUAAUAUUAGAUAAAUCAAAAUCAGCAGCUCAUGGCGGCCCCCACGGUAGAACAGCUUUGCAUGCAGCAGCUAUGGCUGGAGAUGCAGGUAUGUUGUUGAGUUAGUUCCAUUUUUUUUUUAAUUUGAAAUAAAUAAAGAACAGGUCUAUUGACAUUUUUUUUUUUUGCUUGGAUUUAGAGGCAAUAAGGAUAAUAUUAGAGAAGAAGGGGAAUUUGACAAAGGAAAGAGAUGAAGAUGGACACACCCCUCUUCAUUAUGCUGCACACUUGGGUUCUAGAUUAUCAGUUGUGGAAGAACUGUUAAAAAGGGAUGUGUCAGCUGCCUAUAUAGGUGAUAAAAAGAGGGGGAUGACACCCCUUCUUAUGGCAGCCAGGGAAGGUAAUGGUGGAACAAGGGCAAAGAUUCUCUCUUUAUGUCCAGAUUGUUGCGAAAAAGUGGACAAUAAAGGUUUGAAUUUACUUCAUUAUACGGCUUUUAAAGACUGUCUUCCCAUCAGGGAGUUCUGUUUUUAAGCGUGGUGGUGUUGAGAUUGUAUAUGGAUCAGUUAGAAAUCUAACGGAGUUGGAAGGUGCCUGUAAAAUCUAAUGGUUUUGCAUUUCCAUGGCUACUGUUUUAUUAAUAUUUAAGUUUUGAGUUAACAUAUUUAAUAAACCUAUAAUACAAUCGGUUAAUGUGGGUGGCAUGACAGAAGCAAAUCAAAGAUUUGUUGGAAGAAAUUGAGAAUGAUCAAGUGGCAUAGGAACCAGUUCGUCACUUUCACUUACCAAAUGUUUCUAUAAAAAGAUUGGAGGCUAUAAGAAAUACUCAUUUAAUAGUGGCAGCACUUAUAGCCACCAUCACCUUCGCAGCGGUAAUAACUGUUCCUGGUGGUUUGGAGAGUGAAAAGGGGUCAAAGCAAGGUAAUCCCUUUUUGAUUCAUGAGGCAGCCUUUAAAGCAUUUGUUGUAAAUUGGCCUUUAUUUUCUCUGUUUCUGCCUGUUGGGAUUUGGAGAAUGAUAGAUGAAGGUUAACAGAGCUUGAGCAACAAUGCUGUAUGUUUGCUGGUGAAAUAAACAGAAUCGGGCUUGGGAACAAAGAAAAUGAAAAACAAGAAAAGAGAGUUUUGGAUGAAAUUUUGAAAAUGAUUUCAUUAACAUUGAUUGAAGGCACAAAGCCAAUACAUAAACCAGACAUUUAGCCGGUCAAAUCAAAACAAAUUGUCACCUAACAUUACCUACUAUCACUAAGUAACAUUGGAACUUAUGAAAACAUUGCUUGCACACAUAGGUAUACUGAUUUAUCAAUCUAUCAGUACCUAAUUACAUCAAAACAAUAUCAAUUUAGUUCAAAUCUGACUAAAUUACAAAGCGAUAUUUAAGGUAACAAAACGAAAUGAAAUACAAUAGCAGUAAUGUGCUUCAGCAGCUGCAUGCAUACUUCAUGUGUUGUAAGUGCGGCUUGAUCUGCUUGUUCAUACUUUAUGUGCUGUAAAUGCGGUAUCCAGGCCAACUUCAACACUCCUCCUUGGCUUGCAUGCUGCAUACUCCCAUUUUAGCUCUCAAAUGCACGAACCUUGAACACUAAUGGGCUUUGUUAAGAUAUCAGCAAGUUGUUCUUUAGAACUGCAAUGAAUUAGCUUCACUUCUUGAGCUUGCUCCAUCUCUCUAACAAAGUGAAAUUUGAUCUUGAAGUGUUUCAUUCUUCCAUGGAAUACUGAAUUCUUUGCAAUUGCAACAGCAGAUUGGUUGUCACAAUUGAUCUCUGUCGCUUCCCUUGGUGUAGAUUCAAGUCAGCCAUGAUUUUUCUUAUCCAAAUGGCUUGAUUGAUAGCAAUAGCAGCUGCUACAUAUUCUGCUUCAGUAGUUGAUUGAGCAACAACAUUUUGCUUCUUCGAAUUCCAGCAAAAAAUGGCUUAUCCAAAAGUAAAAACAUACCUUGAUGUACUCUUCAUGUUAUCUAUCGAUCCAACCCAAUCACUAUCAGCAUAACCAACCACUUUCGUAUUUUUAGCUUUGCUAAAUAGCAUUCCAUAGCUCAAUGUACCUUUGAUGUACCUGAGAACUCUUUUGGUAGGUUGAAAGUGAUUUUCAUUGCAGCAAUGCAUGAAUCUAGAUAGCAGACUCACAAUAAACAUGAUGUCUGGUCUAGUGGCAGUAAGAUAUCGCAAACAACCUACCAAGCUCCUAUAGACAGAUUCACUAACCUGCUCAAAGUCACCUUGGCUCGAUAGUUUCUCUCUAAUGGCAACUUGUGUGUUUGAUGCCUUACAAUUUUGCAUGGAGAAUUUGUUCAGAAUCUUGGAGACAAAAGCCUUCUGACUUAGGAAGAUUCCAUGUUGUGUUUGAGUCGCUUCCAUACCAAGGAAGUAAGACAUUUGCCCCAAAUCUGACAUCUCGAACAUGUGUUCCAUCUUGGCUUUGAAAUCAGCUAGCAUUUCAUGAUCUCCUCCAGUUACUAGCAGGUUAUCAACGUAUAGGAACACUAUUAGUUGAGUUUCACUACCUUGCUUCUUCACAUACAAGGUAGGUUCACUGAUGCUUCUUUCAAAUCCAAGGCUAGCUAGGUAGCCAUCGAUCCUGCUAUACCAAACUCUUGGUGCUUGUUUCAAACAAUACAAGGCUUUCUUCAGUUUGUACACCUUGUCCUCUUCACCUGCCACUUUAAAACCUUCAGGUUGCUCAACAUAGAUUUUUUCAUCAAGAAACCCAUUGAGGAAUGCUAAUUUUACAUCAAGCUGAUGAAUUUUCCACUGCAUUUGUGCUGCUAAGGCAACUAGCAGCCUUAUGGUGUCAAGCCUAGCUACUGGUGCAAAGGUUUCAAAGUAGUCAAUGCCGUACUUUUGGCUGAACCUUUUUACAACCAGCCUUGCUUUUAGUUUGCUCAAGCUUCCUUCAGCAUUGUGCUUGGCUCGAAACACCCAUUUCACCCUAAUAACCUUUCUAUUUGCUGGUCUCUCAACUAGCAGCCAAGUCUGAUUAUUUUCAGUCAUUCUGAUUUCAUCAGCCAUUGCCUAUUUCCAGCCUUGUUGAGCUUCAACUUCUUCGAAGCAGCUUGGUUCAACUGCUGCCACUUGAGCUAUUUCAUAAAUCGCAGCUAAUGGUCUAGUGCCCCUGACUGGUUCAUUAUCAAUGUCCAUUUCAAGGCCAUUUUGAUCAGCUUUAGUCUGAUCUGUCAGUAAAUCUUCAAAGACUGCCUCUGGUUCAUUCUUCUCUCAAUUCCAACUUGAAUUCUCAUCAAAGACUACAUCUUUGCUCACAAGCACUUUGUUGCAUGAAGGAUCUAGGAUUCUGUAGCCUUUCUUCAUACUGCUAUAUCCCAUCAGGAUGCCAGGUUAGGAUGCAGUGAUUUUCUUAUGAUUGAACUCGCAUUGAGUUUCAUAGUUCACUUCUCUUUUAUUUCCAUCUUUACAGAUAAUCCACCAAGUUAGGAUGCAGACUCGGCAUACAGAGGACUCGACUCGGGUUUUAUUUAUUAAAAUAUUUUGGAUUUAUUAUUCAAAAUUUUUCGUUAUUCAGGAACUAUAAUAUCUUAUUUAAAUCAUGGCAUGAGACUUAGGUUUUUGUUUAAUUUAUCAUGUAUGACAUAUAAUAUAAUUUAAUAUAUUAUUUUUAAUUAAUUAAGCAUGAAAUAUGAUUUUAAUAAAAUUAAGUUGAAAAUCAUUUUUCCAUUGCUAAAUUAUAGUUUAGUAUUGAGUUGUAAAUAAAUCAGAAAAUUUAACUAAUUUUCAAUCUCAUGUGUUAUACUGAAAAUAAGCUAAGUUUUCCAUAUUUUAAAUUGGUCAUUUUUUAAACUUUGAUCGCUAUUGGGCUAUUUCAGUGGCCGAUAUAAUCUCUCAAAUUUAGAUCUAAUGUAUAGGCUGAGUUGAAGAGGUUACAACAAGAUGCAAGAUUAAUGUUGUUUUGUUUGAAGUAUAAAAUUAGUAAAACACAUAGCAAGGAUAACAUUGUUGGAGAUUAUGGUAUGCUAAAAUGUUGAAGUAGGGAAUUUGACAAAGGAAAGAGAUGACACCUCAACAGUUUAUGAUGCACUUCGAUAUGAGUCAUCACGAGAAAUAUCAGUGUGAAAAGGUGUGUGUAUUUCUAUGACCAAGAGCUAUGGUUUUAUUAACAUAUAUAUAUAUAUAUAAUAGACCUACAUUACAAUACAAUCGGCUAAUGUGGGUGGCAUGCCAUAAGCAAAUUGAAGAAUUGUUGAAAGAUAUUGCACUUGAAGAAGUAGCCAAGUUACCAUUUUUUCACAUUCCCUUAUUAACUGUCUCAGCAGAAAGCUUGGAGAAGACAGGAGAUAUUCAUUUAGUAGUGGCGGCAUUUAUAGCCACUGUGGCAUUCGUAGCAACCAUAACUGUUCCAAGUGAUUUCAAGGGUGAAAAAAUGUCAGAGCGGGGAACUCCUUUUCUAAUUUACGAGGCAGCCUUUAAAGCAUUUGUUAUGCAUUGGCCUUUAUUCUCUUUGUUUUUGCCCUCUCCAUCCACUUUGGAAUUUUGGAUCCUCUUUUAUCAAAAAUAAAUUAUUGAGAUAUUAAUAUAAUUUUAUAUUAAACCCAGUUCAUGUCUAAUGUCCUUGGUGACUGCUUUCCACAUAGGUGGUUAUGUGAUUUUAAAACCUUCUCAUAGACUUGCAUAUUGUUUCAUCUGCCCUGCCUUUUUUGUUCAAUUCUUCUCCUUCUUUGCCAAGUAUUUUCUUUACAGUUUCCUUAAACCCAAAUUUCACCGUAAAAAACUCCUCCUUUAUUGACCUGACCUCUAACCAGAGAUUUUCGUUUUGUUUAAAGUAAAAUUAUAAAGUUAAUAAAGCACAAAGCAAGAAUAGUACUUAGGGCAGCAUCGCCUUGACCACAAAGAGCUGUUCACCCCAUUUUCUUCCCUUCUUUUUCUUCAAUUCUUCUUCUUUGCCAAGUGUUUUCUUUACAGUUUCCUUAAACCCAAAUUUCACCAUAAAACCUCCUACUUUAUUGACCUGACCUCUAACCCUGUAUAUUACUAUUACUAAAGUGUUCAAGUAUGAAACUAUAUAUAUAUAGUUGUAGGUGACUUGAAUGGAGGAUAUGCAAGCAACAAACAAAUAGGUAUGGCAUUUGGUAAAUUUCUUAAUUUGCAGUUUUUUUUUUUCUUGAGCUUGGGAUGUUUCAAGAUAAUUAAUUAAAUUUUGUUUGGUGUUAUAUCCAGGUAGAAAUAGAUCAACAAAAAUGGGACCUCAGGAGCCUGAAGAGAACAUCAGUCACAUGGAUGCUUCGCUCUAUAAGGCAGCAGCAGAAGGCAACAUUGAAGUAUUCAAUAAUAAGCAGGGACUUCAACUUGAGUCGCUAAAGACCCCAAACCAUGACAACGUCCUCCAUGUUAACUUGGCAACCCAGGAGACUGCCGCCUGGCUUUUAAACAGAUUUCACUCAUGCGAUCCGGUUAUGAGUUUUUUCAUUACUAUGAUAAAAAGAGAAAAAAGAUCAGAUUUUAUCGAACAAAUUCUCAGCAAGUGUCCGUCACUGCUACUCCAAACGAAUGCUAAAGGUCAAACUCCUUUACACGUUGCAGCAAGGAAUGGACAUUCUGCUAUUGUGAAACUUCUAAUCAAGUUUUGCGCAAAAGCUAGAGAUGGAGAUUUAGAGAAGCUGGGAAUGGAUCAAGUAAAUGCAGUGAGGGAGAUGCUGAGGAUUACGGAUCAGGAAUCCAACAUGGCUUUACACAAAGCAGCACGUUGUGGCAAUGUUGAAGUGGCGAAAGCAUUGUUGGAGUUUGAAGACCCUGAAUUUCCGUAUUCUGCCAACAAAAAACAGGAGACUCCACUUUACAUAGCAGCUAGGAGGAGAGGAUCUGGGCGCUUGUUGACUCUAUUAUUAGAUAAAUUCAAAUCAACUGCUCAUGGCGGCCCUCACGGUAGAACAGCUUUGCAUGCAGCAGCUAUGGCUGGUGAUGCAGGUAUGUUGUUGAGUUAGUUCCAUUUUUUCUUUUUUUGAAAUAAAUAGAGAACAGGUCUAUUGAUUUUUUUUUUUUUUUGCUUGGAUUUAGAGGCAAUAAAGGUAAUAUUAAAUAAGAAGGGAAAUUUGACAAAGGAAAGAGAUGAAGAUGGACACACCCCUCUCCAUUAUGCUGCACACCUUGGUAAUAGAUUGUCAGUUGUGAAAGAACUGUUAAAAAGGGAUGUAACAGCUGCCUAUAUAGGUGAUAAAAUGAGGGGGAUGGCACCCCUUCUUAUGGCAGCGAGGCAAGGUCAUCUUUUAACAGUUUCAAAGAUUCUCUCUUUAUGUCCAGAUUGUUGUGAAAAAGUGGACAACAAAAGUUUGAAUGUACUUCAUUAUCUGGCUUUUAGAGGCUCUCUGUUGGAACAAUGGCAGUAGCAAAGAAAGCAAAAACGAAUGAAAGAAAACAAAAGAAAAAGAACUCAGCAAGAAAAUUUGUAACUGAAAAGUCAUCAUAGUUUCAUUCAAAUUUUGAAUAUAUGAAGAUUACAAAAGUAUUUGACAGUUACCUACUAAUUUAACUGCUCUUACUUAAUACUUACUAAAAAUAUAGCAACUUGUAUACAAAAGAAAGCUGGCAUACCAGCUAUUACAUCAGUCAAUCUUUCCUACUAACUUAGCUAACUCAUUACAAAGAUUUAGGCUAAGUUCCAUAGGAACAAAUAUUCAAAAAAUAAUUUUAUAACUGAACCAACUCCAUUUCUUUGCUACAAAACAGUAUAGUAGCUAAAAUUGUACAAUUUGCCGCUGUUGGUCUUUUGACCAAUUUGUUGCUGUUGGUUCUUUGUUGCAAUGCAGGCCACGGCUUCAACACUCCUCCUUGGUCUGUAUGCAACAAACACCAAUCCUUUCCUUCAAAGCAUUAAAUCGGUUGGCUCCCAAUGGUUUAGUUAAAAUGUCAGCUAGCUGAAUUUCUGAGCUGCAAUGAACUAAGCUAACCUCCCUAGAUUGCUCAGCUUCUCUAACAAAAUGGAAUUUAAUUUUGAAGUGUUUAGUCUUACCAUGGAAGACUGGAUUCUUGGCUAUGGCCACAGUUGAUUGAUUAUCCACUCUAAUCUCAGUAGGCUGAACUUGACUUUCAUUCAAAUCAUCCAAAAUCUUCCUAAGCCAAAUGGCUUGGUUCACAGCUGCUGCAGCUGAGAUAUACUCAGCCUCUGCUGUAGAUUGUGCAACAGUUUGUUGCUUCUUGGAACUCCAGCUGAAAACACUCGAGCCUAAGGUGAAAAAAUAACCUGAAGUGCUCCUCAUGUCAUCAACUGACCCUGCCCAAUCGCUAUCAGAAUAGCCUACGAGUUUCAGCUCCUUUGCCCUCCAAAACUUCACACCAGUAUCGAUGGUUCCUUUGACAUACCUUAACACUCUUUUUGCUGCCUUCAGAUGUGCCACAUUACUGCAGUGCAUAAACCUUGAAAGUAGACUAACAGCAUAGACAAUGUCUGGUCUAGUUGCUGUUAAAUAAAGCAAACAACCAAUUAAGCUUCUAUAUGCCUUCUCAUCUACUCGAUCAUGUUCACUGGCACUUGACAAUUUUUCUCCCAAUGCAACUGGUGUAGUGACUGAUUUGCAUUUCAACAUGAAAAAUUUUUCAAGCACCUUGGAAGUAAAUGUUUACUGACUUAUGAAAAUGCCAUCACUUCCUUGUUUUAUCUCCAUGCCAAGAAAGUAGGUCAUCAGACCAAGGUCAGUCAUCUCAAAGACAUGUUGCAUCUGUUUCUUGAAGUCUUCAAUAAGUUCAUCUUUGCAGCCAAUAACCAACAGAUCAUCAACAUACAAGGAAACAAUUAACAAGGUUUCCUCCUGAUCCUUCUUAACAUAGAGUGUAGGCUCACUGAUACUCUUUGUGAACCCGAGCAUUGCUAAGUAGCCAUCAAUCCUCUCAUACCAGGCCCUUGGAGCCUGUUUUAGACCAUACAAAGCCUUUUUCAGCUUGUAGACCUUCUGUUCUUCACCAGUGACCUUAAAACCCUCAGGUUGCUCAAUGAAUAUUUCUUCAUUAAGAAAUCCAUUUAGAAAGGCUGACUUAACAUCCAGAUGAUGCACCUUCCAAUGCUUUUGAGCUGCCAAAGCUAGCAGCAAUCUGAUAGUAUCCAACCUUGCAACAGGUGCAAAGGUUUCAGAAAAAUCAACCCCUUGCUGCUGACUAUAACCUUUAACAACCAGUCUGGCCUUAUGUCUAUUAAGAGAGCCAUCUGCAUUGUUCUUAAUUCUAUAGACCCACUUUACACCUAUAAUUUUUCUGUUUUCAGGUCUGUUUACAAGCUCCCAUGUAUCAUUUUUCUGAAUCAUUUUAAAUUCAGCUUCCAUAGCAUCCUGCCAGCAUUUUUCUUUUGCAGCUUCUUCAAAACAUGAAGGCUCUACUAUAGUUACUGUACAUCUCUCAUAGAUGUCAGUUAAUGUCCUGGUGCCUCGAACAGGUUGAUCAUCAUAGCCAUUUUCAAUUACUUCUUCAUUUUCAGCUUGCUGCAGAUCAACAUCAAUCUCUUCUCCAUCUGGAAAAUUUGCUUCAAUUCCAUCCCAUUUCCAGCUACUUGCUUCACUGAAUUUCACAUCUCUGCUCACUACAACCUUCUUGGUCAGUGGAUCAAAGACUCUGUAUCCUUUCUUCACAUUGCUGUAGCCAACAAACACCCCAGGCAUGGACCUCCUGUCCAACUUGGUUCUUCUCUCCUCAGGUACCAACACAUAACAUAGACAGCCAAAUACCUUCAAAUGAGAGACAGAUGGUUUCUGUGCAAACCAGGCUUCAAAGGGAGUUUUUCCUUUGACUGCAUUAGUUGGCAACCUAUUCAACAGGUAAAUAGCUGUAUUCACAGCUUCAGCCCAAAAAACAUUAGGCAUUUUAGCCUCAAAUAACAAACACCUAGCCAUAUCAAGGACUGUUCUGUUUUUCCUUUCACAAACACCAUUUUGCUGUGGUGUGUACACAGUAGUCAAUUGGUGUUGAAUUCCAGCAUCAUCACACAAUUUUUGAAACUUCUGAGAUACAUACUCAGAACCAUUGUCAGACCUCAAACAUUUUAAUUUGCAAUUUGCUUGGUUUUCGACCAAGGCUUUAAAUUUGCAGAAAGAGUCAUAAACAUCUGACUUAUGCUUCAAAAAAUUUACCCAACAGAACCUUGAAUAAUCAUCAAUGAAGAGUACAAAGUACCUGCUGCCAUUUAAGGAGGUAGUCUUCAUUGGUCCACAGAUGUCUGUAUGAAUAAGCUGAAGCUUCCCUUGUGCUCUCCAUGCCUUGUUGACUGGAAAGGGUAAUCUGGUCUGUUUGCCUAGCUAACAGACCUCACAUACAGCAUCCUUUGGCUCAAUUUUGGACAUAUCACUGACCAAAUCCAUUUUGUGCAGCAUGCUCAGUGAAUUGUAGUUCACAUGCCCCAUCCUCCUGUGCCACAAGUCUGUCUCAUCAGACUGAGAUGCGUAUGCCUUGGCUUGCAGUUGAUUCACAUCCACAAUGAAGGUUCUGUCUUGCAUAGCCACUGUAGUCAACACUUCACCAGCAGCAUUUUUGAUCAAACAGUUUUUGCCUUCAAAAAUCAGAGAGUAACCCUUCUCCAAUAGCUGGCCAACACUUAGCAAGUUUUGGUCAAUGUCAGGUACAUAGAGAACCUCUGAAAUGGUUUUAAUACCUGACUUAGUGCUUAUCAAAGCCUUGCCUUUCCCUUUUGCCUCUAGCAGCUCACCAUUGCCAAUUUUGACUUUGGACUUGAAGGUGGUGUCAAGCUCCUUAAAUAUACUCUUCUUAGAAGCCAUAUGGUGGGUACAUCCACUGUCAAUCAACCAUAUUUUACUAACUUUGCUCGAGCUUGCAAAGCAUGAUGCUGAAAAGACAUGCUCUUCUGGUGAUUCAACCUCUUUUGCAGCUUGAGCUUGGCUUUGAAAUUGUGGUUGUGGUUUUGGCUUGCUCUUACAGACCUUUUCAAUGUGGCCAAAUUGCUUGCAGGCUCUACAUUGAAUGUCUGGUCUGUACCAGCAGUAUUUCUCAAGAUGAGUAGUCUUCUUGCAAUGGACACAAGGUGGGAACUUCCUUUUGACAGGUUCUUUCUUCUUCUUCUCAGUCCAGGGCUUCUUGCCUUUGGCAUUUAAGUUUGCACUUGAGCUUUCUCUGCUUCUAGCCUGAAAAGCUCCUUCAUAGUGGUCCUCCUGCCUAUUUGCCAUUCUCUGCUCUUGAGCAUAGAGAGCAUUUAUAAGCUCUGUCAAAGGGAUUGUUGACAAGUCCCUUGAAUCUUCCAGAGAAGAAAUUUUUGCUUCAUACUUCUCUGGCAAGGUUGUUAUGACCUUCUCAACCACUCUUUGGUCACUGAAUUCUUCCCCAAGCAGCCUUAUGUUGUUGACAGUAGCCAUGAUUCUGUCAGCAUACUGCUUGAUGGUUUCUGAGUCCUUCAUUUUGAGAUUUUCAAAAUCUCUUCUCAUGUUGAUCAGCUGCUGUUGCCUGGUCUUGUCAGACCCCUGAAACUCCUCCUUGAGUUUGUCCCAGGCCUGCUUUGGAGUGUCACAAGCCAUUAUUCUUGUGAAAAUAACAUCAGAAACUCCACUUUGAAGGCACGACAUAGCCUUAUACUUCUUGGCACAGUCUUCAUUGUGCUGCCUAAUCUGGGCUAUAGUCGGGUUGGCUCUUAGUGGUGGUGGCUCAGUGUCAUUGAGAACAACAUUCCACAGGUCGUGUGCCUGCAGGUAUGUUCUCAUUUUCACUGCCCAGAUGUUGUAAUUUUCUCCAGCAAAGACAGGUGGAGGAGGUGGUGUAAAACUCAUUUUUCAGCAAGCAAAACAACCUCUUCUUCUUUUGUUUCAAACACAAUUUGCUUAGUGACAGUGUACAACCAAGGCCCUCAAAGACUGAAAGCUCUUGAUACCAUUUGUUGGAACAAUGGCAGUAGCAAAGAAAGCAAAAACGAAUGAAACAAAACAAAAGAAAAAGAACUCAGCAAGAAAAUUUGUAACUGAAAAGUCAUCAUAGUUUCAUUCAAAUUUUGAAUAUAUGAAGAUUACAAAAGUAUUUGACAGUUACCUACUAAUUUAACUGCUCUUACUUAAUACUUACUAAAAAUAUAGCAACUUGUAUACCAAAGAAAGCUGGCAUACCAGCUAUUACAUCAGUCAAUCUUUCCUACUAACUUAGCUAACUCAUUACAAAGAUUUAGGCUAAGUUCCAUAGGAACAAAUAUUCAAAAAAUAAUUUUAUAACUGAACCAACUCCAUUUCUUUGCUACAAAACAGUAUAGCAGCUAAAAUUGUACAAUUUUCUGCUGUUGGUCUUUUGACCAAUUUGUUGCUGUUGGUUCUUUGUUGCAAUGCAGGCCACGGCUUCAACACUCUCCCUCUCCAUUUGGGAAUUCUGUUUUCAAGAGUGGUCAUAUUGAGAUUGUAUAUGGAUCAGUCAAAACUCUAAUGGAGUUGGAAGGUGCCUUUGGAAUGACACCUCAAGAUGUUGAUAAUGCAGUUCGAUCUCAUAAACAUCAUCAUAAACAGGUAGUUGUGUGUACAUAUUACAUUUCUAUAGCUAUGUUUUUAUUAAUAUUUAAAAUUUUGAAUUAACAUAUUUAAUAAACCUACAAUACAAUGGGCUAACGUGGCGGCAUGGCAGAAGCAAAUCAAAGAAUUGUUGGAAGAAAUUGAGAAUGAUCAAGUGGCGGAGGAACCAGUUCAUCACUUUACCGUACGAAAUAAUUCUAUAGAAAGUUUGGAGAAGACAGGAAAUGCUCAUUUAGUAGCUGCAGCACUUAUAGCCACCGUCGCAUUUGCAGCAGCAAUAACUGUUCCUGGUGGUUUGGAGAGUGAAAAAGGGUCAAAUCGAGGCACUCCCAUUUUGAUUCAAGAGGCAGCCUUUAAAGCAUUUGUUGUAACAAAUGCAAUGGCCUUUAUUUUCUCUGUUUCUGCCCUCACCACCUACUUUGCGGUUCUGGAUCAUCUUUUUACACGAUUUAUUUUUUGGCGUGAAGCAAUAAUUUUAAAUCGAACUUGGUCUGUUUCUAUGCUCCUUAACUAUGCAACGCUUGCAAUGGUAAUUGCUUUCAGCACGGGUAGUUAUGUGGUCUUAAAACCUUCCCACGAACUUGCCAUUGUUUCAUAUCUCAUAUGCCCUGCCUUUUUACUUUGUAAGUGGACAGCUUUGUUUGUAAUUUUGAGUCAUUCAAUACAUAUUUAAAAUAUAAAUAUGAUAAUAUUACUUUAUGGAUUAUUACAAUGUUGUUUCGAUUAUUAUAAAUUCAAAAAUAUUUUAUUUCCUUUUAAUAGUUUUUCAAAUAUUAAAUAUAUAACGCAAAAUAUAUAUAUAUAUUUUGUUUCUCAUGAAAAAUAGAUAUCAAUCAUGCUUUUCAAGUUUUCAUUAUUGAAAACAAAAUUUUAUUUCUAGUUAUCAAACUUGAUUUUAAAUUUUCAAAAAAUAGAAAAUAAAAAUAUUUUCAGAAACCUAACAAAGCUUAACUUUUUUUUUUGUUAAUAUACCAUUUGGUAUUUGAGUUAGUUUUAUUGUUCAAUUUGAUAAUUAAUUUCGGCUUCAAUAUUUAAUUUGAUAUCUAAACCAAAUGGUUUCAUAAGGCCUAAUAAAUAUUUGACAGGUCUACUCUAAAAAAUAGACGUGGGUAUUCUAAUUGAGACAAAAAAAAAAAAAAGAAGAAGCUCAAGUAUUAAAUUGAACUUUUUUAAAGUUAAACUCGGAUACUUAACUAUGACAAAAAGAAACUCAAGUAUCAAAGUAAAAAAAUUAAGUACAAAAUUGAACAUUCAAACCAAAUUCAUAUACAAAAUUAUAAAAAAUAAUCUUUUAAUACUAAAUUAAAAUUUGAAGUGAAAUUCAAGUAUCAAAUAAUAUAUUAACUCUUCUUUUUCUCUUAGAUCCUCACCUUGAAAAAAGCUAAUUAAGGUUAUUUGUUUUACAUUUACAACUUAAAAUUUUCAUAUAAAUAGAUUCUGUAUUUAUAAAAAUUUAUUUUUAUUAAAGAUUAAAUAAGAUUUAAAUGGUGUGUUGUUCUAAAGUUCACAAAUUUUUAUUUAAAAUAAUUACAUAAAAGUAAUAAAAAUUCAAAAUUUCACACCAACAAUAUAAAGUUAAAAAAUCACACAUAAAAAAUAGCAUUGCUAAAGAUUCUGCUUUACUAAAUUGUUUAAGUAAGGAAUUAUACAUGCCAUGGUGCUUUCUUUGUACCAAUGAUCUCUUUGGAUGGGUGAUGUGUUUAUUUACGAUUAGUAUAAAAAUAACAAUGUAAUACCUCAAAUUCGGUCUAGACGUUAUGACCGAAUAGGACUACAAGAGUUCAUCCAUCCAAUCACACCAAUAUGUGGCGGUGUGCCACUCAUAAAUAUGUAGCUGAGCUUCCAUAUAGAAAUUUGCUCUAGUCGCCAUAUAUUUGCGGUAAAAACUGUCAUAUAACACUUCCUCUAUUUUAUCAUAACCCAACUCAAUGCAAAUGUAAAAUCACGUUAACAUUCAUACAUAUAAUAUAGAUCGUAUGGCAUGCAUGCAUAAAUAGAUAUUAUACAAAGCAUAACACAACACAUAACUUAUACAGAUCAUAACAGAUUGAGAUUAUGCUGCACACAGAGGUUGCAAUUUUGUCGUGGAAGAACUGUUAAAAAGGGAUGUAUCAGCUGCCUAUGUAAGUGACAAAAAGAGGGGGAUGACACCCCUUCUUAUGGCAGCCAAGCAAGGUUAUCUUUUAACAGUUUCAAAGAUUCUCUCUUUUAUGUCCAGAUUGUUGUGAAAAAGUCGACAACAAAGGUUUGAAUUUACUUCAUUAUCAGGCUUUUAGAGUGUCAUCUUUUCAAGCUUGGUGGUAUUGGGAUUGCAUAUGGAUCGGUCAGAAAUUUAAUGGAGUUGGAAGGUGCCUUUGGAAUGACACCUCAAGAAGUUUAUAAUGCACUUCAAUAUGAGAAACAUCAUCAUAAACAGGUUUAUAAUCAAUGAUUUUUUUAUAUCUCAUCCGCACUUCAUUUUGGUGGCCUCCUCCACAUGGAUGGUUAAAGUUUAAUGUGUGUGGGAUUGCUAAAGAAGAUAGAGCAGGUUGUCGAGGUGUCUUGAGAGAUAAGGAGGGUGUCGCAAGAGCAUUAUUUUCUGGUUCAGUUGCAGCAAAUGAUGCCGAUGUGGCUGAGAUUGGUGCGGUGAAGAUUGCUCUGUAAGUAUUUUUUAGCUAUGAACUGGAAGAUUAAUGAUUCUUUAUUUAUUGAACUUGGUUCAUUGGUGGUGUUUUCUUGGUGUGCUAACAAGGUAAUGAGACCAUGGUCUCUUCAAGCAAUUUUUGCAGGUAUUGAAAAUGACAUGUUAAAGGCCGGAAAUGUUGUAUUCUCAUUGGCGGAUAAGAAAGGUAACGAGAUGGCAUCUUCCUUGGCAAUUGCAGGUUUUAAUCGGGUGAAAAUGUUUAAAGCUUGGUGAUGAAUUUUUGUUUUGUUGCAUUCAUAGGUUUAUUAGAGUUGGAAUGCGUUUUACUUUUGAUUGCUGUAAUACUGAAAUUUUUGUUGUUGUUCUGUUCGUCUUUGACAACAGUACAGCUCGAAUGGAGCCAAAAAAAAAAAAAAAAAGGGAAUGUUACAUCUUUGUAUAAGCAUUACUUUAAUUUUCAGUUAUAAUUAAAAAUUAGUUUGACAAAUCAUUGAAAAAUAUGAGAAUUUUAAGUUUAAGAAAAACACAAAGUUUUAUUUAAAAGUGGGAAGUCGUCCUCAACUUUUCUAGUUAGCUGCGAUUAGACACAUUUAAAAUCAAAAUUCUUUUUUAAAAAGAUAAAAUUGAGUUUACAAUAUAAAUCCAAACAAAAAUGUUUAGGUUAAUUAGAGAAUUUGUUAUACGAAAGGAAGAUUUUAGCAUCCUCAUGACGCCAAAAAUUAAUUCCUUGUUAAAUAUGUGUUGUCUACAUUCGUAAAUUAAAACUCAUAUCUUGGUUUUUGAUUAUGAUCCAAUUUUUUGAUAAAUUAAAAAUAAAUAUUAAAUGAGUGAAUCAAUUUUUUAAUAGCAAAACAAAGAUAAUGAUCAAGAUGUAGCAUUUUCAAAAUUCAGGGGCCCUUUUUGAGAUUUUCCAUUUAUUUUUCAUCAUGUUUAAAAGAGAAAAGUUAUAAAUUUUGAAGUCAGUAGCCCAAUAUUUAUUAAGCCCAAAUCAAAUAUUAGCUCAAAGUUCAGAAGCAUUCGAAUUUUAAAAUUGUGAAAUUACAUUUAAUAGAAAGCAAUAACAUUUCAAAAGCUAAUAAAUAUUAACAAAAAUCGGAUCCGAUAUCAACAACAUAAAAUUUGAUAUUAUCAUGUAAGCCGCUAUUUUUAAAUAUUUAAUGUUUUAGUCAAUAUUUUUGUUAAAAAAAUCAAUUUGAUUGCUUUUGAAAGGUUUAUGGCUAAAUUCGAGUCUUUUUUUAAAAGAUUGAUGACCAAAUUUAGCUCAAGAAAAGAAUAAGGGCCAAAUUGAUAAAAAAAAUUUACAUAAAUACUACGAGCUAAUUUUAUCAUUAUGCCUAAUGAAAAUUAAGUUGUAUACUUUUAUGAUAGUAAAAAAAAAUGUAAUUUCAUAAUUUUAAUAGCUUAAAUCUUUAUAAUAUUUAAAAGAUUAAAUCAAAUAUUUAUAAUUUUUAGAAGGUCAAAAUAUAAUUUUAUCAUUAUUAAUUUAAAAUUUUGUAAAUUAUAGAUAGGUUAAAAAGAGAGACCUAUUGUCCCCUUGGCUCCACCCCUAAACCCAUACGUUUUCAUCCAACUUUGAAAGUCCUUUCAAGCUUUCCAAUCUAUUAUAUUUGAUGUCUCAACGAUCCUAACUCUCGACCAAAUAAUCUUUUUCACUAUUUUUAAACUAAUAUACUUAGGAUUGAGGUAGAAUAAGGACAUGGUGAACUCCAAAAGUAAAUUAAUUUUUAAAGGGAUUUAAGACUAAUUCAUUUUGUGUCAAGUCUACAGUAUUAUUAGUUCAUAUUAACACAUCUCUGUCUUCACUUGAAAGUUAAUCUUACUCCGGCACAAUCAAGACAAAUUAUGUCUCAUUAUUAGAUUUUAGACAACGUAUAAAUCUCUUUCUCUUCGUAAUUCUAUAGAUUACAAGUCAUGUAUUUAAAUUAUCGACUAAUGGAAAUUGUCUUUUGCAUACAAAACUAAAUUUGUGAUGCAACUCCGAAUUAAUUUAACAUAGGAAAAGAAGGGAGUGCGGCUUCCAUGCAGCAACGACCAAAGCCAAAGAGAAGGCGUGCUGCCUAAUUUCUUGCCCUUCUCAUCCACACAAUUUCUUGACUUUUCUUGUGUUUCUCAUCCACACAAUUAAUUUAUAUUUUAGUAACACAUUUUGAUUUUGUUUCCCUUGUAAAUAUUUAAAAAUAUAUAAAUCUAAGUAUUUACAUGUUUGAUAAAUAAAUUGUUUGUAUAAAAAAAGUGAAUUUUAAAUUAUGUCAUAAUAGUUACAAUAUUAAUGGUUUGCGAAAUUUAAUUAAAAUUAAAAUUCGUUUUUAUAAUUAAACAAAUUAAAAUUUAUGUUUCAUAUUGCAAAUUAAAUUAAAGUUAAUACAUGAUUUUGAUUUUUAUUUCUUUGCAUUUUCGUGAAAAAAGUAUUGACUUCACCAAAAAGAGCUGGAGAGCUCAUUUUCUUCCAUUCUUCUCCUUCUUUGCAGUUUCCUUAAACCCGAAUUUCACCAUAAAAAACUCCUAAAAAUGAUGGAUUAGGUGCAUCUACUUUUCAACAAUUGUUAGUAUUUUAACCAUCUUUAUUAACUUUGUUUUAGGGCCAUUUGCUUUCCUUUUCGUUUCAAUUAAGUCAUCAUAUGAUAAUAAUAUUUAAUGUAAGUUAUACAAAUAGCCAUUUAAUUAUUAGCACAUUAUUAUUUUGGUCACUCGUGUUUAAAAAAGUUUAAUUUAGUCACUAAUAUUAUGGACAAUUGAUAUUUUUGUCAUUCCUCGUUCAAUUAUUAAUAGAAUCUUGAUGCAACUUUUUUAUUGGCAUAUUAAUAAAUUUAGCUUUUCAAUCUCUAUAAAUUUUAUUAAUUUGAUCUUAAUUCUAAAAAAUAAAUUUAACCCUUAACUUUACACAUUAUGUUAAUUUAAUCUUGAUUCUUAAAAUUUUAAAAAAUAAAAAUAUAUAUUUAAAAGUUUUUUUUUUAUAAAAUACAUAUACAAAUUUAUAAAAUGCAUACAAAAAUAUAAAAAUAUUUAUAAAUAAAUGAAUACUAAUUUUUUUCUUCAAAGAAAUCCUUCAAAGAAAAUCUAGGGUUUAGUCUGAAUGAGUCAAUAUUAACUAACAUGACCAAAAUUUAGUCUGUAACAGUUUUCUGAGCUACCAAACACCGUCUUAGAAUAAAAAAGAGCAUAGGGCAGCAUUAACUUGACCACGAAGAGCUCUAGACCCCAUUUUCUUCCAUUAUUUUCUUUAAUUCUUCUCCUUCUUUGCAGUUUCCUUAAAACCAAAUUUCACCAUAAAAAACCUCCUACUUUAUUGACCUCACUUCUAACCCAAUAUAUCACUAUUAUUAUUACUAAAGUGUUCAACCAUAUAUGGUUGCCAGUAGUUGACUUGAAUGCAGGAUUUGCAAGCAAGUAACUAACUGGUAUGGCAUUCGGUAAAUUUCUGAUUUUGCAGUACUUUUUUCUUGAGCUUCGAAUGUUUCAAGCUAAUUAAUUCAAUUUUGUUUGGUGUUAUCCAGGAAGAAAUAGAUCAACAAAAAUGGGACCUGAAGAGCCUGAACAGAACAUCACUCACAUGGAUGCUUCGCUGUAUAAGGCAGCAGUAGAAGGCAACAUUGAAGAAUUCAAUAAUAAGCAGGGGCCUCAGCUUGAGUCGCUAAAGACCCCAAACCAUGACAACGUGCUCCAUCUUAACUUGGCAACCCAGGAGAAUGCUACCUUGCUUUUUAACAUAUUUCUCUCAAUAAUCAAAUUCUUCCCCGUACUAUAUGGAUGCUUCUCUCCGCCUAUGCGUGAUUUAAUUACUAUUAUAAGAGGAGAAAAAAGAUCAGAUUUUAUCGAACAAAUUCUCAGCAAGUGUCCGUCAAUGCUACUCCAAACGAAUGCUAAAGGCCAAACUCCUUUGCACGUUGCAGCAAGGUAUGGUCAUUCUGCUAUUGUGAAACUUCUAAUCAAGUCUUGUGCAAAAGCUAGAGAUGGAGAUUUAGAGAAGCUGGGAAUGGAUGAAGUAAAUGCAGUGAGGGGGAUGCUGAGGAUUAGGGAUCAGGAAUCCAACACGGCUUUACAUGAAGCAGCACGAUGUGGCAAUGUUGAAGUGGUAAAAGCAUUGUCGGAGUUUGAAGAACCUGAUUUUCCGUAUUCUGCCAAUAAAAAACAGGAGACUCCACUUUACAUAGCUGCUAGGAGAGGAGACGGAGGCAUGCUGAGUAUACUAUUAGAUAAAUCAAAAUCAACAGCUCAUGGCGGCCCCCACGGUAGAACAGCUUUGCAUGCAGCAGCUAUGGCUGGAGAUGCAGGUAUGUUGUUGAGUUGGUUCCAAUUUUUUUAAAAAAAAAUUUGAAAUAAAUAAAGAACAGGUCUAUUGGCAUUUUUUUUUGCUUGGAUUUAGAGGCAAUAAGGAUAAUAUUAGAGAAGAAGGGGAAUUUGACAAAAGAAAGAGAUGAAGAUGGACACACCCCUCUUCAUUAUGCUGCACACUUGGGUUCUAGAUUAUCAGUUGUGGAAGAACUGUUAAAAAGGGAUGUUUCAGCUGCCUACAUAGGUGAUAAAAAGAGGGGGAUGACACCCCUUGUUAUGGCAGCCAGGCAAGGUUAUGGUGGAACAUGUUCAAAGAUUCUCUCUUUAUGUCCAGAUUGUUGUGAAAAAGUGGACAAAAUAGGUUUGAAUUUACUUCAUUAUAUGGCUUUUAGAGACUCUGUCUUCCCACUAGGGAGUUCUAUUUUCAAGCGUGGUGGUGCUGAGAUUGUAUAUGGAUCAGUUAGAAAUCUAAUGGAGUUGGAAGGUGCCUUUGGAAUCACACCUCAGGAAGCUCAUAAUACACUUCGAUCUAAGAAACAACAUCAAAAACAGGUGUGUGUAUAUAUAUUGCAUUUCCAUGGCUAUGGUUUUAUUAAUAUUUAAGUUUUGAAUUAACAUAUUCAAUAAACCUACAAUACAACCGGUUAAUGUGGGUGGCAUGACAGAAGCAAAUCAAAGAAUUGUUGGAAGAAUUGGAGAACGAUCAAGUGGCAGAGGAACCCGUUCGUCACUUUCGCUUACCAAAUGUUUCUACAGAAAGAUUGGAGGCUAUAAGAAAUACUCAUUUAAUAGUGGCAGCACUUAUAGCCACCGUCACCUUCGCAGCGGCAAUAACUGUUCCUGGUGGUUUGGAGAGUGAAAAAGGGUCAAAGCAAGGCACUCCCUUUUUGAUUCAUGAGGCAGCCUUUAAAGUAUUUGUUGUAACAAACGCAUUGGCCUUUAUUUUCUCUGUUUCUGCCCUCUUCAUCUACUUUGGGGUUCUGGAUAUUCUAUUAUCAAGAUUUAAAUUUUGGCGUCAAACAGUUUUAUAUCGAACUCGGUCUGUUUCUGGGCUUCUUGGCUAUGCAACGCUCGCGAUGAUGAUUGCUUUCAGCACAGGCAGUUAUGUGGUCUUAAAACCUUCCCACGGACUUGCCAUUGUUUCAUAUCUCAUAUGCCCUGCCUUCUUUUUCGUUCUGCAUUUGACUAUUUUUGAUUACUAUAUUACUAAGAUAUUAUUUCAUCGUUGAUUACAAUAUUUUUCCAAUUCCUAAUGUCAAUGUUACCUCUUUGAAGAAAUAUUACUUUAAUAUUAAUAAUCUCCAUUUAAUUGUAAUUAAUAUAAAAUUAUUAGUUGCUAGACAUACAAUUUCAAAUAAAGUAAAAUUUAUUAAAUAUCAAAGAAUAAUAAAGAUGAUGUAAUUAACUCUCGGUUAUAAUUAAAAAUUAGUUGCAUUAUAAUAUGCAUGCCCUGUAAUUUUGAUAAUUUUGAUUCUUUUUCUAAUAAUUUAGUAAUUUAAUGAUGUUUAACAACUUUGUUUUCGCACGUUAUAUAAUUUUAUUUAAUAUUUUAUAAUUAAAUUAAAAUUUUAUGUAUUCAAAAUAACCUAAACUUACCUAACCUUUGAAUUAGAUUCAAUCUUAUAAUAUUUGUAAUUAAUAUAAAGUAGUAAACUAUUCUUAGUCAUGAAUUAAUUUCUUCCUCCAAUACUUGCAUGCAAAACCAAAGACAAUGAGAUUAAAAAAAAAAAAAAAUUUAAAGUUUUUGCGAUUUGGACUUUCAAUAUUGUAACUUUAGCAUUUCGACCAUAACUUAAACUACAAAUCUCUAUUUUGAGCCCAUAAUAUAGCAUCUAAUUAAAAUUAUUUCACAAAUCAAGCACCAAAACCUCAUGAACGCAUCUAAAAAUAGCCUGGAAGUUUGACACGAAAGUUGCUAAGAAAUCUUGAAAAAAUCUGCUUUAUAUAAAUAGAUAAUUUUUUGUAUUUUCUCUAUUAUAUUAUCUUUGCCUUAUAAACAUACAUUAUUAGGUUAAAACUUGAGGAGAGACCUAGACAUAGUCACCUUAGCUUUAUUUUGUUUUUGCGUUUUAUUUUCUUUAUGAGUUUUUAAAUUUUUUUUCUAGUUUAAGGUCAAUCAAAGUUUGAUUCAAUAAAUUUAUGAGACAUGAUUUGCACUUUAAUUCUUUUUUGUUCUUUGAUAUUCAUGCAUCUUCUGUUAUAAUUACAAUUGCUCAAGUUUAUUACUAUUGAGUCAUCAACUAGAACUAAUUUAUUAAACACAUUGAAGAUAUCAUUAUAUCGAUGAUCGAACUUACAAAAUCAAUUGUAGAUUUUACCUUUGGGUAAAACCUUUCAACAUUGAAUUUCCUAAAAUUUUUAAUUAUUACUUUCUUUGAUUCAGCUUUUAAUUUAAAUUUAGUUUUUUUAUUUUAUAAAACCCUUUUUUUUAUUUACCUUAGUGGUUCUUACUUAAGGAAUAUAAUUAUCACUAAUAUCUAUAUAUGUGGAUAUAAUUUUGCUUCUUGUUUUCUAUUAAUUUAUAUGUUCAAAUUGAUUUUAUUUUUAUAGGUCUCGAUAGUCUAACAACUCUCUUGGAUCUUCUUGUUGAGCAUUUUUGAACUUCUUAAACCUUUGGCUUCAUUUUGACCUGUAUUUAAAAACUUUGUUUAAGUUUCAAGAUAAAAAGGUUAUCUACCAUUGCAACUCUUCUAUAGUAGUGUUAUGAUUAGUGGACAUUACUUCUGUCACUUGUAAGGAAACACUCUUUUUUCCUCUACUUCAAUUUUCUUUUUAUUUAAUCUAGAUUGAUCUCAUAGGUUUGUAGAAAUCCAAUUGAUUCAUCAAUUCACAUAUUAUCAAUAUCUUUGGCUUCUCCAAUGAUUGUGACUUUGAUGUUGAAUUUCUUUAGAAAAGAUCAAAUCACACAAUUUGGCAUAGAACUUGUCAAUUGUUUCAUUAUCCUCCAUUUUUAGAGUUUUAAACCUUGUUAUGAGCAUUUGUAAUUUAGAUUGCUUCACAAUCUCUAUAACACCCCUAAACCUCGCCUGAACGUUAUGGCUGAAUCUAGAAUGUUACGAAGAAGGGUUUUGAAACCGAUCUUUACAUGAUAAAAAAAAACCUCGUAUGGUAUCUUACUAGAAAAGAGUCCUUAUUGUAUAAAACAUAUCCAUUUAACAUUGUCUUUACUAAAACCGUUGAUAGUUUGUUCUUUAAGAAAAACUUAAUUCGCGACAGAAAUCUUAAGUGUCAUUAUAUGUCGAAAACCAAGUUUGUGUUUUCCAAAACGUUUGUUUGCAUAAAACCAUUAUUUACGAAAAAUUGUUUGUUGUGCGUUGCAGAAAACAUAAUCAAACCAAAAACAACAACAAAAACCAAAAGAAAUCAAAAAGUCCGGAGAGUCCCAAAAUUACAAAACUCUCAAGAAAAACCAUAAAUUAAAAUAAAACCAAUAAUUAAAGGAUAGUUUCCAUACUAGUGGUCAUCGCUGAGCUUCCGUUGCACCGACCUGCCUAUGUCUGAAGAUUACCUGAAUAGAGUAGACAAACAAAUGUGAGUUUUCAAAAACUCAAUGUGUAACUUAACAGAGACAUGCAUACACAUAAACUCAGAUUUCUCAUGUAGCAAAUCAGAUACGGGCAUAAGUCAUUAACAGAAUCAUAUAAUAUCAUAAUCGGAUUAUUAGAAACAUACAGAUAUCCAAAGUCCUACCCCCAUCCUCUACACACUAUCUCUGACCAUCCCAACACACCAUAUGGGGUAUAAAACACCCACUCAUCCCUACACACCACAUAGUGUCUUUACAACACUUAUCAAGAAUAGUAUGCAGUCAAGCUGCCAGUAUAUCGGCGAAAUGUCACCUCACAGAACACUUCCUCCACAUAUACAAAUCCCACCCCAUACAUAGAUACAGAUAACAGAUAACAAAUAUAACAGAACUAACAUGUCCCGCAUGCUCAUAUACAAAUAUCAUACAUGUUAUUAUGAAAUAGUCAAAUCAUACAUAUCAACUUCUAAAUACUCAAAUUAGUCUAUCAAAGUAGCAGAUAUCAUACAUUAGGGUUUGUUAUUAUGUAAUGUAUUGAAAUAAUCAUAAUCUAAACUUAAAAUAAUAAAAUAAAUUUAAAUAGCAUCGGAUGCUUAAACUAAAAUCAGAAAGAAAUAUAAAAUUAAACAAAACAUUGACUUUGUUAUACAAUAGUUUAAGUAUCAUUAAAUAAUAUUUAUAAAUAUAAAAAAGUCAAAGUCUUUUUAAAAUACUAAUUAUUUAAUUAGUUAAUGAGUGUUGCAUUUGAUCUCAUGUUAUAUAUAUUAUAAUAUGCAUGUGCUACUUGCCUGGAAAGGUUAAAAUUAGUUGUAUAAUUAAUUAAUAAAUAUUUGAAACAUUAUUUUUCUUGAAAGAUGGACUGAUUUUUAAUAGCUUCAUUAAUUAAUUAAAAUCUAAUAAUGCAACUUUGUUUUAAGGCCAUUUGCUUUCCAUUUCCUUACAAUUAAGUCAUUCAAUAACAUUUUAGUAGCGUAUUUCUGUUUUGUUCAUUCAGAUUUAAAAAAUUAUAUGUUAAUCACUUAUCGGUUGUUGAUAUUUUGGUCACUUUUCCGUUAAAUCAUUAAUAGAAUGUUAAUGCAGUUUUGUUUUUAUUGGUAUAAUAAUAAAGUUAGCUCUUUAAUGUUUAUAGAUUCUAUUAAUUUAGACCUAAUUUUAAAAAAAAACAAAUUUAACCCUUAACUUUACAUAUUAUGCCAAUUGAUCUCAAUUCUUAAAAAUUUAAAAAAUAAAAAAGAUAUUUAAAAUUUGUUUCGAUAAAAAUACAUACAAAAUUAUAAAAGUUAUAAAAUACAUACAUAUAAAUAAAUGAGUAUUCAAUUCUCUCCUUUAAAGAAAAACACGAAAAAGAACUUAUAUAAUUUAUCAUUUGUUUUGUUGAAAAUGUGGUAAAUCUUAGGGAUUUUCAUUGUUGGAAGGGUGAAAAGAAAAUCUAGGGUUUAGUCUAAAUCACUCAAUAAUAACUAACAUCAUCAAAUUUUGGAUGGACAUAAUGCAUUGAAAUAAUCAAUAAUCAAAAUUGACAUCAUAAAUACAAUCAACUUCAUAAUUAAAAUAUAUCUAAAUUUAAAUAGAUAAAACUAAAAUCAGAAAUAAAUAUGAAAUUAAACAAAACACUUACGCUGUUAUAUUGUAGUUUAAGUAUCAUUAAAUAAUAUUUAUAAUUAUAAAUAAGUCAAAGUCUUUUUAAAAUACUAAUUAAUUAAUUAGUUAAUGAGUGUUCCAUGUGAUCUCAUCUUAUAUUAUAAUAUGAAUAUGGGAAUGUGCUCCUUGCCUUGAAAGGUUAAUAUUAAUUAAUAAAAAUGUGAAAAAAUUAAAACUCGCCAUGUGCCUCCAUAAUUAGAAUUUAAUAAUGCAACUUUGUUUUACGGAUUUGCUUUCCAUUUCCUUACAAUUAAGUCUUUCAAUUAUAUUUUAGCAGUGUUUUACUGUUUUGGUCCGUUUAUGAUCAAACUCACAGAAACAAAGUUAAAUUAGUUAGGGGGUUACAAUCUCCAUGCCUUCAUGGGCAAUCUCAAAGAUUUCAAGCUAUAUAUAUGUGUCACUUGUCUUGAUAAGCCACAAGGUGUCUUGGAAUAAGUAAGGCAUUUUGUAAUUUUUCUUAAUUUGUAAUCUUUUUUUCGUUUAUCUUUGAAUGUUCCACGGUAAUUGAAUAUUAAUUGGUGUUUUCAAGGAAGAAAGCUGUGCAAUAGAUCAACAAAUAUGGGACCAUCGUUAAACGACAUUGUUAUUUCCUCCGGUGAACCUGAGAAGCCUGCAGAGAACAUCACUUGCAUGGAUGCUUCAUUGUAUAAAGCUGCAGCAGUAGGCAAAAUUGAAGAAUUCAAUAAUUACCAGGGGCCUGAACUUGAGUCGCUGAAGACCCCAAACCAUGACAACGUGCUCCAUGUUAACUUGUCAACCCCUGAGCGUAUCUGGCAACGUACCAGAUUUGAUUUUGUCCUACAAAUUCUUGACAAGUGUCCAUCACUGCUACUCCAAACAAAUGCUAAAGGUCAAAUUCCACUGCAUGUUGCAGCAAGGUAUGGAUAUUCUACUAUUGUACGACAUCUAAUCAUGUUUUGUGCAAGGGUUAUUUAUAAAGAUUUAGAGAAGCUGGGAAUGGAUCAACUGAAUGCAGUGAGGGGGAUGAUCAGACAUACGGAUCAAGAAUCCAAUACGGCUUUACAUAUAGCAACACGGUAUGGCCAUGUUGAAGUGGUGCAAGCAUUGCUGGAGCAUGAAGACCCUGAUUUUCCAUAUUUUGCCAAUAUAAACCACGAAACUCCACUUUACUUAGCAGCUAGGAGAGGAAGUCGGCGCUUGCUGAGUAUAUUAUUAGAUAAAUCAAAAUCAACUGCUCAUGGUGGCCCCCACGGUAGAACAGCUUUGCAUGCAACAGCUAUGGUUAGAGAUCCAUGUAAGUUAAGUUCCAAUUUUUUUUUUUUUGUUUGAAAUAAACAGAGAAUAGAACCAUUGACUUUUUUUUUUGGGCUUGAAUUUAGGGGUUACAAGGAUAAUACUAGAGAAGAAAGGGAAUUUGACAAAGGAAACAGAUGAAAAUGGACACACCCCUCUUCACUAUGCUGCACACUUGGGUCACGAUGCUGUUGUGGAAGAGCUGUUAAAAUGGGAUAUAUCUGUUGCUUAUAUAGGUGAUAAAAAGUGGGGGAUGACACCCCUUCUUAUGGCAGCCAGGCAAGGUCUUUUUGGAACAGUAAGAAAGAUUCUGUCUUAUUGUCCAGAUUGUUGUGAAAGAGUGGACAAAAGAGGUUGGAAUUUACUUCAUUUUAUGGCGUUUAGAGACCUUUCUCGUGGAUUCCGCAUUUUAUUAAAGAAUGAUAAUGCUACCACGACUGAAUAUGGAUCAGUCAGAAAUCUAAGGGACUGGAAAGAUGCUAGUGGAAUCACACCUCAACAAGUUUUCAAUGCAUGUCAAUAUGAUAAGGAAGAGAAAAAGGUAUAUUUAUAUUUGUAUUUGUAUGCCUACGGCUAUGGUUUUAUUAAUAUUUGUGUUUUGAAUUAUGAUUAUAUAACAUAUAUAAUAUAAUGAUCUAUAAUAUAAUCGGCUAAUGUGGUAGGAACAAAUUGUGAAAUUGUUAAAAGAAAUUGUGAAUGAAGAAGUCGCGGAGAAACCAGUUUAUCCCAUCGGCUUGCCAAACAUAUCUGCAGAUAAAAACUUGGAGAAAGCAAGAGAUGCUCAUUUAGUAGUGGCAGCACUUAUAGUCACCGUCACAUUCGCAGCGGCAAUAACCGUUCCAGGUGGUUUGCAGAGUGAAAAAGGGUUAGAGCAAGGCACUCCCCUUUUGAUUCAUGAGGCAGUGUUUAAAGCAUUUGUUGUGACAAAUUCAUUGGCCUUUAUUUUCUCUGUUUCUGCCCUCACCACCCACUUUGGGGUUCUGGAUAAUCAAUUAUCAGGAUUUAAAUUUUUUCGUGAAACAGUUUUAUAUCGAACUCAGUCUGUUUCUGGGAUCCUUGGCUAUGCAACGUUGGCAAUGGUGGUUGCUUUCAGCACAGGUAGUUAUGUGGUCUUAAAACCUUCCCACGGACUUGCCAUUGUUUCGUAUCUCAUCUGCCCUGCCUUUUUACUCUGUAUUUGGGAAAUUUUGAAUCCUUUAAUGCAAAUGUAAAAUAUAAAUAUGAUAAUAUUACUUUAUCAUUGAUUACAAUGUUGUUCCAAUUCCUAAUAAAAAAUUAAUUUUUUUUUAAAAGAUAAUUUUGAGUCUACGAUAAAAAUUAAAAAAAAAUGUUGUUUACAUAGCAUCCUCGCGACGCUCAAAAUCGGCACCUUAUUAAAUAUGUUUUGUGUACCUUGUUAAAUUAAAAUUCAUAUCUAGGUACUUAAUUAUGAUCCAAAUUUUUGAUAAAUUAAAAGCAAAGAUAUUAAAUGAGUGAAUCGGUUAUUUAAUAGCAAAACAAAAGUAAGGAUCAAGAUGUAGCAUAUUCAAAAUUCAAGGGCCUUUCUUGAGGUUUUUCAUUUUAUAUUUUUUAUCAUUAUAAAAGAUAAAAAAGUUAUAAAUUUUGAAGUAAAUGGGCCCACAGUCCAACAUUUAUUACACAUAUGAACAGAUAAGAAAACAUUUGGGCCCAAAUCGAAUAUUAUCCCAAAGUUCAUAAACAUUUGACUUUAAAAAUUGUGAAAUUAAAUUCAAAACUAAUAAAUAUUAACAAAAAUUGGAUCCCAUAUCCACAAAUUAAAACUCCAAUUCUUGUUACUUACGGAUCCUGGACGAAAUUCGGUGUUUACAAAAGGUAUCAAGUGGCGGAGGAACUAGUUUGUCCCAUUUGCUUGCCAACUAUCUCUGCAAAAAGCUUGGAGAAGAAGGGAAAUGCUCAUUUAGUAGUGGCAGCACUUAUUGCCACCUUUGCAUUCGCAGCGGCAAUAACUGUUCUUGGUGGUUUGCAAAGUGACAAAAGGUCAAAGCAAGGCACUCCCCUUUUCAUUCAUGAGGCAGCCUUCAAAGCAUUUUAUUGUAACAAAUGCAUUGGCCUUUUUAUACUCCGUUUCUACCCUCACCAUCCACUUUGGGUUAUGGAUAAUAUAUUAUCAAGAUAUAAUUUUUGGCAUCGAACAGUUUCAAAUCGAACUCGAUUUGUUUCUGGGAUCCUUGGGCAUGCAAUGAUUGCAAUGGUGAUUGCUUUCAGCACAGGUAGUUAUGUGGUUUUAAAAUCUUCCCACGGACUUGUCAUCGUUUCAUAUCUGAUCGGCCCUGCCUUUUUCUUUGGUGUGUGGCUAAUUUUGCAUGCUUCCUUAUAUAUAUAAAAUAUAAAUGUGACAAUAUACUUUAUCAUCGAUUACAAUAUUCUUCCAAUUUCUAGUUCGAAUGUUACCUCUUUGAAUAAACAUUACUUCAAUUUUUUUUUUUGAGAUAUGUCUAUCUUAUUAAAAUUAUGAAAAAGGUCAAAAAAAAAUCACAAUUUGUGUAAAGUAAGAUUUACUAAAUAUCAAAGAAUAGUAAAGAUAUAUUGUAAUUAAUUUUCGGUUAUAAUUAAAAAUUAAUUUGACAAAUAAUUGAAAAAUAUGAGGAUUCUAGGUUUAAGAAAAACAUGAAAUGUUAUUUAAAAAUGAAAAGUGGCGAUUAAAUUUUUUGGCUAGGUGUGAUCAAACACAUUUAAAGUCAUCUUCUAAAAACAAAAUUUUGAAAAUUCUUUUUUAAAAAGAUAAUUUUGGGUCUACCAUAGAAAUUCAGAGAAAAUUAUUUAGGUUAGGGAAUUGGUUACGGAAGAUUUUGGGUCUAUCUUGUUAAAUAUAUGUUGUUUACAUUCGUAAAUUAAAAUUCAUAUCUCUGUAUUUAAUUGUAACACUCCAAAAUUGGGGCGAGGAGCAGUAAGGUUUGUUGGUUUGGGGUUAGUGGUUCGUAAGUCCUAAGUUAAUUUUUGUAUUUUAAAAAUAAAAUGAGUCUCUUGAUUUAGUGGUAAAAAAUUAGUUUACCUUUAGAUCUUGUGUUCAAAUUCUCGUGAGAGCUUUGAGGAAGUUAAUUUUUGGUUUUUAAAUUUUGUUAAAUUCUAUCACGUUUGGAUUCAAUUUUCAAUACUUCACUAAGUGAUGUAUGUAUUUGGACUAUAUGGACUUUUGUUAUGGUCCUUUUAUGAUAUUACUAAUAAUUUCUUGAUUGAGAAAAAAAAAUAUAUUACUUAUGACAUGUGGCUUCCCUUGUACCAUGUUAAAUAAUCUCUCGUGUUUGCAAGAUUUUCUAUUAUGUUCGUAUAUCAAGUGUUUAUGAAUGAAGUCAAAAAAUUUUUGUUGGGAGUCUGAAGUAAUAAUUUUAGAGGGGAAAUAAUUUUAAAUAAAUUUAAAAUUAAUUUAUCUCGUGUUUAGUUUAAUGUAUUCUUUAUCUAUAUCACUAUUUAAGAGUCAAUUCUAUUUUGAUAGCGAAGAUAAGUUAUUUUCCCUUAUUGGACAUUAGACUACAUGAUAUCCUUAUAUGAAUCACUUACUUAUCAUGUUUCCAUGAGUUAAUGGACUAUUCAUUUAAAUUACAACUAAUUGAAAUUAUCUUUUGCAUCCAAAACAAUAUUUGUGAUGCAACUUCCGAUAAAUUUAACGUAAGUAACUAAUGAGCUAAUAUUUACACAUACUAUUAGUUUACAUGUUGGUUUGAAUCCAUAAAAAUGUAAAUUUAUAUAAAUGUAAAAAAAAAUUCGACAGUUUUUCAAAUAUUAAAUCUCGUACAUUCGUUUGAAUCAUAAAAAAUAUACACUUUCUAUUUUAUUAUAGAAAAAAAAGUAUAUACCAUGUUUUUCAUGUUUUCAAAAUUUUAAUUUUAUUUAUCAAAUGUGUUUUUCAAUUUGAGAAAAAAAUAAAAAUUAGAAAAUGAAAUAUUUCUUUGAAAAUGAUAAUAGGAAAUAAAAAAAAAUAUUGUAAGGAACCGAAGGAAGCUUACCCUUUUUUUUUGGAUUAAUAUACCAUUUGGUAUUUAAAUUUGGUUCUAAUGUUCAAUUUAAUACUCAAACCAAAUGACUUCAUAUAGCUUAAUAAAUAUUUUACAUGUGUACUAUGGUAAAAAAAAACAUAAGUAUUUUAAUUGAGAUAAAAAAAAUGGGUAUUAAAAGAAACAUUGAAGCUAAAUUUAAGCAUUUAAUUAUGACAAAAGGAAAUUCAAGCAUUGAAUUGACAAUAUUUGGGUACCAAAUUAAACAUUGAAGCCAAACUUAUGUACCAAUUUGGAAAAAAAAAAUCUCGAGUACAUUAACGUUCUUCUGCUAUUAAAUCUUCUCAUUGAAUAAAGCAAAAGCUAUGAUUUGCAAAGAGAAUAAAUGGUGUGUAGGAAAAAUGUAGGGAAAGAAGAAUAAAGGGGAAAUUGUAGCUCCAUCUACUUGGACCAAAUUUUUUAUUAUAUUGAUUCCUUUUAAUGAAAAAUAAUUGUACUCAGGCGCAAAAGGUGGAAAAAAAAUUUUAGAGGGUCGAAAUUAAAUUUUAAUUUUUAUAAUAAUAAAAAUGUAAUUUUAACAUUUGAAUAGCCUAUAUAUUUAUAAUGUUUAAAAGAUUAAAUCAAAUUUUUAUCAUUUUAGGGGGGCCAAAGUGUAAUUUUAUCUUUACUAAUUUAAAUUUUUUUACUUGUACUACGAGUUGUAUUGCAUUUUGCCCCAUUUAAUUUAUAAAAAAAAAGUAAAUUAGUCAUUGUAUACUAGAUCAAAGAUCAAGUUGGUCCUUCUGAUAAACAUUAGCCCAUGUACAUUAGAAUGAGGGACACGUUGCAUGUCAUGUUUAACUAUCUAACUAUUCUGUUUGUUAUGCCCGUUUUAUUGAUAGAAAAGGAUGAAACUUUUAAUAGAAAUGAUCAGUUUACUUUUUUUAUCUAAUAAACAAUGACUAAUUUACUCAUUUUUUAAAAAGAAAAGGUAAGAUACAAUCUAAACCCUAAACCUUCAUAGUACUUUUACCUUAAUUAAAGCUCAUAGCAAGAAUAGCAUUGUUGAGGAUUAUGCUACGCGAAUGUGUUAAGGAAGAAAUUGAAAAAUGUAACGGUAGUUCUUUACGCAACACUAAAGUGUUCAAGUAAGGAAUUAUAUAUAGUUGUCACACUUGAAUGAAAGAUAUUAUAGGCAAGCAACAAAUAUGUAAGGCAUUUGGUAAAUUUCUGAAUUUGUAGUACCUUUUUUUUUUCCUUGAGCUUGGAAUGUUCCUAGCUAAUUAAUUACAUUUUGUUUGGUGUUAUCUAGGACGAAAGCUGUGCAAUAGAUCAACAAAAAUGGAACCAUCGACAAACAUCGCGCUUAUAUCCUCCGGUGAACCUGAGGAGCCUGAAGAGAACAUCACUUACAUGGAUGCUUUGUUGUACAAGGCAGCAGCAGAAGGCAUAAUUGAAGAAUUCAAUAAUCACCCAGAGCUUCAACUUGAGUCGCUAAAGACCCCAAACCAUGACAACCUGCUCCAUGUUAACUUGGCAACCCAGGAGAGUGCUGUUGACAUUGUGUACUCAUUAUUCAUAUUAUUCCCCGAAGGAUAUGUAUUAUUCCAUCAGUAUUUGAGUAUUUUCAUUAGUAUGAUAAAAAGAGAAAAGAGAUCAGAUUUUUUCGAGCAAAUUCUCAGCAAGUGUCCGUCACUGCUACUCCAAACGAAUGCUAAAGGUCAAACUCCUUUGCACGUUGCAGCAAGGUUUGGACAUUCUGCUAUUGUGAAACUACUAAUCAAGUCUUGUGCAAAAGCUAGAGAUGGAGAUUUAGAGAAGCUGGGAAUGGAUCAAGUAAAUGCAGUGAGGGAGAUGUUGAGGAUUACGGAUCAGGAAUCGAACACGGCUUUGCAUGAAGCAGCAGGGUGUGGCAAUGUUGAAGUGGUGAAAGCAUUGUUGGAGUUUGAAGACCCUGAUUUUCCGUAUUCUGCCAACAAAAAACAGGAGACUCCACUUUACAUAGCAGCUAGGAGGAGAGGAUCUGGGCGCUUGUUGACU
rnacentral:lncRNA from 1 species